rnacentral:lncRNA from 1 species
UUCAUUCCAUUACUCUCUAUGUGUUACCUUGCCAGCAUAUUCCAUGUGCUGACCCGUUUCGGGCUGCAACGUUAAUGUUGCAGACUUUUCAGACGACGAUUAAGGUGCUUUUAGGUCGUGGUUCUAUACUCAGUGAUGCCGUUGGAGUUGAUGGACCCAUUUAUCUUCCAAGUCUUCCGCUAUUAUUGAUUUUAGAUGGCCUUAAGACAUAUUUAUGUAAUAAGUUCUCUUCGGAGACAUCGUUGUAAUAAGUGUGUGAUUGCCACUCUGCUAUAAAUCCUUCGAUGUACUGUGUGGUGUCAGCAUUACUGAUCUAGGGAUGACACCGAAGCACAGUAGACUUGAUCCAUUCGGGUCGGGUCGCCACAGAGAUGGUAUCAGAGCACACGCUGACUGUUGGACACGACCACUAAGUUAAAGCCAUAGAUCACUAUUCUCUCCUCAUUUUCUAACCCCUCAUCUUUUCUACUCUUUAGGAUGAAGGACGCGAAGAUUAAGUACGCUCAACUGGAUGAAGGCACACCUUUUGGAUUUCACUUGAAGGAAGUCACCAAGUACCUAAACAUUGGAUUACCAAGUUUCACGGGAACCUUCAAUGCCACUCUGCCUGAAGAGGAGCGCUGGAAGAUUCAAGCUCACGUUCCGGGAAGGACAUUCGCGCCAAUCACGAAGCCCAUAGAUAGUGUUUUCAAUGCACCAACCUGGAGUCUAGGAAAGAGCAUGGCAGCCCAUAUCACCAUAGGACGCAUUGGAGAAGUUUAUCAAGAAGACCUCAAGGACACUAUCUACCAGAUUUGUGGACGCCGAGAUGAACAAUGGGAGUUAGUCACCACCAAGAAGGAUAGAUCCAUUGCAGCAUUCAUCUAGGAGUUAAACCAGCACAUUCGACGCCACGAGAACCAGCUGUGCAAUGAUAUAAUGGAGUUGAAGAAUGCGAAAACAAGGAUCAUCGAGCUAGAAGGAGAAUUGAAGGCUACACGCAAGGACUACAUGGACGAGAUCGUAGCUCUAGCAAGACACAACUGCAAUCUUAAGCAAGAGAUUGAAGAACUCAAGAAGGAGUUAGCAUCCAGGAAGGAAGACAUGUACGUCGCAUGUCCGGACAAUUACAUCAUCAUCGACGACACCGAUUCGGAUCCAAGUGAACCCAACUUUGAAGACGAAGCUGGAGCGGACAUCAUGGAGUCUUCCACCGGUUCAAAUUUCUAGAUGACCACCAAAUAUUAGUAGUAUUUUCCCCCAUGUAAACACUAUAGUUCGAGCACUUUUGCGAUAGCUAAAUCGAUUGUAAGCCCUUGUUUGAUUGAAUGAAGUGAUUUUGUGUGAAUUUGCUCAUGUGCAUUGGGGUAGUGUUUUCUCUUUAGACCUCAUUCUAUUCUUAUAUCUCUUCUUUUCUAAAACCAUCAGAUGCCUUCGAGACGUGACAAUGGAUUUCCAUCGGAGCUCACUCAGUUGAUCCAACAGCAGAAUCAGUUGAUGCAGAUGUUAGUUCAGAAUCAGCAAAACAACAACAACCCACCACCACCACCACCUGUUGACUACUUAGCCCAUUUCCUUAGGCUAAAUCCGCCGGUGUUUUCUAGUAGCAUCGAGCCGAUAGUAGCAGACGAUUGGCUCCGCAAUAUAGGAAGGGAGUUGACCACUGCAGGAUGCAUGGAUGGUGAGAAAGUAAAGUUUGCCGCACAUCAGUUGGAAGGACCCGCGGCCGCAUGGUGGGAGAAUUUCACAGCCACUUUCCCAGUUGACACAGUCACAUGGGAUCAGUUUCAACAAGCUUUCCGCACUACACAUGUUUCAGCAGGAGCUAUGGCCAUGAAGAAGCGUGAGUUUCGCAACUUACGCCAAGGAGGAAGGACAGUUGGCCAGUAUGUCGAUGACUUCAGCAAGUUAGCACGUUAUGCCCCAGAUGACGUUGCGACGGAUGCGGCUAAGCAGGAGAAGUUUCUGGAAGGAUUGAAUGAUGAGUUAAGCAUGCAGUUGAUGGUAGCAAGCUUCAGAAACUACCAGGAGUUGGUAGAUCGUGCCAUCAUGAUCGAAGGGAAGCAACAGCAGAUUGAGAAUCGCAAGAGGAAGUAUGGACAGGGGAAGUAUAACUCUGGAGCCCAGCAGAAGCCCCGUUUUACCCCUAAAUCGGGAUUUCAGUUUCAGCAUACCCAUGGAGGAGGUAGUUCGCACAACCAUAAUGGCCAUAAGAAUGGUAACGGGAAUGGAGGAAGCAACGGCCAGAAUCGAACCACCCCAUCAACCCCAUCCAAGAGAGACUUGAGUCAAGUCACCUGUUUCAAGUGUUCCAAGACCGGACAUUAUGCCAAUGAAUGUCUUGAAGGCCAGAAUGGAAAUGGCAAUGGAAGCUCAGGGAAGAAGCCGAACCCUUUCAAUAGGGGACAGGUGAACCACGUUAACGUGGAGGAGGUUGAAGAUCAGCCUGAUGCAGUAAUCGGUAAGUUUUUGGUUAAGUCAUUUACCGCACUCGUUCUUUUCGAUACUGGUGCAUCACAUUCAUACAUAUCAAGGGGAUUUGUGGAAAAAUAUAGCCUGCCCACUAGGAUUCUUAAAACACCUAUGCUAGUAAGUUCGCCAGGAGCAGAGUACAUGGCCAGUCAAGGAUGUUUUCAAGUGCCAUUAAGCGUAGGAAGGCAUGUUUUCCCAAUGGAUUUAAUCAUUCUGGAGUCCCAGGGACUGGACGUAAUUCUUGGUAUGGAUUGGCUGUCGAUGUAUGGAGGAAACAUCGAUUGUGCUAGUAAGACAAUUUUGCUUACAACGCCAGAAGGAAGAAGGAUCAAGUAUGUAUCCCAGCAUGUGCCAAAUAGGACACAAGUAAAUUGCCUGACAGGAGUAGUGCAGGAGGAAGUACCAGUGGUAAAGGAUUUUCCUGAUGUAUUUCCUGAAGAGUUGCCAGGCAUGCCACCGAAUAGAGACAUUGAGUUUUUGAUUGAGUUAUUGCCAGGUACAUGCCCAAUAUCAAAGAGACCAUACCGGAUGCCAGCAAAGGAUUUGGUAGAAAUUAAGAAUCAGAUUAAGGAGUUAUUGGAGAAAGGUUACAUCCGCCCAAGCUCUUCGCCUUGGGGAUCACCCGUACUUCUAGUGCAGAAGAAGGAUGGAUCAUUACGGAUGGUUGUUGAUUACCGUGGAUUGAAUGAAGUAACCAUCAAGAACAAGUACCCACUCCCAAUGAUUAAUGAUCUGUUUGAUCAUUUGCAAGGAGCUAAAGUGUUUUCCAAGAUCGAUUUGCGAUCAGGGUACCACCAGUUGAAGAUUCGAGAGCAGGACAUACCUAAGACAGCAUUCACCACGAGAUACGGAUUGUACGAGUAUACCGUUAUGUCAUUUGGAUUGACUAACGCACCUGCUUAUUUUAUGAACAUGAUGAACAAAGUGUUUAUGGAGUUUUUGGAUAAGUUCGUCGUAGUGUUCAUUGAUGAUAUCCUGGUUUAUUCGAAGAGUGAAGAAGAGCAUAAGGAACAUUUGUGUUUGGUUUUGGAGAAACUAAGGGAACAUCAGUUAUAUGCCAAAUUUAGCAAAUGUGAGUUUUGGUUGAAGGAAGUAGGAUCCCUCGGACACGUUAUAUCCGGAGAAGGGAUAGCAGUUGACCCCGCAAAGGUUGAGACUGUAACCAAAUGGGAAGCACCAACGACAGUUGGAGAGAUCCGGAGUUUUCUUGGACUCACAGGAUACUAUCGGAGAUUCAUUGAGAACUUUUCAAAGAUUGCAAAGCCCAUGACGGAGUUGUUGAAGAAGGAUACCAAGUUCAAUUGGACUGAGGAGUGUGAUGCUAGUUUCCAGGAGUUGAAGAAACGAUUGGUUACCUCACCAGUGUUGAUUUUGCCAGAUCAGACCAAGGAUUAUGAGGUGUAUUGCGACGCUUCACGUCGAGGACUUGGAGCAGUGCUUAUGCAGGAAGGAAGAGUUGUUUCGUAUGCUUCACGACAACUGAAGCCUCAUGAAUUGAAUUAUGCUACGCAUGAUUUGGAGUUAGCAGCCGUAGUGCAUGCAUUGAAGACAUGGAGACAUUUCCUCAUUGGAAAUCAUUGUGAGGUGUACACGGAUCACAAGAGUUUGAAGUACAUAUUCACGCAGAAGGAGUUGAAUCUUAGACAAAGGAGAUGGUUGGAGCUCAUCAAGGAUUAUGAUAUGAGAUUGCAUUACCAUCCCGGUGAAGCUAAUGUAGUAGCUGACGCAUUGAGCCGCAAGAGCCAUGUCAAUACGUUGAUGACGGGAGAAAUACCCAAGGAGUUAGCAGAAAACCUUCGUGAACUAAGUUUAGAGAUAGUUCCGAGAGGCUAUGUAGCAGCAUUGGAGAUUCAGUCAACAUUGAUGGAUAAAAUCAGAGAAGCUCAGAAGUCUGACAAGGAGAUUGCUGCUAUUAAGGAGAAACUAAGCAAAGGAAAAGCAAAGGGAUUUCGUGAGGAUGAGCACGAUACCCUAUGGUUUGAGGACCGUGUUUAUGUGCCAAAUGACCCGGAGAUCAGGAAGUUGAUUCUACAAGAGGCACAUGAUUCACCAUAUUCGAUUCACCCAGGAAAUACCAAGAUGUAUUUGGAUUUGAAGGAAACAUUCUGGUGGACCGGAAUGAAGAAGGAUAUUGCAGCAUAUGUAGCAGUUUGUGAUGUAUGUCAUAGAGUGAAGGCAGAACAUCAGAAGCCAGCCGGAUUGUUGCAGCCAUUGCCGAUACCCGAAUGGAAGUGGGAUAAGAUAGGCAUGGAUUUUAUCACAGGACUACCCAGGACGAAAGCAGGAUAUGACUCGAUAUGGGUAGUAGUUGGUCGUUUGACGAAGGUAGCACAUUUCAUUCCAGUUAAGACCACUUACACCAGUGCUGAGUUGGCAAAGAUAUACAUGACUAGGAUCAUUUGUUUGCAUGGAGUUCCGAGGAGUAUUGUAUCAGAUAGAGGAACCCAUUUACCUCAAAGUUUUGGAAUCAGUUGCAUGAAACUUUGGGAACCAGGCUAGAAUUCAGCACCGCUUUUCAUCCGCAGACAGAUGGACAGACCGAGAGGGUCAAUCAGAUUUUGGAAGAUAUGCUGAGAGCUUGUGCACUAGAUUAUGGAUCUAGUUGGGAUGAUAAUUUGCCGUAUGCGGGGUUUUCUUAUAACAAUAGUUACCAAACCAGUUUGAAGAUGGCACCUUUUGAAGCUUUUUACGGAAGGAGGAGCAGGACACCGUUGUCAUGGGACGAAGUUGGAGACCGUCAGUUCUUUGGACCCGAUUUGGUCAAAGAGUCUGAACGGAAAGUUAAGUUGAUUCGCGAUAGGCUCAAGGUAGCCCAGUCCAGGCAGAGGAGCUACGCAGGUUCUAAACGCAAGGAGAUAGUUUACGAAACCGGAGACAGAGUGUAUCUCCGAGUAUCCCCACUUCGAGGAGUUAAGCGCUUUGGAGUUAAGGGAAAAUUAGCACCGCAUUUCGUUGGACCGUAUAGAUCUUGCAACGUAUGGGAGAAGUCGCUUAUAAGUUGGAAUUACCAGAGGGACUGUCAGGAGUUCAUGACGUAUUCCAUGUUUCUCAGCUGAAGAAAUGUCACGCCGAGAUGGCGGAGGUACCGUUAAGAGAUACAGUACCUCUAGAAGCGAUUCAGUUGAAGGACAACCUAACGUAUGAGGAGAAACCAGUCAAGAUUCUCGAGUUUGCCAGCAGAAUUACCCGUAGCAAAGUUAUCAAGUUUUGCAAAGUUCAAUGGAACCACCACUCAGAGGAUGAAGCCACCUGGGAGAGAGAAGAAGAUUUGCUCAAGGACCACCCUCACCUAUUUUCUAGCCAACCCGAAUCUCGAGGACGAGAUUCAUCUUAAGGGGGGUAGGUUUGUAACAUCCCAAAUUUUCAAUUUGGAAUGUUAUACACUAGAUCAUCAUGCAUAUCAUAUUUUCUUGCAUUUUGCCGAUCCUAGAAAUUUCACGCAACUUAAGGACCCUCGCAGAGAGUUGGAGAUUUCGCCUUUUUCAUAUUUGAGUUCUUCUCACAUUUUGAAGACAUGAUCAUUGGUUUUGUCGGAGUUUCAUUUGCCUUUUAUUUGGAUAGGGAAAAAUGCAUGUUUUCAAAAAUUGCAUUUUAGGCCCGGAGAAAAGUUCAUUUUGUUCGACUCAUUUUUAGGAGUCGGGGAAAAUUUACUUUGUGAGUUUUGGAGUCCGGUGGAAUUGUUUUUCUGUGUUUUUCCGAGCGCAGAACCGUUUAAAAAAAAUCCCGCGUGCCCCUGGGCCAAAGGCCCAGCCGGCCGGCCAGGAGGCCAGCGCCGCACCGCGCGAGCGCCCAGGCGCCAGGAACCGCCGCCGCCGCCCUUAGUGGAUUCCUAGUAGGACUCUUGUCCUAGUCCGUUUUUUUCUAGAUCUUUCCUAUUCCUACUCUUAUUCCUUGAUCCCUCCUCCAAGCAAACCCUCCCCCUCCCCAAUAUAAAUACCCAAGUACCCCCCCUCUAAAUCAUCAAACCAAAGCCCCAAGCCCCAAGCCUAGAGCCGCGCCACACCCCACGCCCUUGCCGACGCCGCGCCGCCGCCUUGUGCCCGCGCCGCCGCCGCACCUUGCCACCGCCACCGCCGCCCCACGCCCCCGUCGCCGGAGACCUCGCCCGAGGUAGCCCCGCGCCGCAUCUCUUCUUUUCAUCGGAUCGUUUUCUUCUAAAUCGUUCCGAUUCUUUUCUUCUCUUCCGAUUCAUUUUCUUCUCUUAACCGUUCCGGUUUUCUAGAUCGGUUUUUCGUUUCGAUCUCUUUUUUCGAAACCCUAGAUCGGAUUCGUUUUCUUUUCCGAUUUAGUUGCCUCGAGACCGUUCGCCGGACCGUUCGUCCUAACGAACGUGAUCACCGGAUUCUUCUAGGUUAACGAACGUCCGUUCGUUUAACCGUUCUUCUUUUUCUUUUCAUCGGAUUUAUUCCGCGAUCGCGAUCUCAAAUCCGAUCUUCGUUCUAGUUUAUCUUCUCGCUCGUUUAUCGGAAUCAGGUGAUUCAAGCGCCUGGAGUUUCGUUUCGAAACUGCCGUUCCGAUUAAUCAACUUAAACCAGUUUUUGCUACAGUAAAAUUUGACCUAGUUUCAACUUGCUAGAACCGAGUUGUUUUCUUCCGCCGUUUGUUUUCGGUUUCUUUGUUUGGUUCUUUCUUUCUUUGCAACCGGAGUUCUUAAGUUGAACUAUCUGGUUCGAUCUCUUGUUCGAGUUUUACCUGUGCAUUAGAUGAGUACUUAUUGUAUGCUUGGUGUUUGUCUGGGAUAGAUUACCCGGAUUGCGCCGCCUGUUACUUCGAAUCUCUAGGACUCGCGGAUCAUCAGCAAGGCAAGUAACACUUUGAUCAUACCUUUUCUACAACCCAGUUUUAUUGCAUUAGAUCCAUCGUCACACAUUGCAUGAUUAGGAUCUAAUUAAAUUGUGGGAUGGGAAGUAGAUGAGGUAGUACCUAUUACCUGUUAUUAUGAAACCUUUGGGAGUUACUUCCACGUUUGCUUAUUAUGCCAUGCUAUGCUAGUAGACGUGGAUUGGGUGAGUGAUAUCCAUGACAGAUGUGAGAUUGAUAAUUUUAAUGGUUUAUCUAAGGUGGCAACUUAAACACACAUCUGGGUGGAUUGAGGCACCUGAUGUCUAUCAGGACUUGCCUGUUUUUCUUUUGGACCGCCACCCAGGCUCAAAGGGAUCAUAAGAUCUUUCAUGCUAAAUACUUACGUGUGCAGCCACAAGCCAUUAUGGGCUCCGGCAUAGUUGACUAAGUCAUGCGAACUCUUACAGGGUAGACUAGCAUAUGUAGGGGAAAGUAGGUGUACCGGUCUAUCCAUCAUUAGGUGCUAGCGCUUCUGAAAGACUGUGUCUCGGUCAUCCGUUUCUCAAACACCGGUAGUGCGAGAAAUCCAACGGAGGCGAUCGAGUCUUGUGGGGAAAAGUGUGCAAACCUCUGCAGAGUGUAACAAACUAAUCAUGAUUAGCCGUGUCCCCGGUUAUGGACAAUCUUGAGUAUCUAGUACUUGAAUAUCAUGUGAAUCUCAUCAUGUUACUUCUAAAUUAAUAUUGUCGGGUUAUUGAUGACUACUUUUAAUUGGGAUUGAGAAUGCUGUCAACCAUUCUCAAUGUUUAACAACCACCAUGAUAGUUAAAUAAAUUUAUUCCUUUGUAGUAGGGAAAAAUUGGCUUUAUGCAAAACAGUAACCAUAGAGCUUUCCACCAGCCAAAUAUGCAUAUAGUAUAGCUGUUUCAUUCCAUUACUCUCUAUGUGUUACCUUGCCAGCAUAUUCCACGUGCUGGCCCGUUUCGGGCUGCAAUGUUAAUGUUGCAAACUUUUCAGACGACGAUUAAGGUGCUUUUAGGUCGUGGUUCUAUACUCAGUGAUGCCGUUGGAGUUGAUGGACCCAUUUAUCUCCCAAGUCUUCCGCUGUUAUCGAUUUUAGAUGGCCUUAAGCCAUAUUUAUGUAAUAAGUUCUCUUCGGAGACAUCGUUGUAAUAAGUAUGUGAUUGCCACUCUGCUAUAAAUCCUUCGAUGUACUGUGUGGUGUCAGCAUUACUGAUCCAGGGAUGACACCGGAGCAUAGUAGACUUGAUCCAUUCGGGUCGGGUCGCCACAACAACAUACGUUGUUCCCUUUGUCAUCGGUAUGUUACUUGCCCGAGAUUCAAUCGUCGGUAUCUUAAUACCUAGUUCAAUCUCCUUAUCGGCAAGUCUCUUUACUCGUUUCGUAAUACAUCAUCUCACCACUAACUCAUUAGUUGCAAUGCUUGCAAGGCUUAUGUGAUGUGCAUUACCGAGAAGGCCCAGAGAUACCUCUCCGACAAUCGGAGUGACAAAUCCUAAUCUCGAAAUACGCCAACCCGACAUGUACCUUUGAAUACACCUGUAGAGCUCCUUUAUAAUCACCCAGUUACGUUGUGACGUUUGGUAGCAAACAAAGUGUUCCUUCGGCAAACGGGAGUUGCAUAAUCUCAUAGUCAUAGGAACAUGUAUAAGUCAUGAAGAAAGCAAUAGCAACAUACUAAAUGAUCGGCUGCUAAGCUAAUGGAAUGGGUCAUGUCAAUCAGAUCAUUCAUCUAAUGAUGUGAUCCCGUUAAUCAAAUAACAACUCUUUGUCCAUGGUUAGGAAACAUAACCAUCUUUGAUUAACGAGCUAGUCAAAUAGAGGCAUACUAGUGACACUCUGUUUGUCUAUGUAUUCACACAUGUAUCAUGUUUCCGGUUAAUACAAUUCUAGCAUGAAUAAUAAACAUUUAUCAUGAAAUAAGGAAAUAAAUAAUAACUUUAUUAUUGCCUCUAGGGCAUAUUUCCUUCAGUCUCCCACUUGCACUAGAGUCAAAAAUCUAGUUCACAUCGUCAUGUGAUUUAACAGCAAUAGUUCACAUCACCAUGUGAUUAACACCCAUAGUUCACAUCGCCAUGUAACCAACACCCAAAGGGUUUACUGGAUUCAGUAAUCUAGUUCACAUUGCUAUGUGAUUAACACCCAAAGAGUACUAAGGUGUGAUCAUGUUUUGCUUGUGAGAGAAUCUUAGUCAACGGGUCUUUCACAUUCAGAUCCGUUAUGUAUUUUGCAAUUUUCUAUGUCUACAAUGCUCUGCAUGGAGCUACUCUAGCUAAUUGCUCCCACUUUCAAUAUGUAUCUAGAUCGAGACUUAGAGUCAUCCAGAUCAGUGUCAAAACCUGCAUCGACGUAACCCUUUACGGCGAACCUUUUUGUCACAUCCAUAAUCGAGAAACAUAUCCUUAUUCCACUAAGGAUAAUUUUGACCGCUGUCCAGUGAUCUACUCCUAGAUCACUAUUGUACUCCCUUGCCAAAAUCAGUGUAGGGUAUACAAUAGAUCUGGUACACAGCAUGGCAUACUUUAUAGAACCUAUCACCAAGGCAUAGGGAAUGACUUUCAUUCUCUUUCUAUCUUCUGCCAUGGUCGGGCUUUGAGUCUUACUCAAUUUCACCCCUUGUAACACAGGCAAGAACUCUUUCUUUGACUGUUCCAUUUUGAACUACUUCAAAAUCUUGUCAAGGUAUGUACUCAUUGAAAAAACUUAUCAAGCGUCUUGAUCUAUCUCCAUAGAUCUUUGAUGCUCAAUAUGUAAGCAGCUUCACCGAGGUCUUUCUUUGGAAAAUCCUUUCAAACACUCCUUUAUGCUUUGUAGAAUAAUUCUACAUUAUUUCCGAUCAACAAUAUGUCAUACACAUAUACUUAUCAGAAAUGCUGUAGUGCUCCCACUCACUACCUUGUAAAUACAGGCUUCACCGCAAGUCUGUAUAAAACUAUAUGUUUUGAUCAACUUAUCAAAGCGUAUAUUCCAACUCCGAGAUGCUUGCACCGGUCCAUAGAUGGAUCGCUGGAGCUUGCAUAUUUUGUUAGCACCUUUAGGAUUGACAAAACCUUCUGGUUGCAUCAUAUACAACUCUUCUUUAAAUCCAUUAAGGAAUGUAGUUUCGUUUAUCCAUUUGUCAGAUUUCAUAAAAAUGCAGCAAUUGCUAACAUGAUUCGGACAGACUUAAGCAUAGAUACGAGUGAGAAACUCUCAUCGUAGUCAACACCUUGAACUUGUCGAAAACCUUUUUGCGAUAAUUCUAGCUUUGUAGAUAGUAACACUACUAUCAACAUCUGUUUUCCUCUUGAAGAUCCAUUUAUUUUCUAUGGCUUGCCGAUCAUCGGGAAAAUCCAUCAAAGUCCAUACUUUGUUCUCAUACAUGGAUCAUAUCUCAGAUUUCAUGGCCUCAAACCAUUUCGUGGAAUCUGGGCUCAUCAUCGCUUCCUUAUAGUUCGUAGGUUCGUCAUGGUCAAGUAACAUGACCUCCAGAACAAGAUUACCGUACCACUCUGGUGCGGAUCUCACUCUGGUUUACCUACGAGAUUCGGUAGUAACUUGAUCUGAAGUUACAUGAUCAUCAUCAUUAGCUUCCUCACUAAUUGGUGUAGUAGUCACAAGAACAGAUUUCUGUGAUGAACUACUUUCCAAUAAGGGAGAAGGUACAAUUACCUUAUCAAGUUUUCUACUUUCCUCCCACUCACUUCUUUCGAGAGAAACUCCUUCUCUAGAAAGGAUCCAUUCUUAGCAACGAAUGUCUUGCCUUCGGAUCUGUGAUAGAAGGUGUACCAAACAGUCUCCUCUGGGUAUCCUAUGAAGACAUAUUUCUCCGAUUUGAGUUUGAGCUUAUCGAGAUGAAACUUUUUCACAUAAGCAUCGCAACUCCAAACUUUAAGAAACGACAGCUUAGGUUUCUUGCCAAACCAUAGUUCAGACGGUGUCGUCUCAACGGAUUUAGAUGGUGCCCUAUUUAACGUGAAUGCAACUGUCUCUCAUGCAUAACCCCAAAACGAUAGUGGUAGAUCGGUAAGAGACAUCAUAGAUCGCACUAUAUCUAAUAAAGUACGGUUAUGACGUUCGGACACACCAUUACACUAUGGUGUUCCAGGUGGCGUGAGUAGUGAAACUAUCUCACAUUGUUUUAAUUGAAGGCCAAACUCGUAACUCAAAUAUUUUACCUCUGCGAUCAUAUCGUAGAAACUUUUAUUUUCUUGUCACGAUGAUUUUCCACUUCACUCUGAAAUUCUUUGAACUGUUCAAAUGUUUCAGACUUAUGUUUCAUCAAGUAGAUAUCCCCAUAUCUGCUCAAAUCAUCUGUGAAGGUUAGAAAAUAAUGAUACCUGCUGCAAGCCUUAAUAUUCAUCGGACCACAUACAUUAGUAUGUAUGAUUUCCAACAAAUCUGUUGAAUGGCGUUUUAGUCAUCUUGCCUAUAAGGCAUGGUUCGCAAGCAUCAAGUGAUUCAUAAUCAAAUGAUUCCAAAAGCCCAUCAGCAUGGAGUUUCUUCAUGCGCUUUACACCAAUAUGACCUAAACGGCAGUGCCAUAAAUAAGUUGCACUAUCAUUAUUAACUUUGCAUCUUUUGGUUUCAAUAUUAUGAAUAUGUGUAUCAAUGCGAUUGAGAUCCAAUGAACUUGUUUCAUUGGGUGUAUGACCAUCGAAGGUUUUAUUCAUGUAAAUAGAACAACAAUUAUUCUCUGACUUUAAUGAAUAACCGUAUUGCAAUAAACAUGAUCAAAUCAUAUUCAUGCUCAAUGCAAAAACCAAAUAACACUUAUUUAGGUUCAACACUAAUCCCGAAAGUAUAGGGGAGUGUGCGAUGAUGAUCAUAUCAAUCUUGGAACUACUUCCAACACACAUCGUCACUUCACCCUUAACUAGUCUUUGUUUAUUCUGCAACUCCUGUUUCGAGUUACUACUCUUAGCAACUGAUCCAGUAUCAAAUACUGAGGGGUUGCUAUAAACACUAGUAAAGUACACAUCAAUAACAUGUAUAUCAAAUAUACUUUUGUUCACUUUGCCAUCCUUCUUAUCCGCCAAAUACUUGGGGCAGUUCCGCUUCUAGUGACCAGUCCCUUUUGCAGUAGAAGCACAUAGUCUCAGGCUUAGGACCAGACUUGGGCUUCUUCACUUGAGCAGCAACUUGCUUGCCGUUCUUCUUGAAGUUCCCCUUCUUCCCUUUUGCCCUUUUCUUGAAACUAGUGGUCUUGUCAACCAUCAACACUUGAUGUUUUUCUCGAUUUCUACCUUCAUCAAUUUCAACAUUACGAAGAGCUUGGGAAUCGUUUCCGUUAUCCCUUGCAUAUUAUAGUUCAUCACAAAGUUCUACUAACUUGGUGAUGGUGACUAGACAAUUCUGUCAAUCACUAUUUUAUCUGGAAGAUUAACUCCCACUUGAUUCAAGUGAUUGUAGUACCCAGACAAUCUGAGCACAUGCUCACUAGUUGAGCGAUUCUCCUCCAUCUUUUAGCUAUAGAACUUGAUGGAAACUUCAUAUCUCUCAACUCGGGUAUUUGCUUGAAAUAUUAACUUCAACUCCUGGAACAUCUCAUGUGUUCCAUGACAUUCAAAACGUCUUUGUAGUCCCGAUUCUAAGCCGUUAAGCAUGGUGCACUAAACUAUCAAGUAGUCAUCAUAUUGAGCUAGCCAAACGUUCAUAACGUCUGCAUCUGCUCCUGCAAUAGGUCUGUCACCUAGCUGUGCAUCAAGGACAUAAUUCUUCUGUGCAGCAAUGAGGAUAAACCUCAGAUCACGGAUCCAAUCCGCAUCAUUGCUACUAACAUCUUUCAACACAAUUUUCUCUAGGAACAUAUCAAAAUAAACACAGGGAAGCAACAACGUGAGUUAUUGAUCUACAACAUAGAUAUGCUAAUACUACCAGGACUAAGUUCAUGAUAAAUUAAAGUUCAAUUAAUCAUAUUACUUAAGAACUCCCACUUAGAUAGACAUCCCUCUAAUCCUCUAAGUGAUCACAUGAUCCAAAUCAACUAAACCAUAACUGAUCAUCACGAGAGAUGGAGUAGUUUCAUUGGUGAACAUCACUAUGUUGAUCAUAUCUACUAUAUGAUUCACGCUCGACCUUUCGGUCUCCGUGUUCCGAGGCCAUAUCUGUAUAUGCUUGGCUCGUCAAGUAUAACCUGAGUAUUCCGCGUGUGCAACUGUUUUGCACCCAUUGUAUUUGAACGUAGAGCCUAUCACACCCGAUCAUCACGUGGUGUCUCAGCACGAAGAACUUUCGCAAUGGUGCAUACUCAGGGAGAACACUUCUUGAUAAUUUAGUGAGAGAUCAUCUUAUAAUGCUACUGUCAAUCAAAGCAAGAUAAGAUGCAUAAAAUAUAAACAUCACAUGCAAUUAAUAUAAGUGAUAUGAUAUGGCCAUCAUCAUCUUGUGCUUGUGAUCUCCAUCUCCGAAACACCGUCGUGAUCACCAUCGUCACCGGCGCGACACCUUGAUCUCCAUCGUAGCAUCGUUGUCAUCUCGCCAAUCUUAUGCUUCCACGACUAUCGCUACCGCUUAGUGAUAAAGUAAAGCAUUACAUCGCGAUUGCAUUGCAUACAAUAAAGCGACAACCAUAUGGCUCCUGCCAGUUGCCGAUAACUCCGUUACAAAACAUGAUCAUCUCAUACAAUAAAAUUUAGCAUCAUGUCUUGACCAUAUCACAUCACAACAUGCCCUGCAAAAACAAGUUAGACGUCCUCUACUUUGUUGUUGCAAGUUUUACGUGGCUGCUACGGGUUUAAGCAAGAACCAAUCUUACCUACGCAUCAAAAACCACAAUGAUAGUUUGUCAAGUUGAUGCCGUUUUAACCUUUGCAAGGACCGGGCAUGGCCACACUCGGUUCAACUAAAGUUGGAGAAACUGUCACCCGCAAGCCACCUAUGUGCAAAGCACGUCGGGAAGAACCGGUCUCGCGUAAGCGUACCCGUAAUGUCGGUCCAGGCCGCUUCAUCCAACAAUACCGCCGAACCAAAGUAUGACAUGCUGGUAGGCAGUAUGACUUAUAUCGCCCACAACUCACUUGUGUUCUACUGGUGCAUAUAACAUCAAACCAUAAAACCUAGGCUCGGAUGCCACUGUUGGGGAACGUAGUAAUUUCAAAAUUUUCCUACGCACACGCAAGAUCAUGGUGAUGCAUAGAAACGAGAGGGGAGAGUGUAAUCUACAUACCCUUGUAGAUCGACAGCGGAAGCGUUAUGACAACGCGGUUGAUGUAGUCGUACGUCUUCACGGCCCGACCGAUCAAGCACCGAAACUACGGCACCUCCGAGUUUUAGCACACGUUCAGCUCGAUGACGAUCCCCGGACUCCGAUCCAGCAAAGUGUCGGGGAAGAGUUCUGUCAGCACGACGGCGUGGUGACGAUCUUGAUGUACUACUGUCGCAGGGCUUCGCCUAAGCACCGCUACAAUAUUAUCGAGGACUAUCGUGGCAGGGGGCGCCACACACGGCUAAGAAUAUGAUCACGUGGAUCAACUUGUGUGUCUAUGGGGUGCCCCCUGCCCCCGUAUAUAAAGGAGUGGAGGAGGGGAGGGUCGGCCCUCUCUAAUGCGCGCCCUAGGGGAGUCCUACUCCCACCGGGAGUAGGAUUCCCCUUUUCCUAGUCCAACUAGGAGUCCUUCCAUGUAGUAGGAGUAGGAAACAAGGAAGGGGCGCAGCCCCUCCCCCUAGUCCAAUUCGGACUAGGCCUUGGGGGGGGGGCCUGCCCUAGGCAGCCCCUCUCUCUUUCCCGUAUGGCCCAAUACUUCUCCCGGCGAAUUCCCGUAACUCUCCGGUACUCCGAAAAAUACUCGAAUCACUCGGAACCUUUCCGAUGUCCGAAUAUAGUUCGUCCAAUAUAUCGAUUUUUACGUCUCGGCCAUUUCGAGACUCCUCGUCAUGUCCCCGAUCUCAUCCGGGACUCCGAACUCCUUCGGUACAUCAAAACUCAUAAACUCAUAAUAUAACUGUCAUCGAAACCUUAAGCGUGCGGACCCUACGGGUUCGAGAACAAUGUAGACAUGACCGAGACACGUCUCCGGUCAAUAACCAAUAGCGGAACCUUGAUGCCCAUAUUGGCUCCUACAUAUUCUACGAAGAUCUUUAUCGGUCAGACCGCAUAACAACAUACGUUGUUCCCUUUGUCAUCGGUAUGUUACUUGCCCGAGAUUCGAUCGUCGGUAUCUUAAUACCUAGUUCAAUCUCCUUAUCGGCAAGUCUCUUUACUCGUUCCGUAAUACAUCAUUCACAACUAACUCAUUAGUUGCAAUGCUUGCAAGUCUUAUGUGAUGUGCAUUACCGAGAGGGCCCAGAGAUACCUCUCCGACAAUCGGAGUGACAAAUCCUAAUCUUGAAAUACGCCAACCCAACAUAUACCUUUGAAUACACCUGUAGAGCUCCUUUAUAAUCACCCAGUUACGUUGUGACGUUUGGUAGCACACAAAGUGUUCCUCCGGCAAACGGGGGUUGCAUAAUCUCAUAGUCAUAGGAACAUGUAUAAGUCAUGAAGAAAGCAAUAGCAACAUACUAAACAAUCGGGUGCUAAGCUAAUGGAAUGGGUCAUGUCAAUCAGAUCAUUCAUCUAAUGAUGUGAUCCCGUUAAUCAAAUAACAACUCUUUGUCCAUGGUUAGGAAACAUAACCAUCUUUGAUUAACGAGCUAGUCAAGUAGAGGCAUACUAGUGACACUCUGUUUGUCUAUGUAUUCACACAUGUAUCAUGUUUCCUGUUAAUACAAUUCUAGCAUGAAUAAUAAACAUUUAUCAUGAAAUAAGGAAAUAAAUAAUAACUUUAUUAUUGCCUCUAGGGCAUAUUUCCUUCAUGGAUAGCGCCCCGAACUCGGUCUUCCGAACUAGGGGCUUCGCCGAAAUUUAAAAUUAUAGAGUUCUAUGGCUAAGUGAGAGUGUUCAAGCAUUAUAGUCCGAUUGCCUGGUUCGUUGUGCUGAGCGCCUCCCUCGAGGGACCCAACUAUGGGAAAAAGAGCGCUCAGGUUUAUCCCGAACACCCCAGCACUAGUGGCAUGGGGGCAGAAGCCGACGACUGGCCAUCUCUCAAUUUUUGAUAAACGGCCGCACAGAAAGUAAUAUUUUAAAUUCAAUAAGCAUUGCUUAGCGCAUAUGAACAAGUUUUCAGCGCACAGGAUAAACACGAGCGAGUUCAUUCAAAAAUUACAUACUUGGUACAUUCAUCCGCCACAAGGCGGGCACCCGCAAGAACAUCCUUAUAAUAGUUCUCGGGCUUGCGAUGCUCCUUCCCCGGCGGCGGCCCGUCCCUCACAAGCUUCUCACCGUCCAGCUUACCCCAGUACACCUUUGCACGGGCAAGGGCCCUACGGGCACCUUCGAUGCAGACAGAGCGCUUGGUGACCUCUUGCCUUGGACAUGCCUCCACCAGUCGCCGCACCAGCCCGAAGUAGCUCCCAGGCAGGGCCUCUCCGGGCCACAGCCGAACUAUGAAGCCCUUCAUGACUUGUUCGGCCACCCUGUGGAGCUCGACCAGCUGUUUCAGCUGGUCGCUCAAGGGCACAGGGUGUCCGGCCUCAGCAUACUGAGACCAGAACACCUUCUCCGUCGAGCUGCCCUCUUUGGCUCGGUAGAAUGCGGCGGCAUCGGAUACGCUGCGGGAAAGAUCUACGGAUGCCCCUGGAGAGCUCCGGAUUCAGGUAAGUAACAAGUACUUUACUUUUAUACUUCUGCUUUGCAUAAAGAAAGCCUUACCCGCCGCUAUCUUUUUCAUCUCCUCCAACUCUUGGAGGGCCUUUUGGGCUUUGGCCUUGGCGGACUUGGCAGUUUCAAGGGCAGCCGCUAGCUCGGACGCUUGCGUCUUGGACUCAAGCUCCAAACUCUCAUGUUUUUUCAUGAGAGCCUGAAGCUCCUGCUGCACCUCGCCAACCUGGCCCUCAAGUUUCUCUCGCUCGGAGCACUCCGCGGCCGUUUUCUUUUUGGCCUCAGACAGCGCCUGCUUGAGGGUCGCCACCUCAGUCGUGGCCCCUAUAAUAAGCAGUACAAUCCUGUUAUUUUUUGCAAUCAAGCCUUUCUAUAGGCACUUUUUCUAUAAGGUAUUUCUUACCUUCUUUCUCCUUGAGUUGCCGUUUGGCAAGGCCGAGCUCUUGCUCGGUCCGCUCGAGGCCCUGUUUCAGGGCACCCACCUCCGCAGUCAGUGCGGCGGUGGCUAGCAGUGAAGCCUGCAUAUGCAUAUUGACUCUUUGUUGUUAGACUCCUGCGAAAUAUAAUAGAUCCUCUAUUCGGUUUUUCUUUCCGAACGCCGAACAGAGCAUCAGGGGCUACUGUCUAUGCGGUUAUAUUUUUACAUAUUUUUUACUUACCUCGAAGCCUGUUAGAAGGCUAGCGCAAGCUUCACUCAGUCCGCUCUUGGCGGACUGAACCUUCCGGAUCACCGUACUCAUAAUAGUACGGUGCUCCUCGUCGAUGGAGGCGCCGUCAAGCACCUCCAGCAGAUUGUCCGGCUCCUCCGGUUGGACGGAGGCUGCCAGCUCAGAAGGCUUACUCCUCUUGGAAGGAGUUCGCCUACCGCAGUCCGGAACUGUUGUAGAUUCUGGUGUGGUGUCCGGCUCAAAGCCGGACUUGGAGCCCUGGGGGGCCUUAUCCCCUUCACUCCUGGAGUCCGGGAGGUUGCCUUGUGGCUCCUCGGGGACCACCUCCUCCUGCCCCGGAGCUCGUCGCGACGCCACUUCGGCGUCAUCCGCGGUGCGGGGGGAGACAGCGGGCGGAACUGAGUUCACGUCCGAUGAAUUCAGGGAGCCGCUCGACGACUCGACGAGUUCGGCCCGGGGCGGGCUGCAUAAUUAUAUUCGACAUUAGGGAAAGUUGUGCAACAAAGGAACGUCAUGAGUUACUCUGAUAUCCGAACUUAUGAUUUCGCCGGACGCUUGGCCCUGUCUCGCCACUCCUCUUCGUCCUCUUCGGCGCCGAGGGAGUAGUCCGGCGGAGGGGUCUUCCUCUUCCUGGACCCUCCGUCUUCCCCCGUUGGGGCGGCCUUCCUUUUCUUUCCUUCCCCCGCUGGAGGGGGAGAGGUUUCUUCUUCCUCCUCCUCGUUUUCAUGGGAGGAGAGCGUCUCGGACUCGUCGGAUGACGAAUCCGACACCACCAUAUUACGGGAACUCUUUCGAGUCCCUGUGGCCUUCUUCUUGUUGGCCUUCUUCUCCAGCACCACAUAAGGCGCCGGAACCAGCAGCUUCACUAGUAAAGCUGGGGCUGGGUCUUCGGGCAGUGGAGCCGGACAGUUAAUCGGUCCGCAUAUCGCCCGCCAAGCCUGUCAAAGGUAAGGGAGUUUAGAUCCCGCAUAAAGUAAAACUAUGAAAAAAUCUUAACAUCCUGUAAAGGUGUAGAUGGCUUACCUCGCUAGCGUGAUGCUGCGAGCUCUAUCCGCGGUCCUCGGAAGCGGAAGCGGGAGCCUCGGCGCCCUUGAAUAGCAUCUUCCAGGCGUCUUCGUACGUCGUGUGGAAGAGCCUGUUGAGGGUUUGAUGCUGCGCCGGGUUGAAAUCCCACAGAUUGAAAUCCCGUUGUUGGGACGGGAGGAUCCGGCGGACGAGCAUAACCUGGAUUACAUUAACAAGCCGGACUAGCUUGUUCACCAGGGACUGGAUGCAUGUUUGCAAUCCGGUCACCUCUUUUUCAUCACCCCACGACAGGCCCGUCUCUUUCCAGGACACAAGCCGCGUGGGGGGUCCGGAUCGGAACUCGGGGGCUGCGGUCCAUUUCGGAUCGCGCGGCUCGGUGAUGUAAAACCACCCGGAUUGCCAUCCUUUAGGGUCUCCACAAAAGAGCCCUCGAACCAUAGGACGUUGGCCAUCUUGCCUGCCAUGGCGCCUCCGCACUCUGCCUGGCUGCCGCGCACCACCUUGGGCUUGACGUUGAAGGUCUUGAGCCAGAGGCCGAAAUGGGGGCGGACGCGGAGAAAAGCCUCGCACACGAUGAUAAACGCCGAGAUGUUGAGGAUGAAGUUCGGGGCCAGAUCAUGGAAAUCCAGGCCGUAGUAGAACAUGAGCCCCCGGACAAAUGGGUGGAGUGGAAAAGCCAGUCCAUGGAGGAAGUGGGGAAGGAAUACUACCCUCUCAUGGGGCCUUGGGGUGGGGAGAAGCUGCCCCUCCUCGGGAAGCCGGUGCGCGAUGUCCUUGGACAAGUAUCCGGCCUUCCUUAGCUUUUUGACUUGGCCCUCCGUGACGGAGGAGACCAUCCACUUGCCUCCCGCUCCGGACAUUGCUGGAGAAGGUUGAGGUGGGAAGUGCGGGCUUGGGCGCUGGAGCUUGAGUGCACAGGAGAUGGAUAGGCAAAGGAGGAAGAAGGCGUAGGUAAAAAGGUGGAUCCUUAUCCCCUUAUAUGGGCGGAUGCGGUUGUGCGUCCCCACCUGCCUAGUAAAACUCGCUUGCCUCCCAAGCACCGUGAUAAGUGGCGCGGUUGGGUUACCCACAUCCGUAUUGAUGAGAAUCCCGUAAAGGGGGGUACACAAUCUCUGCUUUGACAAGACGUGCCAAGGAAACCGCCUCGCAAAACACGCUGAGGUGGAACAGUAAAAACGAUUUGAGUAAAGGACUUGGCCGUAGUGUGAUGGCGCACUGCGGAAUACGUCAGCAGAUUUGAUUUGUGUUAAUAUUAUUCUCUCUAUGGCAAUAUGUGGAAGCUUAUUUUGCAGAGCCGGACACUACUCUUGGUGUUUACAAUCUUCUAUGAAGGAUUUGGAGGAGGAACCCACCUUGCAAUGCCGAAGACAAUUUGCGUGCCGGACUCGUCGUCAUUGAAGCCUGGUUCAGGGGCUACUGAGGGAGUCCUGGAUUAGGGGGUGUUCGGGUAGCCGGACUAUACCUUCAGCCGGACUCCAGGACUAUGAAGAUACAAGAUUGAAGACUACAUCCCGUGUCCGGAUGGGACUUUCCGUGGCGUGGAAGGCAAGUUUGGCGAUGCGGAUAUUCAAGAUCUCCUACCAUUGUAACCGACUCUAUGUAACCCUAACCCUAUCCGGUGUCUAUAUAAACCGGAGGGUUUUAGUCCGUAGGACAACUUCAUCAACUCCAUAGACAACAAUCAUACCAUAGGCUACCUUCUAGGGUUUAGCCUCCUUGAUCUCAUGGUAGAUCUACUCUUGUACUACCCAUAUCUUCAAUAUUAAUCAAGCAGGACGUAGGGUUUUACGUUCAUCAAGAGGGCCCGAACCUGGGUAAAACAUCGUGUUCCCUGCCUCUUGUUACCAUCCGGCCUAGACGCAUAGUUUGGGACCCCCUACCCGAGAUUCGCCGGUUUUGACACCGACACCUGUCUUGAUGUAGUGUUCGAGUUACUGGCCACUACUGCUGGCACAAGCUCUUCGAACUCGCUGCCUGAAUCAGUUCAUCUUCUUGAGUCUCAAUUUCAAGUUGAAAGACAUCGAUCAGAUGUGCUGCGACAGGAAGCUGAAGGACUGAGGAAGUCCCUGCAGAAUUCAGAUGCAUAUUUUCUGGUGCAACAGCAAGCGCUGGAGGAUUUAAGCGCCAAACAAGAUAAAGUUAAUAAGCUUUCUAAGCAUCUUGCCAGCAUUAUGGGUACCCAGGAUAUUGUUUCUUGAGAUAUUCUGAAGUGGUUUCAAUUUUGGAUUUGUUUUGCUGCGGCAUUUAUUUGCGCUGGUCACCAACUUUGACAACUAGUGUAUAUGAUAUGCUGCUUUGUUCCCUAUAUUUGCACUGGUGGCGAACUUUGAUGCCCAGUGGAUGUAAUAUGUGUAAUAGCCGUGAUAGCCUAGCAUUAGUUGCUUGCAUAUUUAUUUCCUUGUUGUCUUGUUUAUUUGUUUGCUUGUAGUCAUUGCAGUUCUUUUUCCGCGGUUAGCUAGUGGCUGCAAUAACCUAUUUUUUAAAACUAGGCCACAAUAACCAUGGGCUAAUAUUUACUGUAGUGACACUGGGCCUCCUACUGGCCGUAGAAACAGUGGGCCUUCUACGAGCCGUAGAAACAAUGGGCCUUCUGCGGGCCAUAUUAUCAAUGGGCCUUAUACGGGCCGUAUAAUCGAUUGGCCAAACAUGGGCCAAACAGACCGCAUUAUGGCCGUAAACGGGCUAGAAUUGGAAUCGUCCGUUCAUGGGCCAACCAUAACGGGUCAUCGUUAAUAGGAAGUAUUUGCUGACGCUAUGAAAUCGGCCCAACGUAUUAACGGACCACAAACGGGCCGACUGUAACCAUGGGCUGAAUUUGGCCCACAAGCAGAAAAUGACAGUAAUGUGCCGUAAGUAAACGAAUGCUGGAAAUGAGCCCAAGAAUAAAUGGGCUCUGAGAAGGCCGAAAGAUAACAUGGGCUGGAAACGGCCCAACGGAAUAACGGGUCGUUAAUGGGUAUAAAGUGAUACACUAUUCAUUACGGGCCAGUUUCACCACGGGCCGUUAAUGGGUGUAAAGUGAUACACUGUUCAUUACGGGCCAGUUUCACCACGGGCCGUUAGUAGGCCAAGAGUUACAUAGGGCCUCCUAUGGGCCGAAAGACGUCAUGGGCCAUACAUGGGCCAGAAGUGAAAACAGGCUGGAAUCAUAUUGGAUGGCCCAGAUGACGCUACUGGGCCUAAUUCGAAUAGGGCAUAACCGGCCUUGGGUUAGCGGGCUGUAAAUGGGCUAUAUUCGAACACGCCGUUAACAGGCUUUCCAUGGGCCGGCCCGCCAGCUUUUGACCAAGUCAAACGGGCUGGACUUUUCACAGGAAUUGGCCUCUGUUGGGCCGUGCCACGUGUCGACGUAUCAUAGGCGCCUAUCCGACCCACUGACGAGCUGACACGUGUUUCGUCUGGCCAAUAAGAAUUUUACACGUGGAAAUUUCCCAUUGGUCGGGGCUGUUAACGGGUUAUCGGAUCGAAAACCCCGACCCGAUAGCUUAAUGGCGUUCCGUUACGGUGGAUGCCAUGUGUCGUUCACCCUUGACGAAAGCACUUCUGUGACGUGCGAUUUAUCGUCAUGGAAGUGGACACUUCUGUGAUGAUAAUUUUGGUAAUGUCAUGGAACACUCCUACGACAACACAGCUAUGACUAUCUUGAUUCUGUCAUAAAUUUUUCAUGGAUGUACAUGCAUGACAAAAAAAGUGACCUACUAUGACAAACACGUAUCAUCAUGGAAGUGUAUUUUUUUUGUAGUGACAAAAGUAAUAUUAGGACACACAAACCCCUUGAGCAAGUUAAAGUUGAACCUAAAAUUGCUAUGGUUAAAGAUCUCUUGGCCAAUAAUAUUGAUGGGCAUGUUAUUUACUUCUGCAAUGAAGCUGCUAGAAUUUCUAGACCUAAUGCUAAAAAUAAACAUAGACCUAUUGUAGGCAUGCCUUUUAUUUCCGUUAAAAUAGAAGAUAAUUGCUAUCAUGGCUUAUGUGAUAUGGGUGCUAGUGCAAGUGCAAUACCUCAUUCCUUAUACCAAGAAAUUAUGCAUGAUAUUGCACCUGCCGAGAUAGAAGAGAUUGAUGUUACAAUUAAGCUUGCCAAUAGAGAUACUAUUUCACCAGUUGGGAUUAUUAGAGAUGUUGAAGUCUUGUGUGGGAAAGUUAAAUAUCCUGCUGAUUUUCUUGUUCUUGGUUCUCCACAAGAUAGCUUUUGUCCCAUUAUAUUUGGUAGACCCAUCUUGAAUACUGUUAAUGCUAAGAUAGACUGCAAUAAGGAUAUUGUUUCUGUUGGUUUAGGGGAUAUGUCUCAUGAGUUUAAUUUUGCCAAUUUUAGUAGACAACCCCGUAAUGAGGAAUUGCCUAGUAAAGAUGAAAUUAUUGGUCUUGCUUCUAUUGCCGUGCCUCCUACUGAUCCUUUAGAACAAUAUUUGCUAGACCAUGAAAACGAUAUGUUUAUGAAAGAAAGAAGGGAAAUAGAUGAAGUAUUCUUUAAACAAGGACCUAUUUUGAAACACAACUUGCAUGUCGAAAUCCUAGGGGAUCCUCCCCUACCUAAGGGUGAUCCCGUGUUUGAGCUUAAGCCAUUUCCUGAUACUCUUAAAUAUGCUUAUCUUCAUGAAAAGAAGAUAUAUCCUGUUAUUAUUAGUGCUAACCUUUCAGAGCACGAAGAAGAGAAAUUAUUGAAAACUCUGAAGAAGCACCAUGCUGCUAUUGGAUAUACACUUGAUGAUCUUAAGGGCAUUAGUCACACUCUAUGUCAACACAAAAUAAAUUUGGAGAAAGACGCAAAACCAGUUAUUGAUCACCAACGGCGGCUAAAUCCUAAGAUGAAAGAAGUGGUAAGAAAGGAAAUAUUACAGCUCCUUGAGGCAGGUAUAAUUUAUCCCGUUGCUGAUAGUCAGUGGGUAAGUCCCGUCCAUUGUGUCCCCAAGAAGGGAGGUAUUACUGUCGUUCCUAAUGAUAAAGAUGAAUUGAUUCCACAAAGAAUUGUUAUAGGUUAUAGGAUGGUAAUUGAUUUCCGCAAACUAAAUAAAGCUACUAAAAAGAUCAUUACCCUUUGCCUUUUAUUGAUCAAAUGCUAUAAAGAUUAUCCAAACAUACACAUUUUUUGCUUUCUACAUGGUUACUCUAGUUUCUCUCAAAUACCUGUGUCAGCUGAGGACCAAGAAAAUACCACUUUUACUUGCCCUUUCGAUACCUUUGCUUGUAGACGUAUGCCUUUUGGUUUAUGUAAUGCACCUGCUACCUUUCAAAGAUGCAUGAUGGCUAUAUUCUCUGACUUUUGUGAAAAGAUUUGUGAAGUUUUCAUGGAUGAUUUCUCUGUUUAUGGAUCCUAUUUUGAUGAUUGCUUGAGAAACCUUGAUCGAGUUUUGCAGAGAUGUGAAGAGACUAACCUUGUCUUGAAUUGGGAGAAGUGCCACUUUAUGGUUAAUGAAGGUAUUGUCUUGGGGCAUAAAAUUUCUGAAAGAGGUAUUGAAGUUGACCAAGCUAAAGUUGAUGAUAUUGAAAAGAUGCCGUGUCCCAAGGACAUCAAAGCUAUAAGAAGCUUCCUUGGUAAUGCUGUUUUUUAUAGGAGGUUCAUUAAGGACUUCUCUAAAAUUUCUCGACCUCUGACUAGCCUAUUAGAAAAAGAUAUUCCUUUUCUCUUUGAUGAUGAUUGUGUACAAGCAUUUGAAAUACUUAAGAAAGCCUCGAUUUCUGCACCUAUUGCUCAUCUACCUGAUUGGAAUUUACCCUUUGAAAUUAUGUGUGAUGCUAAUGACUAAGAUGUAGGUGCUGUUCUAGGACAAAGAGUUGAUAAAAAAUUAAAUUCUAUUCAAUAUGCUAGUAAAACUCUAGACAAUGCCCAAAGAAAUUAUGCUACUACUAACACGAAUAUUUAGCAAUUGUAUUUGCUUGUGAUAAGUUUAGACCUUAUAUUGUUGAUUCUAAAGUAACUAGUCACACUGAUCAUGCUGCUAUUAAAUAUCUUAUGGAAAAGAAAGAUGCUAAACCUAGACUUAUUAGAUGGGUUCUCUUGCUACAAGAAUUUGAUUUGCAUAUUAUUGAUAGAAAGGGAGCUGAGAACCCCAUUGCAGAUAACUUGUCUCGGUUAGAGAAUGUUCUUGAUGAGCCACUACCUAUUAAUGAUAGCUUCCCUGAUGCACAAUUAGCUAUCAUAAAUGCUUCUCGCACUGCUCCAUGGUAUGCUGAUUAUGCUAAUUACAUUGUUGCUAAAUUUAUACCACCUAGUUUCACAUACCAGCAAAAGAAAAAGUUCUUCUAUAAUUUAAGACAUUAGUUUUGGGAUGACCCACACCUUUAUAAAGAAGGAGUAGAUGGUGUUAUUAGACGUUGUGUACCUGAGCAUGAACAAGAACAGAUCUUACGCAAGUGUCACUCCGAGGCUUAUGGAGGACACCACGCUGGAGAUAGAACUGCACACAAGGUAUUGCAAUCCGGUUUUUAUUGGCCUACUCUCUUCAAGGAUGCCCGUAAAUUUGUCUUAUCUUGUGAUGAAUGUCAAAGAAUUGGUAAUAUUAGUAGACGUCAAGAAAUGCCUAUGAAUGAUUCACCUGUUAUUGAACCAUUUGAUGUUUGGGGCUUCGAUUAGAUGGGACCGUUUCCUUCCUCUAAUGGGUAUAUACAUAUUUUAGUUGCUGUUGAUUACGUUACUAAGUGGGUAGAAGCUAUUCCAACUAGUAGUGCUGAUCAUAACACCUCUAUGAAGAUGCUUAAAGAAGUUAUUUUUCCAAGGUUUGGAGUCCCUAGAUACUUAAUGACUGAUGGUGGUUCACAUUUUAUUCAUGGUGCCUUUCGUAAAAUUCUUGCCAAGUAUGAUGUUAAUCAUAGAAUUGCAUCUCCAUAUCACCCGCAGUCUAGUGGUCAAGUAGAAUUGAGUAACAAAGAGCUCAAAUUAAUUUUGCAAAAGAUUGUUAAUAGAUCUAGAAAGAAUUGGUCCAAGAAACUUGAUGAUGCAUUAUGGGCUUAUAGAACUGCAUAUAAAAAUCCUAUGUGUAUGUCUCCGUAUAAAAUGGUUUAUGGAAAAGCAUGUCACUUACCUCUCGAAUUAGAACAUAAGGCAUAUUGGGCCAUUAAAGAGCUCAACUAUGACUUCAAACUUGCCGGUGAGAAGAGGUUAUUUGACAUUAGCUCGCUUGAUGAAUGGAGAACCCAGGCCUAUGAAAAUGCCAAGCUGUUUAAAGAAAAAGUUUAAAGAUGGCAUGAUAAAAGGAUACAAAAACAUGAGUUUAAUGUAGGUGAUUAUGUAUUGCUAUACAACUCUUGUUUAAGAUUUUUUGUAGGCAAACUUCUCUCUAAAUGGGAAGGUCCUUACGUCAUCGAGGAGGUCUAUCGUUCCGGUGACAUAAAAAUCAACAACUUCGAAGGCACAAAUCCGAAGGUGGUGAACGGUCAAAGUAUCAAACAUUAUAUCUCAGGUAAUCCUAUAAAUGUUGAAACUAAUGUUAUUGAAACCGUAAGCCCGGAGGAAUACAUAAGGGACACUUUCCAGAACGUUUCAGACUCCGAAAAGGAAUAGGUACGUGGUACGGUAAGUAAACCGACUCCAAACAGUUCUAAUGGCAAUUUUUCUCCGUUUGGAAUAUUUAAGAAAAUAGGAAAAUAAGAAGCAGACCGGAAAGGACACGAGGCUUCCACGAGGGUGGAGGGCGCGCCCCCUGCCUCGUGGGCACCUCGUGUGCUCUCCGGACUCCGUUUUCUUGCACGAUACUUCUUUUGGUCGGUAAAAAUUCAUUAUGUAAUCUCCCGAAGGUUUUGACCACCGUAUCACGCAAAAAUCUCCUGCUCUUGUUUCGAGCUGUUUUCUGCUAGGGUUGUCAAGGCCAAGAAUCAUGUCGUCUCCCUCCUCCUCCAACAAUGAGGGCAACGACGCUUGGCUAAUGAAGAUAGAGAUGAAGAAAAAAGAACCCAGAGAGAUCAACAAGGAUGAUGGGAUCAAGAAGACCAUGGGGGAUCAAGUUCCGGUAGUAGCAGAAGAUGACAUCCUUCAACCUCACCACAAUCUCCUUACCCCAACGGAGAUUGAAGCUUUCAAGAUGAUUGUAUUAGCUCGCAUUCAAAACAAGUAUCUCACAAGUGAAAAUAUUUUGUUGAAGGAGCAUAUCAUCGCACUCAAGGGCAUUAUCCGCAAAUUGGAGGAUCUCUUAUGCUCGAUGUGCGACUACCCAUCAUCACCAACACCUUCUUCACCAACAAAGAGGAACUGAGCAUCGGGUAUGGGCACUCCCCUUGGCAACUGUCAAGCUUGGGGGAGUGCCCCGGUAUCGUAUCACCAUCACUUUUAUCUUUACUGUUUUUCUUAGUUCGAUCCUUUUGAUAAUAUCUUGAUCUAGUAGAAUAAAUUUUUAGUAUGAUCUAGUUGUGAGUUUUGCUUUAUGAUCCUUCUAUGUAAUCAAGUCCAUGAGCUAUAUAUAAUAAAGAUUAGUGUUGAGUCAAGGGCCUGAUUAUUUUGCCAUGAUCUUGAGGAAAUAAAAAGAGAAAGAAUAAAAAGAAAUAAAGGGAUAAUAUGGAUCUUAUGGAGAGUAAUGAGCUCACAUAUAAAGAGUAUGAUGAAUAAAAGUUGUUGAGAGUUGAUAAACAUAGUUUUGGUCAUCGUUGCAAUUAAUAGGAAGUAAUAAAGAAAGAGAGGUUUUCGCAUAUAAAUGUACUAUCUUGGAAAUCUUUUAUAAUUGUGAGCACUCAUUAAAGUAUGAUGUGCUAAAGAGUUGACGUUGGACAAGGAAGACAACGUAAUGGGUUGUGUUUUCUUAUAUCUGAGAUAAAUUAUAUUGUCAUGGAUCAUCCAACAUGUUGAGCUUGCCUUUCCCUCUCUUGCUAGCCAAUUUCUUUGCACCGAGUAGAGAUACUACUUGUGCUUCCAAAUAUCCCUAAACCCGUUUUUGCCAUGAAAGUCCACCAUACCUACCUAUGGAUUGAGUAAGAUCCUUCAAGUAAGUUGUCAUCGGUGCACGCAAUAAAAAUUGCUCUCUAAAUAUGUAUGAUCUAUUAAUGUGGAGAAAAUAAGCUUUACUCGAUCUUGUGAUGUGGAAGAAAUAAAAGUGACAGACUGCAUAAUAAAGGCCCAUAUCACAAGUGGCAAUAUAAAGUGACGUUCUUUUGCAUUAAGAUUUUGUGCAUUCAGCCAUAAAAGCGCAUGACAACCUCUGCUUCCCUCUGCGAAGGGCCUAUCUUUUACUUUUAUCUUCUACCUUAUAUAAGAGUCAUGGUGAUAUUCACCUUUCCUUUUUACAUUUUAUCCUUUGGCAAGAACAAUGUGUUGGAAAGAUCCUGAUAAAUAUAGCUAAUUGGAUGUGAGUUUUCAUGAACUAUUGUUGUUGACAUUACCCUUUCGGUAAAAAGUUGGGAGGCAAAACUAUAAGCCCCAAUCUUUCUCUGUGUCCGAUUAAAACUUCAUACCCAUAAAUAUAGCGUGAGUGUUAGUGAUAACCCACAAGUAUAGGGGAUCGCAACAGCUUUUGAGGGUAGAGUAUUCAACCCAAAUUUAUUGAUUCGACACAAGGGGAGCCAAAGAAUAUUCUCAAGUAUUAGCAGCUGACUUGUCAAUUCAACCACACCUAGAAACUUAGUAUCUACAGCAAAGUGUUUAGUAACAAAGUAAUAUGAUAGUGGUGGUAGCAGCAACAAAAGUAAAGACAACAAAAGUAAUGUUUUUGGUAUUUUGUAGUGAUUGUAACAGUAGCAGCGGGAAAGUAAAUAAGCGUAAACCAGUAUACGGAAAACUCAUAGGCACCGGAUCAGUGAUGGAUAAUUAUGCCGGAUGCGGUUCAUCAUGUAACAGUCAUAACAUAGGGUGACACAGAACUAGCUCCAAUUCGUCAAUAUAAUGUAGGCAUGUAUUCCGUAUAUAGUCAUACGUGCUUAUGGAAAAGAACUUGCAUGACAUCUUUUGUCCUACCCUCCCGUGGCAGCGAGGUCCUAUUAGAAACUAAGGGAUAUUAAGGCCUCCUUUUAACAGAGAACCGGAACAAAGCAUUAGCACAUAGUGAAUACAUGAACUCCUCAAACUAUGGUCAUCACUAGGAGUGGUCCCGAUUAUUGUCACUUCGGGGUUGCUGGAUCAUAACACAUAGUAGGUGACUAUAGACUUGCAAGAUAGGAUCAAGAACUCACAUAUAUUCAUGAAAACAUAAUAGGUUCAGAUCUGAAAUCAUGGCACUCGGGCCCUAGUGACAAGCAUUAAGCAUAGCAAAGUCAUAGCAACAUCAAUCUCAGAACAUAAUGGAUACUAGGGAUCAAACCCUCACAAAACUAACUCGAUUACAUGAUAAAUCUCAUCCAACCCAUCACCGUCCAGCAAGCCUACGAUGGAAUUACUCAUGCACGGCGGUGAGCAUCAUGAAAUUGGUGAUGGGGGGUGGUUGAUGAUGACGACGGCGAUGAAUCCCCCUCUCUGGAGCCCCGAACGGACUCCAGAUCAACCCUCCCGAGAGGUUUUAGGGCUUGGCGGCGGCUCCGUAUCAUAAAACGCGAUGAUUUCUUCUCUCUAAUUUUUUUUCUCUCUGAAAGCAAAUAUAUAGAGUUGGAGUUGGCAUCGGAGGGUGGGGGGCGCCCCCCACCCUCGUGAGAAGGGUGUGGGCCCCCUGGUCUUCAUCUUUGGCGAGGAUUUUUUAUUGUUUUUUCUAAGAUGUUCCAUGGAGUUUCAGGUCAUUCCGAGAAUAUUUGUUUUCUGCACAUAAAACAACAUCAUGGCAAUUCUGCUGAAAACAGCGUCAGUCCGGGUUAGUUCCAUUCAAAUCAUACAAGUUAGAGUCCAAAACAAGGGCAAAAGUGUUUGGAAAAGUAGAUACGACGGAGACGUAUCAACUCCCCCAAACUUAAACCCUUGCUUGUCCUCAAGCAAUUCAGUUGACAAAUUGAAAGAAAGAAAGAAAAACUUUUACAAACACUGUUUGCUCUUGUUGUUGUAACUAUGUCAAGCCAACAUUCAAGUUUUCAGCAUAGAUCAUAACUAACCACAUUCGCAAUAAGUCUCAGGUCUCAUAAUUACUCAUAUCAAUAGCAUAAUCAACUAGCAAGUCAUAAUAAUAAAUCUCGGAUGACAACACUUUCUCAAAACAAUCAUAAUAUGAUAUAACAAGAUGGUAUCUCGUUAGCCCUUUCUGAGACCGCAAAACAUAAAUGCAGAGCACCUUUAAAUAUCAAGGACUGACUAGACAUUGUAAUUCAUGGUAAAAGAGAUCCAAUCAUAGUCAUACCCAAUAUAAAUUAACAGUGAUGAAUGCAAAUGACGGAUGUGCUCUCCAGCUAGUGCUUUUUAAUAAGAGGGUGAUGACUCAACAUAAAAGUAAAUGGAUAGGCCCUUCACAGAGGGAAGUAGGGAUUUGUAGAGGUGCCAAAGCUCGGUUUUGAAAUAGAGAUGAAUUGUAUUUUGAGCGGUAUACUUUCAUUGUCAACAUAACAACCAAGAGAUGUCGAUAUCUCCCAUACUACACACAUUAUAGGCGGUCCCAAACAGAAUGGUAAAGUUUAUACUCCCCCUCCACCAACAAACAUCAAUCCAUGGCUUGCUCGAAACAACGAGUGCCUCCAACAUAUAUCAGGUCCCAGGGGGAGUUUUUUUUUCAAUUAUUUUAAUUUAGUUUGCAUAAAGCAUGGGACUGGGCAUCCCGGUGACCAGCCCUUUAUCUCGUGAAUGAGGAGCGGAGUCCACUCCUCUUGAGAAUAACCCACCUAACACGGAAGAUAAGGACAACCUUGGUUGAUACAUGAGCUAUUCGAGCAUACAAAACAGAAUGUUUAUUUGAAGGUUUAGAGUUUGACACAUACAAAUUUACUUGGAACGACAGGUAGAUACCGCAUAUAGGAAGGUAUAGUGGACUCAUCUGGAAUAACUUUGGGGUUUAAGGGAUUGGAUGCACAAGCAGUAUUCCCUCUUAGUACAGGUGAAGGCUAGCAAAAGACUGGGAAGCGACCAACUAGAGAGCGACAACAGCCAUGUACAUGCAUUAAAAUUAAUAAACAUUGGAUGCAAGCAUGAGUAGGAUAUAAUCCACCAUGAACAUAAUAUCGUGAAGGCUAUGUUGAUUUUGUUUCAACUACAUGCGUGAACAUGUGCCAUGUCAAGUCACUUAAAUCAUUCAAAAGGAGGAUACCACCCCAUCAUACCGCAUCAUAAUCAUCUUAAUAACAUGUUGGCACACAAGGUAAACCAUUAUAACUCAUAGCUAAUCAAGCAUGGCACAAGCAACUCUGAUCUCUAAUUGUCAUUGCAAACAUGUUUAAUCAUAAUAAGCUGAAUUGAGAACGACGGGCUCAUCAUAUUUACAAAAACAAAAGAGGUCGAGUUCAUACCAGCUUUUCUCAUCUCAGUCAGUCCAUCAUAUAUAAUCAUAAUUGCCUUUCACUUGCACGACCGAACGGUGUGAAUAAUAAUAAGAGUGCACGUGCAUUGGACUAAGUUGGAAUCUGCGAGCAUUCAAUAAAAAGGAGAAGACAAGGCAAUAUGGGCUCUUGGUUAAAUCAACAAUAAUGCAUAUAAGAGCCACUUCAGCAAUUUAAUUAUGGUCUUCUCCUACUGACCUCCAAAUAAAAGAAAAGAAAUAAAACUAUUUACACGGGAAAGCUCCCAACAAGCAAAAGAAGAACGGGAAAUAUUUUUGGGUUUUCUUUUUAAUUAUUACUACUACAGCAGAAAAAUAAACUAUUACUAAUUUUUUUUGGUUUUUCUUAAGGUUUAACAAGCACACAAGAAGAAAGCAGGAAAAAGAAAAUAAACUAGCAUGGAUGAUACAAUGAAAAAGGUAUGAGCACCGACAUCUAGCAAUGAGUGUGUGUGAACAUAAAUGUAAUGUCGGUGAGAAAUAUGUACUCCCCCAAGCUUAGGCUUUUGGCCUAAGUUGGUCUAUGGCCAGGGCUAGCCUGGCGGAUAUCCAUAAUAAUAGUUGUUGGGGUCGUACUGUGACGAGGAAGAAUCGUUGGGAUCAUACUGAUGUGCAGCGGUUAUCGCUUGUUGAGCUGCAGCGUGGAGUCGAGCUGCCUUCGCUCUCCUCUCGUACUCUUCUGCCUCCUCUCUGGUAAUAACAUAUCUCCCUUUUGUCUGUGAAUCAAAGAAGGCAGGAGCAGGGAGAGUAAUACGGAAAACACGUCGUUUAUCAAAAAUUAAACGAUAUAAGAGAGGUGAUUCAGACCUCUCGACAAACUGGUGCGAAGCCAUAGAGUUAUAAUCUAAAUAUGUAGGAGGCAACUCUGUAUCACCCUCACGAAUAUCUAUCUCAAGAAAAUUAGCUAAACGGGUUGCAUAAAUUCCUCCAAAGAAAUCUUCAUUAUGUCUAUUGUGAUGCAACCUACGAGCUACAAUGGCUCCCAUAUGGUAAGAUUGGUCUCCUAACACAACACUCCUAAGAAUGCUAAGAUCGGGACACACAUGUCACAUGCUUCAUCCUUAGCAUUUAUGCAUCUACCGAUGAAGAGAGCAAAAUAAUGUAUAGCAGGAAAGUGAAUGCUCCCUAUGGUAGCCUGCGUUAUAUCUCUAGAUUCCCCCACAGUUAUACUAGCAAGAAAGUUUCUAAAUUCAGAUUUAGGGGGAUCCCUAACACUACCCCAUGAUGGAAGUUUGCAUGCAAGAGUGAAAUCCUAUAGGUCCAUGGUAUAGGAUUUGUCAUAAAGAUCAAACAUGACUGAAGGAGAAUUACGCGAAGAUGAAUACUCAAACCUCCUCACAAAUGAACUUGUGAGAUCACGAUACUGGGGGCAUUUGUUAGCCUCAAAAUCCUCAAGACCAGCAUUGCCCAAAUAUGCUUUGAACUCUUCUUUAAUUCCCACACGGUCCAUAAAAUUUUCCGAUGGCCAUUUGCAAGGUCGUACCGGAGCAUCUCUUGGUGGAUCCUCGUCAGCAUCGCGCAUAGCAAUCCUGGGUCCUUGCUUCUUAGAAGAACCACCUUGGAACAUCUUCCUAAGCAUAUUGUUUUUCUCUGAAAAAUUCUGAAAUUUUUAGUAACUUCAAAAUAAAAGUAAACCAAACUCAAUAAAACGGAUAGCAACUACUCCUACAAGUGCCUAGAGCCUAAACAAGCAUUAGAACUACUUGGAACCAUAUAAAUUUGACAUGCAAGCUCAAGAACAUGGUCACCUAUGCAGCACAAUUUGCAAAGAAUAAAGCAGUAGAACAAAAACUAAUUGGGCCAAUGGAGGACUCACAUACCAAGGAACAAUCUCCCCAAGAAGUUUUGUGAGAGGUGCUUUGAGCAAGGAGAUCGAAAAUGGCAGCAAAAUGAGCUUGGACUCGGGUUUGAGUUGGUUUUUCGGGUUUGUGUGAGAUAAAGGAAGAAGAUGGGUGCUGGGAUAAGUGGAGGAGGGCCACCGUGGGCCCACGAGGCAGGGGCGUGCCCUAGAGGGGGGGCGCCCACCACCCUCGUGGCCAGGUGGCAGCUCCUCCCUCAGUAAUUUUUGCACAGUAAAUCCUCAAAUAUUCCCGAAAAAAUCAUAUUAAAUUGGCAUGUCAUUCUGAGGACUUUUAUUUUCGGGGUAUUUUUAUAUUGCACGGAUAAGUCAGGAAAUAGACAGAAAAAUACUAUUUUUACUUUAUUUCUACUAAUUAACAGAAAAUAUAGAGAGGGUACAGAAGGUUUGUGCUUCUAGUUACAUCCAUCUCAUGCUCAUCAAAAAGAAUCCACUAACAAGGUUGAUCAAGUCUUGUUAACAUACUCAUUCCGAUAAUCAUGAAACCGGAGAAAUUUCGAAUAACACUAAGUUACCUCAAUGGGGAUAUCCACAUCCCCUAUAAUAAGAAUAUCAUAUUUCUUCUUGACAGUAGGAAGAGGAAAUUCAAAACCUCCAAAUAUAAUCGAUGGAAUUUUUCCAAUAGAGUUGAUACUAUAAACUUAAGGUUGUUUCCUCGGAAAGUGUACCGUAUGCUCAUUACCAUUAACAUGAAAAGUGACAUUGCCUUUGUUGCAAUCAAUAACAGCCCCUGCAAUAUUAAGAAAAGGUCUUCCAAGAAUAAUAGACAUACUAUCAUCCUCGGGAAUAUCAAGAAUAACAAAGUCCGUUAAAAUAGUAACGUUUGCAACCACAACAGGCACAUCCUCACAGAUACCGACAGGUAUAGCAGUUGAUUUAUCAGCCAUUUGCAAAGAUAUUUCAGUAGGUGUCAACUUAUUCAAGUCAAGUCUACGAUAUAAAGAGAGAGGCAUAACACUAACACCGGCUCCAAGAUCACAUAAAGUAGUUUUAAUAUAAUUUCUUUUAAUGGAGCAAGGUAUAGUAGGUACUCCGGGGUCUCCAAGUUUCUUUGGUAAUCCACCCUUAAAAGUAUAAUUAGCAAGCAUGGUGGAAAUUUCAGCUUCCGGUAUCUUUCUUUUAUUAGUAAUGAUAUCCUUCAUAUAUUUAGCAUAAGGAUUUGUUUUAAGCACAUCAGUUAAUCGCAUACGCAAGAAGAUAGGCCUAAUCAUUUCAGCAAAGCGCUCAAAAUCCUCAUCAUCCUUUUUUCUUGGAUGGUUUCAGAGGAAAACGCAUGGGUUUCUGAACCCAUGGUUCUCUUUCUUUACUAUGUUUCCUAGCAAGAAAGUCUCUAUUAUCAUAACAUUGAUUCUUUUACCAUGUUUGCUAACAAGUUUAAGUUCACUUUUAAUAUUAGCCAUAUAAUCACCCAAGUAUUUAAGCAUAUCAGAAUCAUAUUUCAAUUGUCUACCAAAAUAAGCAUUGAAGUCGUCUUGCUUAAACAUAAAGUUAUCAAACUCAUCCAAGCACUGACUAGCAAUUUUAGUAGGAGGGACAUCAGCUUUAUCUUAUCUAUAAAGUGAAUUUACCUUUACUACCUGUGUCGGGAUAUCGGGAUCAGGAGGUUCUUCAAUAAAUAAAGAAUGGAGAUCAUAUGUUUCUUCAACAGGCGGUAUAAUAAGACCAUGUAUUUCUUCAAUAGGCGGUAAAUUCUUAACAUCUUCAGCUUUAAUACCUUUUUCUUUCAUAGAUUUCUUUGCCUCUUGCAUAUCUUCAGGACUGAGAAAUAGAACACCUCUCUUCUUAGGAGUUGGUUUAGGAAUAGGCUCAGUAAUUGGAGCAGGAGCUGGCUCAGGAGGUGCCCAAUUAUUUUCAUUUGUCAACAUAUUAUUCAAUAGAAUUUCAGCUUCAUCCGGUGUUCUUUCCCUGAAAAGAGAACCAGCAUAACUAUCCAGGUAAUCUCUAGAAGCAUCGGUUAGUCCAUUAUAAAAGAUAUCAAGUAUUUCAUGUUUCUUAAGAGGAUGCUCAGGCAAAGCAUUAAGUAACUUGAGAAGCCUCCCCCAAGCUUAUGGGAGACUCUCUUCUUCAAUUUGCACAAAAUUAUAUAUAUCCCUCAAAGCAGCUUGUUUCUUAUGAGCAGGGAAAUAUUUAGCAGAGAAGUAAUAAAUCAUAUCCUGGGGACUACGCACACAACCAGGAUCAAGAGAAUUAAACCAUAUCUUAGCAUCACCCCUUAAUGAGAACGGAAAUAUUUUGAGUAUAUAUAAGUAACACGAUCUCUCAUCAUUUGUAAACAGGGCAGCUAUAUCAUUUAACUUAGUAAGAUGCGCCACAACAGUUUCAGAUCCAUAGCCAUAAAACGGAUCAGAUUCAACCAAAGUAAUUAUAUCAGGAUCAACAGAGAAUUCAUAAUCCUUAUCAGGAACACAAAUAGGUGAAGUAGAAAAAGCAGGGUCGGGUUUCAUUUUAUCUCUAAGUGAUUCUUUGUUCCAUUUAAUUAAUAACCUCUUAAGUUCAUAUCUAUCUUUGCAAGCUAAAAUAGCGGUAGAAGAUUCCAUAUAAAAAAGAUAGCCCUCAGGAAUAACAAGCAUAUUUUCAUCAUCACUAUCAUCAUUGUAUUCAAAUUCAAUAAUUUCUUUUUCUCUAGCCCUAGCAAUUUGUUCAUCAAGAAAUCAACAAGGGGCACAGUAGUAUCAGACAUAGAAGCAGUUUCAUCAUAAAUAUCAUGCAUAGCAGAAGUGGCAUCAUCAAUAACAUGCGACAUAUCAGAACGAAUAGCAGAAGCAGGUGUAGGUGUCGCAAACUUACUCAUAAUAGAAGGUGAAUCAAGUGCAGAGCUAGAUGGCAGUUCCUUACCUCCCCUCGUAGUUGAGGGAUAGAUCUUGGUUUUUGGAUCUCUCAAGUUCUUCAUAGUGUCCAACAGAUAUAAAUCCCAAGUGACUCAAAGAAUAGACUUAUGCUCCCUGGCAACGGUGCCAGAAAUUAUUCUUGAUAACCCACAAGUAUAGGGGAUCGCAACAGCUUUCGAGGGUAGAGUAUUCAACCCAAAUUUAUUGAUUCGACACAAGGGGAGCCAAAGAAUAUUCUCAAGUAUUAGCAGCUGAGUUGUCAAUUCAACCACACCUGGAAACUUAGUAUCUGCAGCAAAGUGUUUAGUAGCAAAGUAAUAUGAUAGUGGUGGUAGCAGCAACAAAAGUAAAGAUAGCAAAAACAAUGUUUUUGGUAUUUUGUAGUGAUUGUAAAAGUAGCAGCGGGAAAGUAAAUAAGCGUAAACCAGUAUAUGGAAAACUCGUAGGCACCGGAUCAGUGAUGGAUAAUUAUGCCGGAUGCGGUUCAUCAUGUAACAGUCAUAACAUAGGGUGACACAGAACUAGCUCCAAUUCGUCAAUAUAAUGUAGGCAUGUAUUCCGUAUAUAGUCAUACGUGCUUAUGGAAAAGAACUCCCGUGGCAUCUUUUGUCCUACGCUCCCGUGGCAGCGGGGUCCUAUUGGAAACUAAGGGAUAUUAAGGCCUCCUUUUAAUAGAGAACCGGAACAAAGCAUUAGCACAUAGUGAAUACAUGAACUCCUUAAACUAUGGUCAUCACCGGGAGUGGUCCCGAUUAUUGUCACUUCGGGGUUGCCGGAUCAUAGCACAUAGUAGGUGACUAUAGACUUGCAAGAUGGGAUCAAGAACUCACAUAUAUUCAUGAAAACAUAAUAGGUUCGGAUCUGAAAUCAUGGCACCCGGGCCCUAGUGACAAGCAUUAAGCAUAGCAAAGUCAUAGCAACAUCAAUCUCAGAACAUAAUGGAUACUAGGGAUCAAACCCUAACAAAACUAACUUGAUUACAUGAUAAAUCUCAUCCAACCCAUCACCGUCCAGCAAGCCUAUGAUGGAAUUACUCACGCACGACGGUGAGCAUCAUGAAAUUGGUGAUGGAGGAUGGUUGAUGAUGAUGACGGCGACGAAUCCCCCUCUCCGGAGCCCCGAACGGACUCCAGAUCAGCCCUCCCGAGAGGUUUUAGGGCUUGGCGGCGGCUCCGUAUCAUAAAACGCGAUGAUUUCUUCUCUCUGAUUUUUUUCUCUCCGAAAGACAAUAUAUAGAGUUGGAGUUGGCGUCAGAGGGUUUCCAGGGGGCCCACGUGGUAGGGGGCGCGCCCUAGGGGGGCGCCCCCCACCCUCGUGAGAAGGGUGUGGGCCCCCUGGUCUUCAUCUUUGGCGAGGAUUUUUUAUUGUUUUUUCUAAGAUGUUCCAUGGAGUUUCAGGUCAUUCCGAGAAUAUUUGUUUUCUACACAUAAAACAACAUCAUGGCAAUUCUGCUGAAAACAGCGUUAGUCCAGGUUAGUUCCAUUCAAAUCAUACAAGUUAGAGUCCAAAACAAGGGCAAAAGUGUUUGGAAAAGUAGAUACGACGGAGACGUAUCAGUUAGCAAUUGUGAAAGACUAAAUGAUAGUUGAGUAUGUGGACUUGCUGAAAAGCUCUUAUAUUGACUCUUUCCUAUGUUAUGAUAAAUUGCAAUUGCCUCAAUGAUUGAGAUUAGAGUUUGUUCGUUCUCAAUGAAGUUAUGAUUCAUACUUGAAAUUCUGAUUGAAUUGUUACUUUAGCAUAAUGGAUCAUAUAUAUAUAUAUAUAUAUAUAUAUAUAUAUAUAUAUAUAUAUAUAUAUAUAUUGCUGUUCUAAGAAUGAUCAUGAUGCCCUCAUGUCUGUAUUUUAUUUUAUCGACACCUCUAUCUCUAAACAUGUGGACAUAUUUUUCGAUUUCGGCUUUCGCUUGAGGACAAGCGGGGUCUAAGCUCGGGGGAGUUGAUACGUCCAUUUUGCAUCAUGCUUUUAUAUCGAUAUUUAUUGCAUUAUGGGAUGUUAUUACACAUUAUGUCACAAUACUUAUACCUAUUCUCUCUUAUUUUACAAGGUUUACAUGAAGGGGGGAAUUCCGGCAGCUGGAAUUCUGGGCUGGAAAAUGUGCAAAUAUUAGAGACCUAUUCUGCACAGCUCCGAAAGUCCUAAAACUUCACGGAAGUCAUUUUUGGAAUUAAUAAAAAUACUGGAGAAAGAAUCCACCAGAGGGGGCCCACACCUGGCCACGAGGGUGGGGGGCGCGCCCUACCCCCCUGGGCCCUCCCCCUGCCUCGUGGGCCCCCUGGUGGCCCUCUGAUGCCCAUCUUCUGAUAUAUGAGGUCUUUUGUCCGAGAAAAAAAAUCAUAAGCAAGCUUACGGGAUGAAACUCCGCCGCCACUUGGCGGAACCAAUCUAGGGCUCCGGCAGAGCUGUUCUGCCGGGGAAACUUCCCUCCAGGAGGGGGAAAUCAUCACCAUCGUCAUCACCAACGAUCCUCUCAUCGGGAGGGGGUCAAUCUCCAUCAACAUUUUCACCAGCACCAUCUCAUCGCAAACCCUAGUUCAUCUCUUGUAUCCAAUCUUUGUAUCUAAACCUCAGAUUGGUACCUGUGGGUUGCUAGUAGUGUUGAUUACUCUUUAUAGUUGAUGCUAGUUGGUUUACUUGGUGGAAGAUCAUAUGUUCAGACCCAUUAUGCAUAUUAAUAACCCUCUGAUUAUGAACAUGAAUAUGAUUUGUGAGUAGUUACGUUUGUUCUUGAGGACAUGGGAGAAGUCUUGCUAUAAGUAGUCAUGUGAAUUUGGUAUUCGUUCGAUAUUUUGAUGAGAUGUAUGUUGUCAUCCCUCUAGUAGUGUCAUGUGAACGUCGACUACAUGACACUUCACCAUUGUCUGGGUCUAGAGGGAGGCAUUAGGAAGUAAUAAGUAGAUGAUGGGUUGCUAGAGUGACAGAAGCUUAAACCCUAGUUUAUGCGUUGCUUCUUAAGAGGCUGAUUUGGAUCCAUAUGUUUUCAUGCGAUGGUUAGGUUUACCUUAGUACUUCUGUUGUAGUUGCGGAUGCUUGCAAUGGGGGUUAAUCAUAAGUGGGAUGCUUGUCCAAGUAAGGGCAGUACCCAAGCACCGGUCCACCCACAUAUCAAAUUAUCAAAGUACCGAACGCGAAUCAUAUGAGCGUGAUGAAAACUAUCUUCACGAUAAUUCCCAUGUGUCCUCGGGAGCACUUUCCUUCAUAUAAGAGUUUGUCCAGGCUUGUCCUUUGCUACAAAAAGGAUUGGGCCAUCUUUGUAAGUGCAUCUAGUGCCACCCCUAGUUGGUUUUGGAGUAUUGACGACAAACCUGGUUGAGGGACUAGUGUGUUUGUGAGAAUUGCAGGAUAACACAGGUAGAAGUCCCUCAUUGAUUCGGUUUUCCUACCAGAGAUGACCCCUAAAAAUUUAUGAAGACAUUGAAGUCAAAGGUGGUAUGUGAAGACAUUCACAUUGAAGACUAUGAUAAGAGAAGACAUCGCGUGAAGACUAUGGAGUGCGAAGACUUAGCAGUUUCGUCGUUCUGUGUUUUUCUUUGUUGAGUCAUAGGAAUGACACUACUGUUAAGUGGGGUCCAAGAGAACCAGUCAGAAUGACUGAAGUGAUGCUUAACCAAAAUCCUAUGUCUUCGAGUGAGGACUAUGAGAGCAAAUCUUGUCCAGAGUUGGAUAAGUCAGCUUUGCUUGUAGUCCAAGUAAAGUUGACGUGUGUGUUUGAAAUCUGGCCGUUGCAACAUGUGUUAGUUCCUUAGUGACCAUGGGUCAUUUCGGACAAACCAGGUCGGGUUGCCCAAUGGCUAUAAAUAGCCCACCCCCUACAACCAUAAACGGUUGGCUACUCAGAGUUAGAGUACGGCUUUUGUCGUUUGAGAGCAACCCACCUCGAAGCCUUUGAGAGAGAAUUCCUUGCGAGGAUAAAGCCCUAAACACCCAGAGCCAAAGAGUGUUAGGCAUCACUUAAGUCUUCCUGUCUGUGUGAUCUGAAGACUUAUUACACUUGAGGACUGUGAAUCCUCCAGCCGGUUAGGCGUCUCGUUCUGAGCAUCCAAGAGUCAUUGUGGAUCGCCGGUGAACGAAGUCUGUGAAGGUUUGGAAGUCUACCUUAAAGACUUACCAGAGUGAUUGGGCGAGGAUUGGGUGUCCUUAGCUCAAGGGGAAUAAGGUGAAGACGAGGUCUUCUGAGUUGAAUCUCAGCCUCCCUAACCAGACGUAUAGUUGUCACAGCAACUGGAACUAGUCCAACAAAUCAUUGUCUUCAACGAGUCACUGGUUUCAUCUUUGCCAUCCCUUUACUUACUGUUGGUCCUUGUGAAGUCAUUGUAUCAUUGCAUUAUCUUUUGUAUUCACUGAGUGACUGCUUGUUCUGAUGGCUUCACAAUAUCUUCCUACCUGCUCUUUACUGCCUAGCUACUAUUAGUCAUUGUGCUUUCACUUCAUUGAAUACUUGACUAUGGUUUGCCUAGUGUAGUCUACCUUUCGCUGCAUGGUAAUAGGUUUAUUUCUAUCGUUUGUCUUCGAAACUUCCAUGUUUUGAAGACUUUCAUAAAAAUCGCCUAUUCACCCCCCCCUCUAGUCGAUCACUAGCACUUUCAAUUGGUAUCAGAGCAAGGUACUCCCUUGUUCUGUGUGAUUCGGUUUAACCACCUGGAGUUUUAGCUAUUUCGACUGCAGGGAUAAUUAAAGUCUCCGCUGCAUACCCCGUCUUUGAUGGAACUGAAUAUCCCUACUGGAAGAAUAAUAUGCGCAUGCAUCUUGAAGCCAUUGAUGUCGACCUAUGGUAUGUCGUCAAGAAUGGCGUUCCCAAGGCUGGUGAAGGUGUCACAGCUGCUGAUGUUAAGAAGUUCGUUCAACUGGACUCCACUGCCAAGAACAUCAUCUGUGGUCAUCUAACCAAAGGACAGUAUGGCCGCAUGAGUGCUUUGGAAACAUCUAAGCUAGUCUAGGACUGGCUCUCCAAGGUCAAUCAAGGCGUCUCAACCCAGAGAGAUCAGAGAAUCAGUGUCCUCCGCAACCUCUUCAACCGCUUCAAGAGAAAUGACAAUGAGAAUGUCCAGCUCACGUUUGAUCGACUCGCUGACAUCACAAAUGAGCUUCAAGGUCUCGGCGCCACUGAGAUCACCAAGCAUGAAGUUGUCAAGACACUCCUGAGAUCACUUGACAGCUCGUUUUACACCCUAGCCCUGAUGAUUCAAGAACGUCCUGACUUCAAGACACUCGAUCCGUCUGACAUACUUGAGAGGCUCAACACACACGAGUUUCAGCUUUCUGAGAAAAGAGACAUCUACGGUCCCAACUAUGGGCGAACUCGUGCCUUGAAGGCAAAAGUUGUCUCCUCAUCUGAAGAAGAAUCUGACAGCAGUUCUGAUGAUCCUGAAGACAUUGGAAAGGAGCUUUCUAUGCUUGUGAAUAAGUUCCAAAAAUUCACCAAGAAGAAAGGCUUCAAAAAGUCUUCACGAUCAAGCUCAAGGAAUGAUGAAGCUUCUGCUCAUGACUACAAGAAGAGAACAUGCCACAAGUGCAAGAAACCUGGCCACUACAUCUCUGAGUGUCCCCAGUGGGACAAUGAGAACAAGAAGAAGAAGAAGAAGGAGGAGGAGGAGAAGAAGAAGAAGAGCAAGGAGUAUGACUCUGACGACAAGAAGAAGAAGAAAUACUCAAAGUCUUCUUCCAAGUCUUCCUCAAAGUCUUCAUCACACAAGAAGAGCUCAUCUGGCAAGGCACGUGCAUUUGUUGGCAAGGAAAUGGAUUCAGAGGAGGAGUCCGCUUCUGAGGAGGCGGAGGUGGAGUCUGAGGAGGAGGCCGAUUCUGGCGUUGCGAGUCUGGCUACAGCAUACGUUGCCAAGUCCAUCUUCAACACUGAAGACAAUGACUUCAUCACCAACACCGAUGCAAAUGACAAGGACUACUCCGCUCCUACCUACUGCUUCAUGGCACGCGGUGCCAAGGUAAACACGCGCACUACUCACUAUCAAACAUCUAGUGAAGAUGACUCUGAUUGUGGUUCCAAACCCAGCUACAAAACACUUGCUAAAAUCGCAACUGAACAACAGAAAGCUAUGGAACAUAUUCAAAAAUUGUUAGACAAAAGCGAUGAUCUGUUAGACGCUGAAAUGACUCGACCUCAGUCCUUAAUUGAAGACAUAAAAAAUCUUCACGUUAAGUAUGAGGAACUUGAAAGUCGUCAUGAAACGCUCUCAACAACUCAUGAAAAGCUUUCCUAUGAUUAUCUUCAAAGGAAGCAAGAUCUUGAGAAAUUGAGAGUGGCUCAUGAAGAUCUUCAAAAGGAAAACGAGUCACUUCGUGCCAAACAGAUCAGUUCAGCUCAGGAAGGAUUUGAACCACCAUGUCUUAAAUGCAUCGAGCAUGACAACGCUACUUCUGUUGUUGGGUGUUCUACUACUGCUACUAUUGCAAUAUCUUCAACUGUUGAUGUGGUAACUAACCCCUCUGCUGAGGAUACCACUGCUAUUGCUGAUGAGAAUGCUAGGUUGAAGACAUUGCUUGAAACAGGGAUGUACAAAAGUCUCAAAGGGCAUCAGACACUAUGUGAUGUCCUCAAAAGGCAGAUCCUGAACCGAAACCCUAGGAAAGAGGGUGUUGGGUUCGAAAGGAAAAUGAAUGCUGAUGGCUCUUACUGGAAACCUGAGCAGUACCCCAAAACCACAUGGUUUGCUGCAAAGGAACCUUCAGCGGAUCCAUCCACCCUAUCUGGCUUCACUUGUGCUAAUCCCAUUGUUAUUGAUGAAUCCUUUGAUGCAAACUAUAAACUGUUUAAGAAUCAGAAUGGUGAAGUGUUUGCCAGGUAUAUUGGUAGUAACUGCAGGAAUGGGCCGCCUAUGAAGAAAGUCUGGGUGCCAAAAAGGUGUUUGGAGAAUCUUCCUGUGAAUAUCGUCAUGACACCACAAGUGAAGAAGACAAACCCUAGACCACAGGCUUCAUAUGGUCCAAAGGCUUCAUACAGACAGAGGACUCACCUGAGUCGCACUAACGCAAAUGUUUUGCAGGGAAACCUUACUCAGGCCUAUGAAUAUGAGCGCGUUUCAUCAAACCGCCAUGUUCAUAAGACCAAAAACUAUUCUGCUUAUCCUUAUGAGUACUAUUGUCCACCUGCAAGACUUUUUGCUAGGGCUCCAAAGCCAAAGUUCUCAGAUGAUGCACUUAGACUCAUUUCUUCGAAGCCACCCUUGAAGAUGUGGGUGGCUAAGAAAGCUUAACUCUCUUUUGCAGGGAAAGGUCUCCAGCCGAAAACCAAAAUCAUCGGAAGCUAUUGCUGGGGACCUUAAACAUCUUGUAGGGUGCAAGAUCAAAUGCCCAAAUGGUCUUAUUAUGUAUUUUGUUCCUGAGUCACUUGCCACUUGCCCUAUCAGUCCUAACCUCGAUCUAAGCUUUCAUAAUCCACUUGCUCGUCAAAUGUUUAUGCUUCACAAUUCUCUUCGUGAAGCCUAUCCCCCUAACUGCACUGUAGGGUAUGACACCAGCUGCUUCAGAAUGGAUUAUUGAUAGUGGGUGUACUAAUCACAUGACUGGCAAGCGAAACCUUCUUAUGGACUCAACCUUAUGUCCAUCUGACAAAAGUCACAUCACAUUUGCUGACACUGGUAAAAGCAAGGUAUUGGGUCUAGGUAGAGUUGCAAUCUCAAAGGAUCAACACAUGGAUAAAGUCAUGCUUGUUGAAUCCCUUGGUUUCAACUUAAUGUCUGUCUCCAUGCUUUGUGAUUUAAACAUGAUUGUAAUGUUUGGAAAAUAUCGUUGCCUUGUUCUAAUGGAAUCUGACAAGUCUCUAGUGUUUGAAGGGUAUCGGAAAGAUGAUUUAUACGUGGUAGAUUUCUCAGCAGGACCACAACUUGCCAUAUGUCUUCUAGCAAAAGCUUCUGAAUGUUGGCUCUGGCAUCGGAGGCUAGGGCAUGCUGGCAUGAGGAACCUGCACACCCUUGCAAGGAAGAAGCAUGUCAUAGGCAUCAAGGGCGUCAAGUUCAAGAAAGAUCAAUUAUGCGGUGCCUGUGAAGCAGGAAAGAUGACGAGGGCCAAGCAUCCCUCGAAGACAAUCAUGGCAACGACUCAACCCUUCGAACUGCUCCACAUGGACCUUUUCGGUCCCACUCAUUACUCAAAUCUUACUACUACUGCUUGUCUCUAUGGCUUUGUCAUUGUUGAUGAUUAUUCAAGAUAUACCUGGGUGCAUAUAAUCCUCUACAAGACUGAAGUGCAGGAUGUCUUCAGACGCUUCGCCAAUCGAGCCACGAACAACUAUGCCAUCAAGAUCAAGCACAUCAGAAGUGACAAUGGCACUGAAUUCAAGAACACUGGUCUAGACACUUAUCUUGAUACUUUGGGCAUUACACAUGAAUUCUCAGCUCCGUACACACCGCAGCAGAAUGGCGUCGUGGAAUGCAAGAACAGAACACUCAUUGAGAUGGCCCGAACAAUGCUUGAUGAAUACAAGACUCCAAGAAAGUUCUGGCCCGAAGCCAUUGAUACUGCAUGCCAUAUCAUCAACCGUGUUUGUCUUCACAAACUUUUCAACAAGACAUCCUAUGAGCUCCUUACAGGCAAGAAGCCAAAUGUCAGUUACUUCAGAGUAUUUGGUGCUAGGUGCUGGAUCAAGGAUCCACAUCACACUUCAAAAUUUUCACCAAAAGCACAUGAAGGUUUUAUGCUUGGAUAUGGAAAGGAUUCACACUUCUACAGAGUCUUCAACCUUUUUCACUAUAAAGUGGUUGAAACAGUGGAUGUGUGGUUCGAUGAGACUAACGGCUCACAAAGAGAGCACCUGCCAAAUGUGCUAGAUGAAGUUCCAUCCAGUGAAUCAAUCAAACUUAUGGGAACUGGAGAAAUCAUACCAUCUGAAUCUCAGCCUGAAGAGGAACUUAUCAUCUCCGCACCUGAUCAAACAGAAGACAAUGCUCAGCCUGAAGACAAUCCUUCUAACGAUGGCAAUGAUCGGCAAGAGCAAAAUCUUCGUCCUGUACAUCCUCGUGUUGCAAAUGAAGUACAGAUUGAGAGAAUAAUUCAUAGCAUCAAUGCACCAGGUCCACUCACUCGUUCAAGGGCAACACAGCUAGCAAAUUUCUGUGGGCACUUCGCAUUCGUCUCAAUAUCUGAACCCAAGAAAGUUGAAGAAGCCUUCAUGGAACCUGAAUGGAUUCAAGCUAUGCAAGAAGAGCUUCAACAGUUUGAGCUGAAUAAUGUAUGGGAACUGAUUAAGCGUCCUGAUCCUCGCAAGCACAAUAUAAUAGGCACCAAAUGGAUAUAUCGCAACAAGCAACAUGAGCAUGGUCAAGUUGCCAGAAACAAAGCUCGUCUCAUUGCUCAAGGGUACACUCAAGUUGAAGGGAUUGACUUCGAUGAAACAUUUGCUCCUGUGGCUAGACUUGAAGCCAUACGCAUACUGCUGGCCUAUGAAAAUCAUCAUAACAUUCUUCUGUAUCAAAUUGAUGUGAAGAGCGCCUUUCUCAAUGGCAAGAUUGAAGAAGAAGUGUAUGUUGCACAACCGUCUGGCUUUGAAGAUCCAAAACAUCCUGACAUGGUGUACAAGCUCAACAAGGCACUGUAUGGCCUCAAACAAGCCCCUCGGGCUUGGUAUGACACACUCAAAGACUUCCUAAAGAGCAAAGGCUUCAAACCUGGUUCCCUCAACCCCACUCUCUUCACGAAGACAUAUGAUGGUGAACUGUUUGUGUGCCAAAUAUAUGUGGAUGACAUUAUCUUCGGCUGCACCAAUCAGAAAUACAGUGAAGACUUUGGAUAUAUGAUGCAAGAGCAAUAUUAGAUGUCCAUGAUGGGUGAGCUGAAGUUCUUCCUUGGUCUUCAAAUACGUCAGCAACGCAACGACAUCUUCAUAUCUCAAGAGAAGUACCUUAAAGAUUGCCUGAAGAAAUUUGGGAUGCAAGACUGCAAAGGCUUCACGACGCCAAUGCCAGCCAAACAUCAUCUGGGUCCCGACGACAAUGGUAAAGAGUUUGAUCAAAAGGUAUAUUGCUCCAUGAUUGGUUCUUUGCUUUAUCUAUGUGCAUCUAGGCCAGAUAUUAUGCUUAGUGUUUGCAUGUGUGCUCGAUUCCAAGCGGCACUAAAGGAAUCGCAUCACUUAGCUGUGAAGCAAAUUCUUCAAUAUUUGGCUUACACCCCAACAUUAGGAUUAUGGUAUCCAAAGGGCUCAUUUUGAUCUGGUUGGAUUCUCGGAUGCUGAUUAUGCUGGUGACAAGGUGGAUCGCAAGUCUACAUCAUGCACAUGUCAUUUUCUAGGACGAUCACUUGUAUGUUGGUCUUCAGAGAAGCAGAACUGUGUAUCUCUCUCCACUGCUGAAUCUGAAUACAUUGCUGCUGGAUCUUGCUGCGCUCAGCUUCUAUGGAUGAAGCAAACACUCAAAGACUAUGGCAUUCAUCUGAACCAAAUGCCACUCUACUGCGACAACGAAAGCGCCAUCAAGAUUGCCAACAACCCAGUUCAGCACUCGAAGACAAAGCACAUUGAAAUUCGUCAAGAUUGCCAACAACCUAGUUCAGCACUCGAAGACAAAGCGCAUUGAAAUUCGUCAUCACUUUCUCAGAGAUCAUGUUGUGAAGGAAGAUAUUGAUAUUAUACACAUCAACGCUGAAGACCAAUUGGCAGAUAUCUUCACCAAGCCCUUGGAUGAGAAGAGGUUUUGCAAGUUACGGUGUGAGCUAAAUAUCUUGGAAUCCUCAAAUGUCCUGUGAUCAGGCACACAUCCUAACACUUAUGCAUAUUGAUGACUUAGAUGUGCAACACACGAAGUAAAGUAUAUCUUCAAUCAAUGAAGACUUACAUUCUAAGUGUGAAUACAUUAAUGUGGAAUUUGACUUCGGAGCGCCACGAUAAUUGUGCGCCGUGUCUGGGUCUAAUACUUCCUAUACGGUGGGUAAUGCCACCACCAAAUUUUUCUGUUUGAAGUGUUUCACUCAUGGCGUUACGUUUGCUAUGUCUUCACAUUUGGUUUGGCUUCAAUCUCAACUUGUCUUCAUGAUUAUCUUCACUAUGUUGAUUUGAUUGUCUUUCUCUUAUAUAUAUAUAUAUAUAUAUAUAUAUAUAUAUAUAUAUAUAUAUACUAGUGUUCUGUCCUCUACAGCAUUCACUUAUAGCUAUGUCUUCUUGUUGAAUCUUUUGAACUAAGUGAAUGUGAUCUGACCCUAACCUCUCUAUGCUUUCUAUCUCAAAAUCUAUCUCUCCAAAUCAUAUGCAUUCUAUUGAAACCGUCGAAUAUCUUCUCUGCGCCCUUGUCAGCAGAAGAUACAGAGACAAACAUUAAGUUUGUUUUCAAUGCUAAAUCCUUUCACCUAAAACCCGGAGAAGUGGGAACGACCACCCAACAAUCCAGGCAUGCGUGGGAACAUGGAACAACCUCCGAUAUGUUGCAUGAUAGCCACGUGCCCUUCAGAUGUGAAUUGCCAGGGGCACCUGUGUAAUAACACUGUGCCGUCCCUGUCCCUAUAAAUACACGCCUCACCACAGUCAUUAUCCUUUCUUCCACUCUCGCACAAACCCUAGCGCCACCGCUAGCCCUCGACGACACCGGCGACGAAGAGCUUAGCUGCCGCGACCUCACCGACGCCAUCUUCACACCGGCUGCGGACAUCGUCUUCUCCGCCGUCGCCGUAGGUGUCCUCUGUCGCCAAGUUAGGGCACGGACGAUCGAAUUGCUCGGCCUCCUCUCCCACUCCGUCUAGCAGUUCUUUGUGUGGUAAAUAAAACUUCCUUUUUACGGCCCCUUUGAUCCUAUAGAUUCAUCACUUUCUACCACAAGCAGUUUAUGUUCACAUAAGUUGGAUCUAUUUCAUACUGCAUCUCAUAAUAUGCCUAGUAUGUUCACUUAUGUUUCACAAAGUAGUUAGAUUCCUCACUUGUACUUAUUCGUGGAUUCGUACAAAUCUGGAACCAACUCUCUAUCUAUGAGUGAAUGUCUUCGCACUAUGAGGGCAAUGUCUUCUAAACUGAUUUAUCUUCAAAAUCUUCUGAGAAUGCAUAUGACCUCUUCCCCUUCCCUCGCACCUUAAUGCUGUCACAGGUACAUGUCCGUGGGAGAAUCCCUUGGUACUCAUAGUCUGCAUUCAUUUGCAGAAUUCUUACAACAUCAUAUAAAUUCUCCCGAAGCCGGUUCCUGUUUGACCAGCAAGCGGAAGCCUUUGAAACCUUUGAACGUGUUGAAGCCAUUCAGUUUGAAGUUCAUGGCUACGGUGAAAUCAGCAAGGAAGGGUGGCAGAUAGCGUCAAGGGGGAACAUCAAGAGAUCCGCCUGAUGACCUCUCAGAGUUGUACAAGACAGAUCCAGAAGAGGAUUACAAUCAGCGCAAGACACGAAUCCAAUGGAUUCGAAGAUACUGGGUCGAGCAAUGGUUCAAGUACAAGUUUGUGACCCAGGAAUAUGCUGAGAAGAAUGCCAUCAAGCGACCAUGGGGAGACAUCCUAUACAGAAAUCUUCAACCCAGGUCCAGAGAUGAAGCCAUUGAACAAGGCUUCUAUCCCUGCAUGGUCCGUGGACCACAGCCUGCGGAUGCAGACCCAUCGUCAUUGCUAUGGUGUCGUGACGACAAUCUGUUCAAGCGCAACUUCCAGUUUGCCAAGAAUUCGGCUAAGCAAAACAAGAAGUCAUUGGGACUAGACUUCAACCCUGGUCCUUCUGCUCCCCGUGUCGAUGGCACCCGCGAAGCUGAACCCAAUCUUGUUGGGCCCUUCUACAACCUGGAAGGUCUCAUCACUCAUAUCAUGGUUCAAGGGACAGCCGUGGAUGAGCCUGCAGAUGACGCUGAAUCUGAUGAAGCGCCUGCACUAAGCCAAAGAAACCGAAGAAGCCUAAAGCUUCAAAGCCUGCUCCUGCACCAAAGGUCUUACAGGCGAAGCCUCUGGCCACUGCACCUCCUGAACACAGUGUGCAGUCUGAAGAUUUGUCACGCAUCUCCAAGCCCUCGAGAGUAAAGAUGCCCGUGCAACCCACCCGCCAAGAACUGAUUGCUGCUGCUAUUCUGCGCAACGACGCCAUUGAUCUGUCCAGCGAUGAAGAUCUUGCAGAUGACGCGCUUGAGCAACUGAUUAAGAGCAAGGAAGAAGCAGAAAUAUUCAAUGAUUUGCCUCUCUUUGACGUGGCAAUCAUCCACAACUUCAUUGAUGAGUGGUUCGAAACCCCCAAUCUCAGCUUUGAAGAUCUGCAGCUUCCAAUUGGCCUCAUUGUCGCCUUCACUGGCGCCAUUGCUUUUGAGCUAGCUCUAGCUCAGCGCAUCGUUGAACUGAAGCAAAAGAUCGACUAUGAGAAAGCUCAGUUCAAGAAGCACAUGGCCAAGCUCAGCGUGCAAGAUGUGAAAAACUUCAAGAUUAUGCUACACGAGCUCAAGGAAGCCUUUCUCAAGAAGCUAAAGGCUCUCGUGAGCGCAUGAAGAGCCUGGCUGACAAGUGUGUGCAAGCCUACAAUGAGGCUGAGAAGCGCAAGGCUCUUGGUCGUCCUGGCAUCGACCCAAGAAUGGCUGCAAAGAAGAAGAAGCCAUCAACAGACCAAUCUGCACCUUCAAGGCGGGAAGAGCCACGCGUAGUCUUUCCAAGCAGCAUGACUGGCUCAAAGCCAAAGGUCCGGUCAACCGCUUCAGAACUGAAGAAGAUGAGGACUGCCGAGGCUGAAGCUAGAAAGAGGAAAAAUCCUGACUCUUCUGAUGUCGCUCCCUCCAAGAAGAAGCGCAAAACCAAGAGAGAUCGGGCUGCUCACACAGAGCCCCUUGUUGUCGAGCUCAUCUCGGUUGCUCGUCCUAAAUCUUCGCAUCAAGAACGACGGAUAGUAGUUCAUGAGCCUACUUCCACAGAGGCUCCUGAAGCUGAAGACAUUCCAGCAAUUGACUACACCGCUGCUGAAUACAUUGGUCACCAUGACAAUGUUGAAGAUGAUGAAGUCCUUCCUCAUAUCGAGCACCAACUGAUAUCAUCGCCUGUGCUCACGCACAGCGAACUCAUCAGCAUUGGUCGUCCUCUGACGCCAACUACUCAGGAUGCAUCAUGGGCUGAUCACCCACAACAACAAGACACCCCGAGUACUCCCCAACAACAACAAGUCACACCACCUGUGCAAGACGAAGAAGACGACUUUGAGGCCCAGCCAACUCCAUCUCCAUAGGCGUCGCCAGCGCUACGCAGGCUUCGCAAAGGACCAAGGCCUCAAGUCCCUCUUUCGAGCGUUCCAGAAGGAGAAGUGCACCACCAAUCUAUUGCACGUCAAGUGUUUCCAGAUGCCACUCCUACUGUGACUAUCUCUGAAUCCGAUGCCAAAAUGGCUGAAGAUGUUCCGGCUGCAUCAGCCGAUGAAGAAGAAGCCCCUAGAGUUGCUACACCCCCGUCUCACCAAGAAGUUGUUCUCGAGGAGAACGUGACCGACCCUCCAGCUUCUGAAGUGGAGGUUGAGAAUCCUGAGGCUGCCACCACUAACACCACUGAAGCCAAUGACGUGGUCAUGGCUGAAGACACUCCGGAGCCUGCACCUAACACUGUGCGAGAGGCCAAUGAAGCCAAUGAUGCACCUGCAACAGAUGUGCAGCCUGACGCCUCUGUUGAUGCCACUACUCCUGUUCCGCCACCAAGGCCACACACUAUCGAGCAAGCAUUCAACUAUGGCCAACUUAUCACUGUCAAAUCGCCUUUUCUGACUCCUCCGCCUGCUGUUGGUCCUCAGUUUGACUAUCACAUUGAGCACAGGCCUCAGGUUCAGAAGCCAAUGCCAAGGUUGCCCAGGUUUCCAGGUACUGCAUCUGCACCCGGAUCUUUCAAUAUCAAUGGUUUCAAGGUACACAACACCUUGUUUGAUAGCGCCAAGAACCCCUACACCAAGGCAAGAAUAUCUUCUGAUUGGUUCUGGAGCUAUCAGCAGCGUAGUUAUUACUCAUGCAUUCUGUACAAUCAAGGUCGCAUUUUCCCACAUAUGCGUCUUGACACUGAAGCCAUAACUGGUCUGCCUUGUUUGGAAGAAGCCCUGGAUUGCUUCAGAGAGUCUGGAUUGUUGCCGUUCGUCACUGACAAGGAGCACUGGAACGAAGAAUUGCUGCUCCAAUUCUAUGCCACUCUUCAUAUUCGUGGCUACAACCGAGAUCCGAAGACUUGGGUCCUUGAGUGGAUGACAGGCAAUGUUCAUCACGAAGCCAAAGCCUUUGAUAUCAUUGAGCUCACUGGUCUACCCACUCCAGGAGAUCUUUAUGAACCUGGUUGUCAGCUUCACAGUGCCGCUAUGGAGAGCAUUUUUCACAAGCCUGAACCAAACAUGAGUCAGAUGCUUAGCAUGAUGAAGCCUUUGCCUCCAAAUGCUGCAUAUCCUAAGGAUUUCUUUGUUGAAGACCUUGAGUAUCUGCCACGCACUAUCUAUCACAUUAUAAGGCGAACUCUCUGGCCCAUCAAAGGACAUUCUCCACAUGCAAAGCUGGAAGGUGCAAUGAAGACUUUGGUCUUCCAUAUUCUUCACGGCAAAUGCUUCAAUGCACAAGACUUCUUCAUCCGCCAACUUGCUGCAUCAGGAUCUGAUCUCUUUGGCUUGAAGUUUUACGCUCCAUGGAUUAUGUGGCUCAUCAAACUACACUCAGCUGUCACCUAUCAGCCCUCUGCUCGCAAUCAUCGGAUCUUUCUGCCUGACGUCAAUAUGUCAGUUGAAGCCAUCUAUCCAGAGCCUGCCAAGGAGCCCCUUAGUCUUCAGAAUGCUGAUAAGCAAAGUUUCUCUCAACACAUUGAAGGCGACCCAGCAGUCACUCGUGUUUAUCCACUGGCUGGUACUACCCGUGCACCUCAUCGUGCCCUCACUGAAGCCACUGAAAGCACCAUUGCACAACGGCCCAAGAAGCGAUCCCGUGUUCUCAAUGACCGAGAGCUUCUGGUUGCCCUUCAUCAGAAACAUGAUAAGCAUCAUGACUAGCUAAAGCGCCAAAUGCAAAGCCUCUUGGUGGACGUAAACAGGAUUCGCAACCUUGCCACCAAGAAUGCCUUUGUCGCCCAUGAAACUUGUCGGCGUACAUGGAAAGGGCUGACGCUUAUGUGUUCUGAAGAUGAUCUUCAAGAGGAUGGUUUCUCUAAACGCUUCAAGUUUGACUCAACACCUCCAAGAAGGACUGUGUUGCGACGAACUCCGUCUCUUGAAGACUCUGAGUUCUCCUCCUCUGCUGCAACAGUGAAUGCACGUGUCAUCGAUGAUGAAGACGAUGCUACUUCACCACCUUCAGCACGAAUCAACACUGUACCGAGUUCGUCUGCACCGCCAACCAAAUCCGACGACCCUGCUGCAUCACCAACUCCUCAUGGGAACGAGUAGGUGCUCUAUGUCUUCAAACCUUUUUGGUCCUUACUGAGAAAAGGGGGAGAAGCAUAUGAGUUUGAUAGUCUUCAAGCGGGUCCAUAUGGGCGGUGGUUUUAUAUUUUGCCUAGUGUUUACAACUCUCGCGUUUUGAUACAUUUGGUUCUUUGAGUUGUAACACUCAAACUCGAUGGUCGUCUGCUACUUAUUUGCUUUUCUGUGAUGCGAUGAUAAAUUCCGCAUGUGCGACGAUAAAUUCUGCACUUAGAUCAUUUUGCAGACGUCCAUUUUUCAUUAUGCAUGUCAUUAUCUUCACAUACUUUUCAUGCAUGAUGAAUUGUCAUCAUAAGUUGAAGAGGAUCUCCACAAGUACAACCUGCCAUGUGUAUUUGCAUACCAAAAGAAAAUUACUUAUAUGCACAUCUUCAGGGGGAGCCUUUGCCACUUAUGAAGACAAUAACCUAUCCUUUACAAUUUCACAUAUUUUAUUCCCUGUCGAAAACUUCAACCAGUUUGUCAUCAAUCACCAAAAAGGGGGAGAUUGUAAGUGCAUCCAGUGCCAUCCCUAGUUGGUUUUGGAGUAUUGACGACAAACCUGGUUGAGGGACUAAUGUGUUUGUGAGAAUUGCAGGACAACACAGGUAGAAGACCCUCAUUGAUUCGGUUUUCCUACCGGAGAUGACCCCUAAAAAUGUAUGAAGACAUUGAAGUCAAAGGUGGUAUGUGAAGACAUUCACAUUGAAGACUAUGAUAAGAGAAGACAUCGCGUGAAGACUAUGAAGCGUGAAGACUUAGCAGAUUCGUCGUUCUGUGUUUUUCUUUUUUGAGUCAUAGGAACCACCGUACUGUUAAGUGGGGUCCAAGAGAACCAGUCAGAAUGACUGAAGUGAUGCUUAACCAAAAUCCUAUGUCUUCGAGUGAAGACUAUGAGAGCAAAUCUUGUCCAGAGUUGGAUAAGUCAACUUUGCUUGUAGUCCAAGUAAAGUUGCCGUGUGUGUUUGAAAUCUGACCGUUGGAACACGUGUCAGUUCCUUAGUGACCAAGGGUCAUUUCGGACAAACCAGGUCGGGUUGCCCAGUGGCUAUAAAUAGCCCACCCCCUACAACCAUAAACGGUUGGCUGCUCAGAGUUAGAGUACGGCUUUUGUCGUUUGAGAGCAACCCACCUCGAAGCCUUUGAGAGAGAAUUCCUUGCGAGGAUAAAGCCCUAAACACCCAGAGCCAAAGAGUGUUAGGCAUCACUUAAGUCUUCCUAUCUGUGUGAUCUGAAGACUUAUUACACUUGAGGACUGUGAAUCCUCCAGCCAGUUAGGCGUCGCGUUCUGAGCAUCCAAGAGUCAUUGUGGAUCACCGGUGAACGAAGUCUGUGAAGGUUUGGAAGUCUACCUUGAAGACUUACCAGAGUGAUUGGGCGAGGACUGGGUGUCCUUAGCUCAAGGGGAAUAAGGUGAAGACGAGGUCUUCUGAGUUGAAUCUCAGCCUCCCUAACCAGACGUACAGUUGUCACAGCAACUGGAACUGGUCCAACAAAUCAUUGUCUUCAACGAGUCACUGGUUUCAUCCUUCCCUUCCCUUUACUUACUGUUGGUCCUUGUGAAGUCAUUGUAUGAUUUGCAUUAUCUUUUGUCUUCACUGAGUGACUGCUUGUUCUGAUUGGCUUCACAAUAUCUUCCUACCUGAUCUUUACUACCUAGCUGCUAUUAGUCAUUGUGCUUUCACUUCAUUGAAUACUUGACUAUGGUUUGCCUAGUGUAGUCUUCCUUCCGCUGCAUGGUAAUAGGUUUAUUUCUACCGUUUGUCUUCGAAACUUCCAUGUUUUGAAGACUUUCAUAAAAAUCACCUAUUCACCCUCCCCUCUAGUCGAUCACUAGCACUUUCAAUCUUGCUGCACCUUAUUUACUUUUAAUACUUGCUACUCGUUACAAAUUACCUUAUCACGAAACUAUCUGUUACCGACAAUUUCAGUGCUUGUAGAGAAUACCUUACUGAAUACUGCUUAUCAUUUCCUUCUGCUCCUCGUUGGGUUCGACACUCUUACUUAUCGAAAAUGCUACGGUAGAUCCCCUACACAUGUGGGUCAUCAAUCAUCAUACCUAGUUCAAUCUCGUUACCGGCAAGUCUCUUUAAUCGUUCCGUAAUGCAUCAUCCCGCAACUAACUCAUUGGUCACAUUGCUUGCAAGGCUCAUAGUGAUGUACAUUACCGAGAGGGCCUAGAGAUACCUCUUCGAUAGACGGAGUGAAAAAUCCUAAUCUCGAUCUAUGCCAACUCAACAAACACCAUCGGAGACACCUGUAGAGCAUUUUUAUAAUCACCCAGUUACGUUGUGACGUUUGAUAGCACACAAGGUGUUCCUCUGGUAUUCGAGAGUUGCAUAAUCUCAUAGUCAGAGGAACAUGUAUAAGUCAUGAAGAAAGCAGUAGCAAUAAAACUGAAUGAUCAUGAUGCUAAGCUAACGAAUGGGUCUUGUCCAUCAUAUAGUCAGAUGCUCUACAGAUUCUCUAAUGAUGUGAUCUCGUUCAUCAAAUGACAACACAUGUCCAAGGCUAGGAAACUUAACCAUCUUUGAUUAACGAGCUAGUCAAGUAGAGGCAUACUAGGGACACUCUGUUUGUCUAUGUAUUCACACAUGUACUAAGUUUCCCGUUAAUACAAUUCUAGCAUGAAUAAUAAACAUUUAUCAUGCUAUAAUGAAAUAUAAAUAAUAACUUUAUUAUUGCCUCUAGGGCAUAUUUCCUUCAGUAUCAUGCCUGCUCCAGCACUCCCAUCCGCCAUCAGGAAGGACGUAAAACACUGACGCCUACACUGCUUUCGGCAGGCAAAGGAAGGAUGUAAAACACUGACGCCUACACUACGGAUGAAGAUUUAGACUAGAUAAAAAAAUGUGAUAUGUUUUUCGUUUAGUUGAAAUAUGUUAAAAAUGUAAUGAAUUUCGUCUCGCUUAAAUAAAAAUCAUUAGAUUUGCAUAAAAGUUGUUCUGUUUGUAAUUAUUGACGUAUAAUGUGUUGCCUAGUUUUUUACAUCAGAUCGGUCUUUUGGUUGCAUUGGCUAGAGCAUGCACUUCUAUAUGGUAUCAGAGCCAAGAGGUCUUGUGUUCAAGACCCGGCUGGCGCAAUUAUAUUGCAACCCAGUUUCGGUCCAUGUUUAGGCUGAGGAAGGCCACACGUGAAGGGAAGUGUUAAUGUAUAAUGUGUUGCCUAGUUUUUUCCAUCAGAUCAGUCUUUUGGUUGCAUUGGUUAGAACAUGCACGGGCUAGAGCAUGCACUUCUACAGUAAUUUCAUUUGAAAUAUAUGAGGACGUCACGCUCGUUCUCUUUGUAAUUUUAUUUGAGAGAUUUGAGGUAAUUUCAUUUGAAAUGUAUGCACAUGUUUGAGACACACUCGUUCUGUUUGUAAUUUUAUUCGAGAGAUUUGACGUAAUUAGAGAUGAGGUAAUUUCAUUUGAAAUGUAUGCGCAUGUCUGAGGUAUGCAGUUGCAUGAUCAGUAUCAAUGUGCACAACUGCACAUACACGACGCCUACAUGGCCGGCGAAGAUUUAGACUAGAUAUAAAUGUGUCAUCUGCUUUUUUUCAAAUUUGAAAUAUGUCAAAUAUAAUAAAUUUGAUCCGAUUUAAAUAAAAAUCAUCUGGUUGGCAAGAGUUGUCCUGUUUAUUCAAAUUUCAUAUAAAAUGUACAGAAUUGCGUGAUCAGCUAUCGGAUGACUCAUGUGAAACACAGACAGCCUGCAAAGAUUCAGAUUUGAACCAGGUUAAAAAUGUCAUCUGCUUUUUAGUUGAAAUAUGUCAAAAAUAUAAUGAAUUUUUCUGGUUCAGAUAAAAAUCAUCUGGUUUGCGUGAAAUUCGUCUUGUUUGUUCAAACAAAUAACGAUGUAUGCUUUAGAGGGUCGCGGUGGAGAUGCCAUAACAAACACGACGCACGCUAGAAUGGCAUCUUAGGGCGUGUUUGGUUGCCCACAUGCAGCCCAACCAGGCCCGCGCGGGAUGUGCACGACCUGUUUGGUUGCCUGGGCUGCAUGUGGUUUGUGGCCCACACGGACCUUAAAGCAACCCGCAGCCUCGGCAGUUUCUCGCGAGCCUGGCUAGGCGCGGCCACACCUGCGAGGCAGUUGCACGCCUCGGGCAACACGGGAGACGGAAGGGACGUCUCAUAACUCGCCCCCACUCUCCUGCCACCGCCCAAUCGCACUGUUCCCACCGCUCCCUCUCUCCCUCACCGCCCCUUCCUCUCCUCUCUUCCGAUGGCUCCGCCUCGCCCAUCGUCGCUCCGCCCUCUGACCCCUGUGACGAGCGCAUCGCCAGCAUCUAGGAGCGCUGCCUGGCCGGGCUCCAGAACUCGAGGUGGGACCUGGCGUCGGCGCUGCUAGCGCCGUCCCCCAUCUGCUGUAGCCACCACCGCCGCCGGCCAAUGCGGUGCCGGCCGUUCCUGCUCUGCCGCGGAUUCCUGACCUCGUGGUCCUGGGCUCGGCAUCGGCGCCGUCGAGGGAGCUGCUGCUUGUUGGGACCCUAUUAGGCAAGGGGGUUUUCUUGACCCCCGUCCAAGGGUUUUCUCCUAUCGGCGGGCCGUCCUCCUCGACCUCCGGCAUGGCGAUGAGCACGGGGCCGAUGCCGCAGGCCGUCGUCAGGGCCGGCUCCUCCUCUGCUCCGCCACCUCUCUCCUUCCCGCUGGUGUUUUCACCUGGCCGCGGUUCGCUGCGACUGCGCGUGCUCCGGUGAGUCAAACCCCCUCAAUGCUUGCUCGUAGAUGUAGAUUAGGUGUUUAAUUCUUAGGCAUGUGAUAGUAGUUAGUGGAUUCGAUACGAUUAGAUGGGAUUGGAGUAGAUUCGAUUGGAUCCAAUCGGACCGAUCUGUUCUUAUUUCAUACAGUGUGUGUCCUAGGAUCUGCUACUGCUACUGCUAGUGUGUCCUAGGAUCUUUGUUCAUGCUAGUAGUUGUGUUCAUGCUAGAAUCCCAAUGGUAGUGUGCUUUGCUAUGAUAUGUGUCCAUGGUAGGGUCUUGCUAGGAUGUGUGUUCAUGAAAAUGGCGUGUUCAUGCUCAAGCUAGGAUCAUGUUCAUGUUGUUGUUCAUGUUGCUAACAUACAUAUUCAAGCUAGGGUUUGUAUUGAUUGUUAUACGUGCAUGUAAUAGUACCAUUUUAGGAUGCUGCCAAAUGUGCAUGGCUGCAUAUGAGUGCUAUUGGCACCUGCUGUUGUUAUUUUUAGAUGUCGUCAUGCUUAGGAUAGUGCACUGAUGAGUGGCAGUUGCGGAAAAGCAAAUGGCACUGAUCAUUGGCACUUGCUAUUGGGCAAGUCCACUGAUCAUUGCCACUGAUCAGUGACAUUGCCACUUGCUGUUGGCAAAAAUGUCACUUAUAAAUGGCACUUGUUAUUGGACAAGUCCACUAAUCAGUGCCAUUUGCCUAACAACAAGUGGCAUUGAUAAGUGGCAUUUGCUCUUGGGCAAAUGUCUCUGAUCAGUGCCAUUUUGCAAAGAGUUUGUGCACUAAUACUUGUUAUUUUACCUGACAAGAUAUUGAAGACUGUCUGAAAUAUGGCGGAUGGAGGAGCUCAGACGGUGGCCGGAGCUGAGGGCGUCGAGGAUUUCAUCCCCAUGAACAUGUGGCUCGGGACGGUGGACCUGCCUGGCAGGAUCGCCUUCAUAAGCCUGCCUCGUUCAAGGGGACGAUCUUCGAGGCAGGGCCACGAGGAGGGGAUGUGGGAGCCACUACGCUUCUACCAGCAGAUUAAGGACAAUGAGGACUUCACCAUGCUCGUCAUCCCUCACAAUUUCACCUGGCUGAUCAUUAAGCAGCUCCCGCGCGUGGUUAGGCUGUCGGCGAACAAGCAAUGUGUGUUCUGGGUGCAGGUUUAAAACUUCGAGGGGCACAUGAUGCUUGGCCAGUGCUGGAACUACUUCUGCCGUCGCCACUGGAUCGUCCCCGACAACCUUAUCGUUAUGCGCAUCUCAGGACUCGGCCUGAAGGUUCAGAUCUACUUGAAUUCAAGAGUCAUCUACAGGAGGUAUGCUUCCAUGUGUGCCGAAGAAGCGUCUUAUCAUUAUACGCUGUUUAUCCAAUCAAAAACUUCUUCGUUUAGUUGGUAGAACCACGCCAAUAUCAUAUUGACUAUCUCUCGUCUAAUAAGACAACCACGACUCCUCAGUUAUGUGUUGGUUUCGUUGCAGCAGGCACAACUGCGUUGGUGACAUUGAGCAUGCUAUGUAGUUAAGUUAAGUAAAAUGUUAAUAUUGAACUUUUAUGAUGUGUGACGAGACUUAUGGGUACUUGUGCUAGGAACUUGUUCAUAUUUUGGUCAGGGUACGUGGUGCAGGGAAGGAGGAUGCUCCUGCUGUUAAUCUAGUUAAGUAGUUUGCUGUUAUUUGCUUGCUUGAUUUGUUUGAUUUCAUUUGCUUUGUUUUGCUGUUGUGCCGAUCAUGUGGUGGUAAGGCCACCACAUUUGAAUAUGGUGAGCAGAACAUAAAUACUGUUUGCGACCAAACAAAAGUUCGCAUCUGCUCACAUUCUAAGCACAAAAACGGAAACCAAACACGAAGGGUAAAUGCCCUCUAUGCGAUGCAGGCAGGCAACCUAUUGAUUGCAUCUGUUGCAUAUGAGGCUGCAUUUAAAGAAUCAGGCUCCCUGACGAUGAACAUGCAAUGCAACUACUGUUAACUGCAACCAAACACACCCUUAAAUAUUCGCAGGCAUCUUAUUUACUCAGCUCAAGCUUAACUCAAGAGGGCUAGUCGGCAGCGGACAGCCAGUCGGGGCCGGCAGCUCAGUGCUGUCCGGGCAGCUUCUCCUUGAUCUUGUCCAUGAGUCCCUUCUUCUCGCCGGCGCCAGCACCGGCCAUUCGUGCGUGCCCUUGCUGCCCGUAAUCUCCGCCGGUCCCAGUUCCCGCGGCCGUGUGCUGCCCGUAGGCCCCGCCAGCUCCGGUUCCCGCGGCCAUGUGCUGCUGACUGUCUUUGUGGCCACCGGGGAGCUUCUCCUUGAUCUUCUCCUUCACGCCCUUCUUCCUCCUCCCGCCCAUGCCGUCAUCCUCAGAAGACUGCAAACACGUACACACAACAGCGACGGAGAUCAGCAGAUGCACAUAUGUCUGAAAGACUGGAACAUACUACCAAAGAAAACGUUUUCUGAAAUGGAAGUAUGGAACACGCAGAGGUAGAAACCGCACCGAGCUGGAGCUGGAGCUGCCGGAGCGGUGCAGUAUCCCGCCGGUCUUGUGCUCCUCCCUGCCGUGCUGGAGCUGCCCGCCGGCGCCCGUGAACGCGCCGGCGGCGGAGCGUGCCACAGGGUUGCCGUGCCCGGCCACGGGGUCGCCGUGCUCGUCGACGGCGUGACCGUGCUGCCCCUGGUACUCCUCCAUCUUUGUUACUACUACCGUUGUUGGACUUGCUGCUGUAUCUAUCCCCUGAACCGGUCCCAAAAUGGACUCCAAAGCCUAGUUUUGUAGCGCUACACGGUGGGUGUUUAUACUGCGGCGCGAGCCAGACCCACGGCAGCGAGGUGCGUGCGCAACCCAUACGUGGUGGGUUGGGACUUGGGAGGUGGACGUGGCUAGCUGUCCUCGGCGACAGACCGGCAAGUGCGUGUAUGCGCCGUGGCGCCCGGAGCGCGGCAGGUGCGCCUUGGGUUAUUCUGGAGGCCGGUGACUCGACAGAUCGGCUCGUUCUGGUGUUCUUCUCUUCUUCUGAUGACAAACGACGGUGCGUUUCGUUGUUGCUCUGCCCGCUAGACGAAGCUCUGCGUGUCGCCGCGUGAUCGAUUGCAACUGUAAGCAGAACGGAAAAAGGCUCGAUCGGCCGUAUGACUCAGGACCGUGGCAGACGUACAACUUACAAGCAGCUAUGCAUAUAAGCUUGGGUGUGGCUAGAUCCAACUCAAAACUUAAUUAAAUCUCAGUCAAAUGACACAACAUAUGAAAAAAGAAAAAAAAAUAACAGAAUUUUUUUUACAUGAAUCUCUAAUAUAAGAUUUCAUGACUGUAGCAUCGACGAAGUUUUCGUCCCAGUUGACUGAGAUUUAACAAUUUCAUAUAAGCUUUGUACGCCCAUCCUUACACGAUUUGAUCCCAGAGCAUAUCUGGUUUUGAUUUCCGGUUGGUUCAUUCGUUUCGUCGAUUUUAAGCCACUGGUCCAAUCGUAUAAAUGGUAGGUUUAACGGGGGCAACAAACAACAUAUAUCUCUGAUGUAUUUGGGAGAAACCGUAUUAGAAAAAAGACUACUGUGAGCAAUAUCUACAUUUUUGAUAAAUAGUGGAUUUUGUUGACUCAAAAUGAAACAUCAACGUGAUACAAACACAAGAAGCACACAUCCCGUCUUUAUGGUGAGACCUAAAGGAAAAGGUGGAAUGGGGUUUAAAGACCUUCGGACGUUCGACACACGUACACAAAAAUGCGCCGGCAAGCAGUCAUACAAGACCAAAACUAUGCAUAAGCGAGUAAAGAAAAAACUGAUUCAAUCGCAUUCAUGAUCGGCAAACUACAACAAUGACCAUAUCCACACCAACCAUCUCAUGACACCACACAUACGACGAGGUCCUUCAAUAGCAACGCCUUCAGAAAGAAAACGCCGCUCAAACGCUGCCGUCACCGAAUCAAACCACUCAAGGUUAGAAUCUAGGUUUUCACCCUGAAGAAUCAGUCCGAGCAAUGCCUUUAACAAAGUAACAACAUAAAAACAUGCAGUAGCUAGGUAUAACCAACUCGAAUCAGACUUAAGCUUUCACUCCAGAGCUCAGUGUAUCUGCAUAGAGAUCUUAGACGAUGGCUAGGACCACACUGUAUUCCACAAGGAGCAAAUACUUGGCAGUGGAAACAAGUUCAGGCACCUAGUGGUCAAGAGGUUUUCCUUUUUGAGACACUAGUCAAGAGGGGUAAGCUCGAGGGGGCGUCUUGCAUCCACAAUGAUAACAUCCCUAUAAGGUGUGUACUCUGACAUUUCUCGAUGUGAAGAAACAAAAGAGACCGCAACAGGCAUCACAUAGGGCCAAGUGGGCAAGUGGCGGUGCCAACUUAGAAAGGCUCAGAAAGUACUUCCUUCGUCUCAUAAUUUAAGAGCGUUUUAACUUUUGGGAGUAGCAACCAGCGCAAAUAGGUUCAGACGAUGGCACCAACUUAGCAAAAAGGUUGUUUACAAAUUUUGCAAUAAUAAAGAGUAACCCCGACCUCGAAAAGAGCUUCGAGAUCAAGCCUAACUAGGUCGCAGUUGCCAUGGUGAAGAUGCUAGCGAGCCUUGAGGGCAAAUCCAUGUAUCCAAGGAGGCCCAGCUGCCACACGGUGGAAUAUAGGCUAAUGAACUUCAAGACCAAGCCUGACGAGGUCCCAGCUGCCAUGUUAGAGCAUAUGUGCAUACGCCCCAAGCUUUGCAAAUUUUCAUGUAUUUUUAUUCAAGUUCUUGUGCGGUCCAUCAAAUGGAAGCAAAUUUGUAUGGUGAUACAAUCAACUACUCCCUCCGUCCCAACGCUCUUAUAUUAUGUUAUGGGACAGAGGGAGUUGCUCGCACUCUUAGAACUUGCGCUCCUAGACAGUAGAUUUAAUUGGUCAAACAAUCAAGCAUAACCAACUUUGUAGUCUUGACGGAGCCUUCUUCAACCUAGCUUGGAAUGACUCUUUUUCAAACACAACCCAAAAGGCUAGCUAGUCAUUAUUAUUGGAAAGUCUCGGCCGAGUGAAAUAUAACAUAAAUUACACCACUGAAAUAAGAGAGAGAGAGAGAGAGAGAGAGAGAGAGAGAGAGAGAGAAAGCUGGUCUCAUGCGCUAUAGCUGCACCCAUGCUUAUCAGUUCUGGUUCUUGUUCUUGUGCACAUUAAAUUUUGAAAUACUAGUUUUUAUUUUUCUAGUGGUCAACGAAAUUGAACAACAAGGAUGAUAAAAACAAGAAGAAAAAUUACUUAUUUCAGAACUGUAAUCCAUAGGCCAUAACAUAUGAGUCGAGUCAAGUAGAAAAACAUACUCAUUUUAUAACUGUAAUCCAUAGGCCAUAACAUAUGAGUUGAGUCAAGAAGAAAAACAUACUUAUUUUACAACUAUAAUCCAUGGGCCAUAACAUAUGUGUUGAGUCAUGGAUCGUCGGUGCUAUCUAUAUCAGGAGGUGUCAUAAAAGAAUUGAAUGGCCGCACUAGCAUAUCUCUCUUGCGAAAGAAUUCUUUUUCGUGAUCUUGUUUUCCACAGAAAAAAUCUGCACUGCUUGGGUGCAAGACAUUGGAUUCAUCUGGACAAAAUGCACACGAGGCUCUAAAGCGGCACAACGGCUUUUCUGUUGACAUUACAGAGAAAGAUAAAGACAGAAUUAGCUGCAAGUUACAUUAAUGAUAUGGAUAUACUCAAGUGGCUAGCAAACACAGUAUGGCGAAUGUAAAGAUAAAUUUAGGUAGUACCUAAGAUAGUGCAUGUUUCAACGACUAUUUGGCACCAGCGUCUAUCAAAAUAUAGCUCGGCAAAGAAGUGUUGCGUCUCGGCGGUGGCAUCCACUGGGCGAGCCGAAAAGCCGAGGUGGUACCAGAAAGUUUCCCUAAAACCGAUGCAGACGGCGUUCAUCUCUGUGGUGGGAGGAUACUCAGGAUACUCGAACUCGGCACCCUGCAUCUCAGCGAUCGAUCUCAAACCCUCAAUCAUAAGUAUUAAGUACUCGCCUGGAUGUAUGAGAGGGAGAGACGGAGAGAGUAUCAUACCGGGUUGUUGGAGUUGUAAUGUUCAAGGGCGACGUCAACAAGCUGAGAAAUUCGGAAGGCGACGAUAUCUCUGUCUCCAAAUAAACAAGGGUACACCAAAUAAAUAAACAUAAUAAGUACUCCUAUAAGAAUAGAAAUACAUGCAAGCAAUUGAGGAAAUUUACAGAAAUAAUAUAUCCAGUAGCUACGAAUUACAUACUCUUUUGACAUACGGCUGCCUGGGGGAGGGUUGGCGUAAUCAAAGGCAGCGGCGCCGCCGUCGCCGCCGGCAGUGGAAGAGAAUAAGGAACCCAUCGAUGGAUCAAUGUCCCGGUGCCUCUUGGCGGCUGGCCAAAGUAAAUAGAAGGAUUUCCCCGUAUAUGUCAGUAUAUGGUUAAGCCGAUCGGGAUCGGAGACUAGGAGUCCCUUUGCGUUACGGAAGAUAAAUAGCCUACGUUUGUUUAUGCUCCACAACAAAUAGCGUGUAGGCAGGCCGGCUGGUUGGAUCUGGGCCGCAGGAGGGCCGUGUGUCCACUGUCCAGCGGGGGGUUACGCCCUAAUAGCCUACGUUUUUUGCGUGCCUUGAUUUUCUUGUCUUUGUUUCUCAAAUCUCUGGUGAUUGCAACCCGUAGACUGCCGCUGCUUGCUUGUACAGGCGCAGGUACGAGUUACAAAACCGACUCGUGCUAGACCAAGCAAACUCCAAACCGACUUAAGCUAAGCUUUCCAAUUGUACUUGCACACGUAGCCUACUAAGCACAAAGACAUUUUCCUAACCCUAAUGAUAAAUGCCACACGUGGGAUGUGUGGCACUCCAGCCCUGACGUUUUUCGAUGACAAGGCACGCAAGGAUGGCAAAUUCUAGUGGCACGCGGCAAGUUUCUUUCAAAAACAAACAAAAGCACAAAAGUUGCCAUGCUUGCCUCAAAUCAUUUUGACCGACAUAACCCUACUUCCCAUUCAUCUCGCGACGAACCACAUUCCACGGUUGUUGGUGAGAGCGGCAGUGGCGGCGGGGUACAUAGGGGGCUGAGAGCCGUAGUCGUGGCAAGGAUGAUGGCGAUGUUGGGAUGGACACGUGUUGCACAGUGGAUGUCUCUUUUUCAGACGUUGAAGCUGAGCGAUUCCCUUUUUCUUUUUUCUUUUCCUUUUCUCCUCCUUUACUUUUUUUUCAGUUUUUUGAAUUUUCUUUUUCCAAGUGCCAAACAUUUUUUUAUUCAUCAAAUUAAGAAAAUGUUCAUCAAUUUCGAAACUUGUUCAUAGUUUUCAAAAAAAAUCAUCAAAUACAAAAUUUGUUCAUUGAAUUCAAUAUUUGUUCAUCCAUUUUUCAAAAAAUGGUUCUUGAAUAAAACUUUUGUUCAUCAAGUUCAAUUUUCUUUAUCAAAAAAUUAUUCUAAAAUAAAAAAUGCUCAAUUUUUUCAUCAAAAUAAAAAAUUCAUUCUUCUGAUAUUGCGAACAUUUUUUAAUUCAAGAACUAUUUUGUACAAUUCAAAAUUUUAUGAAAUUUAAGAACCCAUCCCGUAUUAUUUUAAGAUAUAGAAUAAAACAAAAAGUGAAAAUAGGAGGAAAAGUAAAAAAGGGAAAACAAAAUGGGGGGCGUCCGCCCUGUGCGGAGGUGUGUGUUCCUGCGUCUUGGGGCGCACAGGCCGCUAAAUUGGACCUCCCUUCGAAGGGAGGUCUUUUUUUUCCUAGUCCCUUCGUGGACAUAUUCCACGUCUCACGCCCGCUCUAAUUCUUGCAAACGCUUGUGAAAAUUUGAAGCAUGGUAUAGUACAUUGUUACAGGGCCUCGGCAAGGUGUGCAUGCAUGGUUUCAAAUUCUGAAUAUGGUUUUUGAUGAUGAAUAAAUAAAAUCUUUCAUCCCUCAAGAAAAAGAACCUGUGAAAGUGCCAAGGUGCAAAAAAGAUGUUGCAGCCUUAAGGCUGGAUUCAGCCAGCGAUGAGCGCGUACGUACGUGAUUCUUGCACUUUGCACUGCAGGGUACGGGGCAGAAGGAGAUCAUAGGCAUUCGAGAAGGUCUCUGAUUGUUGAUGUUGAGUCAGACAACCUUGAAGCAGUGAAGAUGAUUGAAGAGAUGGAUAGAUCAAAAUAUGCUUUUCUGAUAGGGGAGAUCAAAGCUAGUUUGAUUGAGCAUAAUUCUUGUAUUUCGUCCGUUUCAAAUUACUCGUCGCAGAAAUGGAUGUAUCUAAAUGUACCUAGAACUUCUAGAUACAUCCAUUUCUGCGACGAGUAAUUUGGAACGGAGGGAGUAUUACUCAUGUUGUGCGCAGCAAAAAUAAUGCUAGUCACUUUUUAGCAAAUUUUGGACGAUCACAAUGCCGAACUGUUGUGUGGCUUGGAUCGAUCCUGAUGAACUCCUUAACAUUGCCGGUCGUGAUUGUAACCCUGGAUAGUUUUGAGUAAUACUAUACAAGAGUAUUAUCCCGCAAAAAAAAAAGGUACAGGGCAGAAGAAGAAGAAGGCGAAUGUACGCGGGGCACUUCUUGAUUGAUUCUUGUGCUAUGCGCAGCAAUAUAAAUACGGGAGGGCAGCACCCCCAACCAACGGCCCAACCGCCUCCCCAACCAAUUCUUCUUCAAACUCCCGCCACCCCCAACGGCCGCCUCCAUGGCCUCGUCCUCCUCCUCCUCCAUGCCCUCCACCGCCGCCUCCUCCUCGCGGCCCCCCGCCGACGGAGCGCUCGCGCCGAGCCUCGACUACGACACGGCCUUUCCGGUUCUGGGGAGUUUGCCACCGCGUCCUCCCAGGGGCGGGAGAGCAGCGCCGCCGCCGCGUCCUCCGAGGAGGAGCGAGGACCGUCGGCGAGGAGGGAAGACGCCCAGCUACACGUUCGACGGGGACACCGUAGGCAUGUCGCUUGGUUCGCUCUACGGGCGCGCGGACAAUGCCGCAGCGGAGACGACUGCGGCCACGGCCGAGGCGGACGCCGCAGCGGGGACGACCUCGGCGACUCCUCCGAACUCUGUCGAUCCCGCCACGACGACCAAGGCGGGGACCUUCGCCGCAGCGAAGGCGGUUCUCUCAGGUGCGAUCAGUCCCCUCCCGGCCGAGUUCUCCUGUUGAUUUCUUGUUCUUGCUUUCUUGCAAACUAAUCGGAGGAAUUCGUUCAGGGCUUCCCGCCCUGUUGCCUGCUGUGCAGGUGUUCGGCGACUACCGCUUCGGGUACACGAUGGGCGACCUCUUCCAGGACCUCGAGAAGCUCCAGCUCGGGUCGCCGAACGUCAACGAGCCGAUGCAUCCGCCGCCGCUCCAGUUUCAGGUCCAGCCGCCGCUCCGAUCCCAGCGGCUUCAGGCCCCCCGCUACUUCAACGCGCCGAUGGCUCAGGUUCAGCUCCAGGGGCCUCCGCCCCAGUUCGCGCCGCCACGCUUCGGCGGGCAGCAGCCUCAGGUCCCAGCUCGCCCGCUACACGCCAUGGAAGUUCCACGGCUACCCGUUGGCGUCGAGCCCUCCGGUGUUCAUACGGGUUCAGUUCGAGCAUCAGCAGGGAUCUUUCACGGGUUUCGUCAGGGUACAGGGCAGGUACACUACGAUUUUGCACAGGAAUUUGUCAUGAACUGCAACUGGUGGUGUUCACAUUUUGGUGUAGAUGCUAUUAGCUGCAUUGCAAUGAUCUCUUGGGUUAUAUUUUUGUGCUAAUCUGCUUGUGCUUGAUACAGUUUACUGAAACUGUUUUAGUCCAAGAAACAGUUAACUGAAACUGUUGUAGUCUGAAAAAACAGUUAACUGAAACUCUUGUAGUCUGAAAAAACAGUUUUCUGACACUCUUGUGGUCUAAAACUGACAGGUGUUGGGGAUUGUCUGCAACUGUUGUAAUCUUGUUGAUAAGUAGAUUAAGAUCUGUUAUUGGGGAAAUAAAUCAUUAUGGAACUUAAAACUCCAAAUCAUUUGAAUUAGCCCAUUUGUCAGGACAGGUACACCACGAUUUUGCACAGGAAUUUGUCAUGAACUGCAACUGAAGGUCUUUGAUUAAAUUGUCAUGCACAACGUUCAGAUUCUGGUGUAGAUGCUGUUUGCUGCAAUACAAUGAUCUUUUGGGGUUUAUUAUUGCGCUAAUCUGCUACUGCUUGAUACGAUUUACUGAAACUUUUUUACUCCCAGAAACAGUUUACUGAAACUGUUGUAUGAAAAAACAGUUAACUGAAACUCUUGUAGUCUAAAACUGAUAGGUUUUGGGAAUUGUCUGCAUGCAACUUUUUUUUUAGGAAUUGUCUGCAUGCAACUGUUGUAAUCUUGUAGAUAAGUAAAAUAAGAUCUGUUAUUGGGGGAAUAAAUCAUUAUGGAACUUAAAACACCCACUCAGUUGAUUCAUCUCCUUUUGUCCUUAGCAUAGAAGAUGCUGUGGUAUCCAUUUGAAUUAGCGUCGAAUAACUAUGUGAAAAUUAAAUGAGAUUUCAGGUUCUAACAAUACUAAAUUAAAUGAAUCUGAUUUCUGCACAUAAGCUAUAUUCAGGUUUUGUACAUUAGCUGUAAUCUUAGUUGUUUCUUUUUAUUCUACAAAAUUCUGAGAUUUAGAUUGUUCAUCUGCCUCCUUCUGAUCUUCUUUGGCGAGAAUGUACUCUGAUCUUGAAUCUAUUAUGCAGAAUCUACAGAUGUUGGUGUAGAUACUAUUUUACUACAUGAAAAUAUUUAGAAUCUUACUUUAGUUGAGUGCUAAUCUGAUCGUGCUUGGAAAAAGGUUACUAUAGAAGAGUAAAAGUAGUUCAUUUAGGAUUUGGUAGUAGUCUGAAACUGUUGCAGUCUUAUGGAAGAGUAAAAGUAGUUCAUUUAGGAUUUGGUAGUUGCCUGAAACUGUUGCAGUCUAAUAGAAGAGUAAAAGUAGUUUGAUUUGCCUUGUGAAUUUUUUCACUCCUUGAUUCAUAUAAUUCAGUUCCAUUCUGGAACAUUUGCCUAUAGAUAAAUAGGCAAAUCAAGUUCAGUCAUCUGAUUUCACCUUUGCAUAGUAAUAUACUAAUUUUCUAACCUCUGAAUUAAUUCCUCAAAAAACAAACCUCUGGACAUAAUUCAGUUAGUAUUUGUACAAUAUCACAUUUAUAAUCAUUACAACUUUACAAGGAUGGCACAUUACAUUGUUUGAAGGUACAGGACAGGUACACUAACAUUUUGCACAGGAAUUUGUCAUGCACAGUAACUGAAGGUCUUUGAUUUAAUUUGUCAUCCACUACGUUCAGAUUCUAGUGUAGAUGCUUUUUGCUGCAUUACAAUGAUCUUUUGGGGUUUAUUAUUGUGCUAAUCUUCUUGUGCUUGAUACGGUUUACUGAAACUUUUUUACUCCCAGAAACAGUUUACUGAAACUGUUGUAGGAUAAAACAGUUAAAUGAACUCAUGUAGUCUAAAAGACUAAAACUGGCAGGUUUUGGGAAUUGUCUGCAUGCAACUGUUGUAAUCUUGUAGACAAGUAAAAGAAGAUGCGUUAUUGGGGGAAUACAUUAUUAUGAAACUUAAAACUCCAAAUCAGUUGAUUCAUCUCCUUUUGGCCUUAACAUAGAAGAUGGUGAUAUCCAUUUGAUUUAGCCCAUUUUACUUGCGUCGAAUCAGUCUGUGAACAAAAUUCAGGUUCCAACAAUUCUAAUUAAAUGAAUCAUAUUUCUGCCCAGGAGCUGUAUUCAGGUUUUGUACAUGAGCUGUAAUCUUGGUCUUGUUUUUCUUUAUCUGCAAAAUUCUGAGAUUUAGAGCAAUUCUUGUCCCGUUCUUUCUGAAUCUGCGGUUUCUAAACGAUUCUUUGCGACCAAAUGCAGGGGAGGCAGUACUUGGUGCAGCCCCGCCGCGGCGACUCCGGCAGCUGCGGGGUCAUUCUCCUCCGCACGGGGGCGCUGGACUGGGAGGUUCGCUGUGUCCGGUCGGCAGGCGAUGGCGAUAACGCCAUGCCAAGCACGAGUGGUAACGCCAUCACGUCGGGCACCGCUGGUGAGAUGCUCCCUGCAUGUCUCUAGCUAACUGCACCGUACCUUGGUUGUUAUGCAAGAAUUUUUAGUCUUGAUCCAUCACUGAGAUUGUUCAUCUGUGUUUUGUAGAUAGAUUACAAGAAAUUUAUUUACCCUAAAUAAAGGUUAAAAGAAACACCUUAGCAUGUCUGUUUUGACACUACUUUGGCCACACCAAAUUUUGACACUGCUUGGCCACUGUUCAACUGCUUUGCUCUUGAUGACUUCAGCUAAAGUCGGAGGCCCGAAGGCGGCGAGGGACGUGUUGUUGGCGCGUGGGAGGUUCGGGGGCGGGGUGGCGAUCCGACUCAGGGUGGCCACCAACAUUGGGGCCACGUACUGGUUCCUGGGGCUCAAGGACUGGGUCGGUGAGCUCAUGGGUGCACCGCCACGGUAUCGCCCCACGGAGUCGUGGAGCUGGCUAGAUAUUAUGGGAUGUCCAAUCCCCCAGGACAUAAAGGGUGAGUCAGGCUUGCACUCAAGGAAUUAAUGCAUCAUCAACAUCAUGAUUAUUAUUCCUUCUUGAGCUAGCUAGCUAGCUAGCUCGGCCGGCUGGGCCUGGGCUGACCUUGUUGUGUUGUGAUUUCAGACACGUGCAGUCAGAGCUCCUGCCUGAUGUGCUUGGAGGCCCAGCACCGGCUGGCGUUCGAGAGGAGGCACGGCAGCGAUACGUUCCCGUAUUACAUCCCUGAUUCCACGGCCACGGACUUGGUGAAGAGAUGCAAAGCUGCCCGCGUCUGGAACCGCAAGGACGGCGCCACCAUUGACAACGUGCUGAAGCAAAUCCAGCGGGCCGGCGGGGCGGAGGCUUGGCCAGACCAGGACGGCUGGGGGCGGCGGUGCAACCUCCAGGUAAAGUCAUGGGAAACCUGGUCGUUCAAGCGGCUGCCCUCGGCCUCCAGCCUCGCGCGUAUGAUCCGCACUGAGGGGCCACUCAUCGGUGGUUUGGUCGUCGGAGAGGAUUACUACGCGGAUGGCUGGGAGAAGCGAGUAUACAGGGGAGGCUCGGGAAAGAAGGCAGGGCCUCACGGCGUGGUCUGCACGGGAUACCGGUACGAGCAGGGCGAGGAGAAGAUACAGGUGGUGGAGAACCACGAUUGGGAUGGGCCAGCCCGGUGGAUUUACAGGACGGCCUUCACGGACUUUACCCAGAUCAAGGUUGAGCCGCUGGACGCCUCCCCUCUCUUUAUCGGGAAGGAGGUGAGCUGGUGGCGCCGCCUUGAGCGCAGGCUUUGGAGGGAAGAGACGUGCUGGUGGCUCCGCCGCCAUGGUAUUAGCGAGCAAUGGAACAAGACCAUGGCUCUUGACAUGAAGCACUAGGUUUCACCUGUAGGACAGUCGGAAAAAGGACACUGGUACAUGAGUGACUAUUAUUGAUUCCCUACAUGCAAUGCAAGACCCUUCACUUUUUCUUUUCUUUUUGAAAUGUGCAACACCCUUCGCUUGACAGGCACACUUAGGACUAGCUAGCUAGGCAGUUUAGAUUCUAAUCAAGCAAUGGUAUGAUGUAUUCAUGUACAAGUGAUCAUUUAUAAUUUUAAUAAUAACUAGCACAAAUGCCCGCACGUUGCAAUGCAAGAAAAAGAAUAGGAAAACACUACGACAUGACGGGCAUAUGUCCCGACAGGCAUACACAUUGGCGUCUCACCCAUGAUGUCAUCAUCACAUAAGCAAUGGGUUGUACAUCUCCACUCCUUGACGAGAUCAGACGGCACUAGUAUGGUUGGCUGGUUGCACACCGCGAUGAACGCUUGCACCGUAUCUUUAAAAAAAAGAAGAAGUAUAGAACACCCUUACCCUAAUUAAUAAGAAAGGCUCAAGGACCCUCUCCACCUGUCCACGCCCUCAAUAUCAAAACGGAAUACCACAUUGACACCGCUUAUCCUCCAUCCCACCCCUUGCCAACGAUAGCUUACGGAUGUUAAAUAACAACUAUGCUAAAAUUAUUUAGUGAUUUGUAUUUAUAACCCAUCUCACAUCAUAUAAUGAUAUAAGAAGAUGUAAAGAAACAUCAUUUGGAAAAUAAUUUCUAGAUUAUUAUGCUGUUUAGAAUUAUUACUAUAGAGUUUUAAAUAAGUAAUUUUGAAUUAGCAAGUUGGAAGGAAAUUGCACACUGUAAUUUCAAGUCCAACAGUCCAACUUAGAAGGCUCCAUCAAAUAUAUAUGCUGUUUAGAAUUAUUACUAUAGAGUUUAAAAUAAGUAAAUUUGAAUUAGCAAGUUGGAAGGAAAUUGCACACUGUAAUUUCAAGUCCAACAGUCCAACUUAGAAGGCUCCAUCAAAUAUAUAUGUUGUUUAGAAUUAUUACUAUAGAGUUUAAAAUAAGUAAAUUUGAAUUAGCAAGUUGGAAGGAAAUUGUAUACUGUAAUUUCAAGUCCAACAGUCCAACUUAGAAGGCUCCAUCAAAUAUAUAUGUUGUUUAGAAUUACUACUAUAGAGUUUAAAAUAAGAAAAUUUGAAUUAGCAAGUUGGAAGGAAAUUGUACACUAUAAUUUCAAGUAUAGGUUAGACGGAUCCAUCAAAUAUAAUGUACAUCUAUGGUCUGAAUUCUUCCCUUUUUAAGACAUCCAUGAACAUUCAGUUACAUUUUAGUUCCAUAGCCCAAGAUCAAUUGUGAAUCAUGAACCCUAAGAAACGGGAUCAAGGAGUCAAUAUUGAACUUCAAAAUGGAAAGAUGAAACAUUAUGGUGCAUACAUGUUCCUGUGGGGAACCUCUGUACCUCUCCGUAGCGCACUGUAGCAUCACAUGAAGCCACCUUGUCAAAAGUAUAUCCCCCCAAAAAACCUAGCAUCAACUGUAAAUCAAACCAAGAGCUUCUUCCAUAGAGUGUAGAUGUCAUAGCACCGCAACAGCACACGCUCCACAAUGUUAGUAGCAGAAUCUUGUGCAUCCAUAUUUUGUGAAGGCGGCGAGGCGCUCGUCCAAGACUAGCCGUUGAUGGCAUCCACUGCGUGACCACGCCCACGACAAGUCAUCCUGUUGACGGUAUCCUAGGCUAGGGGGUACCAACCUAGCCGGUCCAUGCACUUCAGGCUGGGCCAAAGGGCUCUCAUUCUUCACAAGAUGGACUCCGGGGGUCGUACGCCGGGGAGAAGAUCAAGACCGCAUCUAUCAAAGACUUGCCAUAUACUCCAAGACCUCUUCCGCCGCCUCCAAGCCAUGAUACCAACCUUGUAACCCUAGAUGCCCUACUCGGCGUGUAUAUAAGCCGAGGGGUUUAGCCCAUAGAGGGGACAUAAACGCAAUCUCAUUCUCCUAGCCCUAGAGUUAGAACACAUUUGAAGAUCUCGAGGUAGAUCAACUCUGUACUUGUAACAUCUCCGUCAAUAUAAACAAGAGCAGGCCAUAGGGUUUUACCUGCAUUAAGAGGGCCCGAACCUAGGAAAACAUCAUCUCCCUGUUCCGGUUACCAUCUGCCCAAGAUCUACAACUCGGGACCCCCUACCCCGAGAUCUGCCGGUUUCUACACUGACACUGGUGCUUUCAUUAAGAUUUCCGCUGUGAGAUCGAUAGAAGGAUCGAUGGCUCAUCUGCAAAUAACUUGUGACAACCAUUGCGGGAACGUUUAUGUCCCCGCCCAACUCUUUGUGUUCGACGGCAUGACCUUCUGCGCUGACUCGGCUGGCCAUCUGGCUUCUGAGCAGAACUAUGCCCCAGGUCAGAUCGUGACCUUUGAAGGCUUGGAUUACACCACGGAUUCCCGUGGAGAGCUCAUCCUGACAAGCUGGACUCCCAGCUAGGGGGUGGAGUCUCCUGACAACAGAAUCGCAACUCCGGGACCGACCUUCGUUGAGAAUGUCGGGCUGCGAUCUUUGGCAUUGCCGGAGAGUCCUGACGUAACGACCCCGGAUGAUCUCUCCUCGACCCCUGCUCCCGAUUCAAAUCCGGCCCCUAUCUCUGAAUCUGCAUCAAAUUCAGAGUAGAACCAUCCACGGGUCCUCUCCGUGCUGAGACCACACCGAGCUUAUGCCGGCCAUACUUCAAGUCAGCCCUGCCUAUAGGUAGGCCGUGACUAUCGAAGAGCUGUCUCGCUUAAACGAGAUGCUUGCCCGCAUCCAGAGCAUGUCAAUCAUGGACGGCAAGACUUCGGUUUACGACAAAAUCGGACUUAAAAUCAAUGACUGGGAAAUUUACAUCCCACCACCACCCACCUAGUCGCCACCGUUGAUGAUUUAACCGAUAUACUCGACAACGAUGAAGCAAACGACAUGGAUGAAGAUGUUGAGGGCCUCUCUGGAAACACCUCGCCGUUGAGAAAAACCGGUAAAUGGAUAGCAACAUCAACCUGCGAUGUCUACAUGGUCGACACCCCAAAAUCCCCUCUAAGAUGUCGGUGCAGACACAGAAGGGGUACCAAUGGGGAACCCAGCGGGAAGAACGCUACUGCCGACACAGCGGCCAAAGAGGCAUAGCGUCCAGGGGAGGACUUUCAAGCCUCCCCAGAUCGCCAUGUCGAUCCUGAAUGAAUCCCAGGAACUCGGAUCCCGGCGACCUCUUUGAAGGGGCCGAUGAUAUCUACAUGCCGGAAUCCGAGGAGGAUGUGAGCCUCGGAACUGAAGACCUCAUAGUUCCAGAAAACCCCGUUGAGCAGGAACGCUUCCGGCGGCGCCUAGUCGCUACCGCUCGUAGCAUGAAGCGGAAACAACAACAACAGCUGCAGGCCAAUGAAGAUGCAUUAAAUAACAAGUGGGUCAAAAUACUUUCGGCCGAACGAGACCUUGAAGAGCGGCACCAUACCGCGCCUAAAUCUUACCCACGUAGACGCUUACUACCUGAAUUCGACGACGAACUAACCGUUGAUGUACCUGACCGUCCCCCUUGAGGACGAGACAAACUAGCAUGGGAGGAUUUCCACACUCAACCCACUCAUUGUCGUUAUGGCAAGGACCUAGUGGAUUAUUUAGAACCUCACGACAUUCAACGACAUAUCGAGGCAAACCGGGCGCCUCCUCAGUCCAUCUAUGGAUCACGAGGACGUGCGCUUAUCGGGCCGGACGGUUACAAUGCCUGGUUAGACAGGAACAGUCGGGCCCAAGACCAAGCCUACACACGGCUUUCUCCCGACCUCCGAUGGGAUACCACUCAGUACCGAGGUCUAGCGCACCCGAGUUGUUUUACAUACAGGGUAAUGGAACAUCAAUUCCCAGAAGGGUUUAAGCCUAUCAAUACAGAAUCAUACGAUGGCACUACAGACCCAUCAGUACGGAUUGAAGAUUUUCUUCUCCAUAUUCAUAUAGCUAAUGGAUAUGACCUCCAGGCCAUCAAAUACUUGUCGCUCAAGUUAAAAGGGACAACAAGGCAUUGGCUUAACAGCCUGCCUCCGCAAUAUGAUUGGAAAGUUUGCCCACUGGUUGAAGUUCACGUCAUAAGUGAUGUCCACAUCAAUGGCUCAAUCAGACCACGAUCUUAAAUCACUCACUUUCAAUGUGGAGAGAUGUUGAUUUGAGCGGGAGCGCACUUUAUAUUAAAAUUUGUUUAAACAUUAGUGCAUCUUAAUUAUAAACAAUGCCUAAGUUUAGGUUGCAUUAUAGUUGUAGAAUUAGGGAUCACAGUUCCACCUUUUAUGUUGAAAUUGAUUGAGAUGUUUUAUUUGGUUAUAUCUUUAUGAUUGCUAAACAUAAUUAGAGGAUCGCCCUAUAGAGUGCCGAGAUUACACACUUACAAUACUGUUGACCCACAAGUAUAGGGGAUCUAUCGUAGUCCUUUCGAUAAGUAAGAGUGUCGAACCCAAUGAGGAGCAGAAGGAAAUGAUAAGCGGUUUUCAGCAAGGUAUUCUCUGCAAGCACUGAAAUAAUAAGUAAUAGAUAGUUUUGUGAUAGGAUAAUCUGUAACGAGCAACAAGUAACAAAAGUAAACAAAGUGCAGCAAGGUGGCCCAAUCCUUUUUGUAGCAAAGGACAAGCCUGGACAAACUCUUAUAUAGAGAAAAGCGCUCCCGAGGACACAUGGGAAUUAUCGUCAAGCUAGUUUUCAUCACGUUCAUAUGAUUCGCGUUCGGUACUUUGCUAAUUUGAUAUGUGGGUGGACCGGUGCUUGGGUGUUGUUCUUACUUGAACAAGCAUCCCACUUAUGAUUAACCUCUAUUGCAAGCAUCCACAACUACAACAAAAGUAUUAAGGUAAACCUAACCAUAGCAUGAAACAUAUGGAUCCAAAUCAGCCCCUUACGAAGCAACGCAUAAACUAGGGUUUAAGCUUCUGUCACUCUAGCAACCCAUUAUCUACUUAUUACUUCCCAAUUCCUUCAUCUAGGCCGAAAUAAUGGUGAAGUGUCAUGUAGUCGACGUUCACAUAACACCACUAGAGGAGAGACAACAUACAUCUCAUCAAAAUAUCGAAUGAAUACCAAAUUCACAUGACUACUAAUAGCAAGACUUGUCCCAUGUCCUCAAAAACAAACGUAACUACUCACAAAUCAUAUUCAUGUUCAUAAUCAGAGGGGUAUUAAUAUGCAUAAAGGAUUUGAACAUAUGAUCUUCCACCAAAUAAACCAACUAGCAUCAACUACAAGGAGUAAUCAACACUACUCGCAACCUACAGGCACCAAUCCUGGACUUAGAGACAAGAAUUGGAUACAAGAGAUGAACUAGGGUUUUGAGAGGAGAUGGUGCCGGUGAAGAUGUUGAUGGAGAUUGCCCUCUCCCGAUGAGAGGAGCGUUGGUGAUGACAAUGGCGAUGAUUUCCCCUCCCGGAGGGAAGUGUCCCCGGCAGAACAGCUCUGCCGGAGCCCUAGAUUGGUUCCGCCAAGGUUCCGCCUCGUGGCGGCGGAGUCUCGUCCCGAAGGUUUGCUUAUGAUUUUUCUUCGGACGAAAGACUUCAUAUAGCAGAAGAUGGCCACCGGAGAGCCAACACGGGGCCCACGAGGCAGGGGGGCGCCCCCCCACCCUCAUGGACAUGUGGUGGCCCCCCUUACGUAUUUUUUCCGCUCAGUAUUUUUUAUUAUUUCCAAAAAUAACUUUCGUGGACUUUCAGGACUUUUGGAGUUGUGUAGAAUAGGUCUCCAAUAUUUGCUCCUUUUCCAGCCCAGAAUUCCAACUGCCGGCAUUCUCCCUUCUUAUGUAAACCUUGUAAAAUGAGAGAGAAUAGGCAUAAGUAUUGUGACAUAACGUGUAAUAACAUCCCAUAAUGCAAUAAAUAUCGAUAUAAAAGCAUGAUGCAAAAUGGACGUAUCAACUCCCCCAAGCUUAGACCUCGCUUGUCCUCAAGCGGAAGCCGAUAACGAUAAAUAUGUCCACAUGUUUAGAGGUAGAGGUGUCGAUAAAAUAAAAUACGGACAUGAGGGCAUCAUGAUUAUUCUCAUAAUAGCAACAUAUGUGGAUAUUUUCAUAUCAUUUCUUAUGCUCAAGUAAUAAUCUAUUCACAAUGCAAAGUAUGAAUCAGAAACUUUAUUGAGAACUAACAAACUAUAAUCUCAGUCAUUGAAGCAAUUGCAAUUUAUCAUAUCAUCAUAAAGAGUCUAUGUUAGAGCUUUCUAGCAAGUCCACAUACUCAACUAUCAUUUAGUCUUUCAUAAUUGCUAACACUCACGCAAUACUUGUGGUUACAGAGCUUUAAUCGGACACAGAGAAAGAUAGGGGCUUAUAGUUUCGCCUCCCAACCUUUUACCUCAAGGGUAAUGUCAACAAUAAUAACUCAUGCUAACUUACAUCCAAUUAGAUAUAUCUAUUAGGAUCUUUCCAACACCAUGUGCUUGCCAAAGGAUAAAAUGUAAAAAGGAAAGGUGAAGAUCACCAUGACUCUUGCAUAAGGUAGAAGAUAAUAAUAAAAGAUAGGCCCUUCGUAGAGGGAAGCAGAGGUUGCCAUGCGCUUUCAGGGUCGGAUGCACAAAAUCUUAAUGCGAAAGAACGUCACUUUAUAUUGCCACUUGUGAUAUGGACCUUUAUUAUGCAGUCCGUCGCUUUUAUUUCUUCCACAUCACAAUAUCGUAUAAAGCUUAUUUUCUCCACACCAAUCAAUCAUACAUAUUUAGAGAGCAAUUUUUAUUGCUUGCACCGAUGACAACUUACUUGAAGGAUCUUACUCAAUCCAUAGGUAGAUAUGAUGGACUCUCAUGGCAAAACUGGUUUAAGGAUAUUCGGAAGCACAAGUAGUAUCUCUACUUAGUGCAAAGAAUUUGGCUAGCAUGAGGGGGAAAGGCAAGCUCAACAUGUUGGAUGAUCCAUGACAAUAUACUUUAUCUCAGAUAUAAGAAAACAUAACCCAUUACGUUGUCUUCCUUGUCCAACAUCAACUCUUUAGCAUGUCAUAUUUUAAUGAGUGCUCACAAUCAUAAAAGAUGUCCAAGAUAGUAUAUUUAUAUGUGAAACCUUUCUUUCUUUAUUACUUCCUAUUAAUUGCAACGAUGACCAAAGCUAUGUUUGUUAACUCUCAACAAAUUUUAAUCAUCAUACUCUUUCUAUGUGAAGUCAUUACUCUCAAUAAGAUCAAUAUGAUCUCUUUAUUUAUUUUUAUUCUUUUCUCUAUAUUUUUUUCUUUUAUUCACUCAAGAUCAUGGCAAAAUAAUCAAGCCCUUGACUCAACACUAAUCUUUAUUAUAUAGCUCACAGACUCGAUUACAUAGAGAGAUCAUAAAGUCGAUUACAUAGAGAGAUCAUAAAGCAAAACUCAAAACUAGAUCAUACCAAAACUUUAUUCUACUAGAUCAAGAUACUACUAAAAGGAUCGAACUUAGAAAAACGGUAAAGAUAGGAGUGUGAUGGUGAUACGAUACCGGGGCAUCUCCCCCAAGCUUGCCAGUUGUCAAGGGGAGUGCCCAUACCCAUGUGAUUAUGUCUCCUUCUUCGGGGAUGGUGAUGUGAUUGUUGAUGAUGUAGGCUUGUCGUCCAUCUUCCAAGGCAUAGGCUCACCAUCAUAGAAGGAUGAUCGAGUCUCCGGGAUCCUUAAAUCUGCAGCCAAACUCAUCCUCUUGAAUCUAUAUUCAUACUCACAGUUUUGGUUUUGCAGGUCAUAGAUUUGGGCUUGGAGGUGCUCGAUUUUCUCGUGAAGCUUGAAGAUGGCCUCCCCAAUGUCCUUGGCAUCCAGCUUGUGGUUGUUGGUGAACUCCGUGAUCAUUAUGUGAUUGGAGUCAAGUCCACGCUCCACCAUCUCCUGGCACUUGAAAACUUGUUGCUCCAUUGCUUCAAGCCUUGUCUCCAUGCUUCCGGUCCUCCGUGGUCCCUCAACAUCGCGGAUGUGCAGCACCCCCUCACGCAUCUCAAUGGUUUGAGGGUCUUGCAGCACCUCCGCGAGGUAGGGGUUCAUGACCUUCUCGAAGAACUUGUCCUUGGGGGUACUUGGAGACGUCAUGAUGAUCUAGAUCUGUUAGAAAAACAGCUCGAAACAAGAACAGAGGAUAUUUGCGUGAUACAGGAUUCAAAACCUUCAGGAGAUUAUAUAAUGAAUUUUUACCGACCAAAAUACGUAACAUGCAAGAAAACGGAGUCCGGAGAGCACACGAGGUGCCCACGAGGUAGGGGGCGCGCCCAAGGGGGUAGGGCGCGCCCUCCACCCUCGUGUCCUUCCCGGACUGCUUCUUAUUUUUCUAUUUUUCUAAAUAUUCCAAAACAGGGAAAUAUUACCAUUAGAAUUGUUUUGGAGUCGGUUUACUUACCGUACCACAUACCUAUUCCUUUUCGGAGCCUGAAAUGUUCCGAAAAGUGUCCCUUAUGUAUUCCUCCGGGGUUACGGUUUCAAUAACAUUGGUUUCAACAUUUAUGGGAUUACCUGAGAUAUAAUGUUUGAUUCUUUGACCGUUCACCACCUUCGGAUUUGUGCCUUCGAAGUUGUUUAUUUUUAUGGCACCGGAACGAUAGACCUCCUCGAUAACGUAAGGGCCUUCCCAUUUAGAGAGAAGUUUUCCUACAAAAAAUCUUAAACGAGAGUUGUAUAGCAAUACAUAAUCACCAACAUUAAACUCACGCUUUUGUAUCCUUUUGUCAUGCCAUCUUUUAACUUUUUCUUUAAACGACUUGGCAUUCUCAUAAGUUUGGGUUCUCCAUUCAUCAAGUGAGCUAAUGUCAAACAACAUCUUCUCACCGGCAAGUUUGAAAUCAUAAUUGAGCUCAUUAAUAGCCCAAUAUGCCUUAUGUUCUAGUUCGAGAGGUAAGUGACAUGCUUUUCCAUAAACCAUUUUAUACGGAGACAUACCCAUAGGAUUUUUAUAUGCAGUUCUAUAGGCACAUAAUGCAUCAUCAAGUUUCUUGGACCAAUUCUUUCUAGAUCUAUUAACAGUCUUUUGCAAAAUUAAUUUGAGUUCUCUAUUACUCAAUUCUACUUGACCACUAGACUGCGGAUGAUAAGGAGACGCAAUUCUAUGAUUAACAUCAUAUUUAUCAAGCAUUUUACGGAAAGCACCAUGAAUAAAAUGUGAACCACCAUCAGUCAUUAAAUAUCUAGGGACUCCAAGCCUCAAAAAAAUAACUUCCUUAAGCAUCUUAAUAGAAGUGUUAUGAUCAGCACUACUAGUUGGAAUAGCUUCUACCCACUUAGUAACGUAAUCAACAUCAACUAAAAUAUGUGUAUAACCAUUAGAGGCAGGAAAGGGUCCCAUAUAAUCAAAGCCCCAAACAUUAAAUGAUUCAAUAACGAGCGAAUAAUUCAUAGACAUUUCUCGACGUCUACUAAUAUUACCAAUUCUUUGACAUUCAUCACAAGACAAGACAAACUUAUGGGCAUCCUUGAAGAGAGUAGGCCAAUAAAAACCGGAUUGCAAUACCUUAUGUGCAGUUCUGUCUCCAGCGUGGUGUCCUCCAUAAGCCUCGGAGUGGCACGUGCGUAGGAUGUGUUCCUGUUCAUGCUCAGGUACACAAAGUCUAAUAACACCAUCUACUCCUUCUUUAUAAAGAUGUGGGUCAUCCCAGAAGUAAUGUCUCAAAUCAUAGAAAAACUUUUUAUUUUGUUGGUAUGUGAAACUAGGUGGUAUAAAUUUAGCAACGAUGUAACUAGCAUAAUCAGCAUACCAUGGAGUAAUACGAGAAGCAUUUAUGACAUUUAAUUUCUCAUCAGGAAAGCUAUCAUCAAUAGGUAGUGUGUCAUCAAGAACAUUUUCUAACCUAGACAAGUUGUCUGCGACGAGGUUCUCAGCUCCUUUUCUAUCAACAAUAUGCAAAUCAAAUUCUUGUAGCAAGAGAACCCAUCUAAUGAGCCUAGGUUUAGCAUCUUUCUUUUCCAUAAGAUAUUUAAUAGCAGCAUGAUCUGUGUGAAUAGUUACUUUAGAAUCAACAAUAUAAGGCCUGAACUUAUCACAAGCAAAUACAACUGCUAAGAAUUCUUUUUCAGUACUAGCAUAAUUUCUUUGAGCAUUGUCUAGAGUUUUACUAGCAUAUUGAAUAACAUUUAAUUUCUUAUCAACUCUUUGCCCUAGAACAGCACCUACAACAUAAUCACUAGCAUCACACAUAAUUUCAAAGGGUAAAUUCCAAUCAGGUGGCUGAACAAUCGGUGCAGAAAUCAAUGAUUUCUUAAGUAUUUCAAAUGCUUCGACACAAUCAUCAUCAAAGACAAAUGGUAUAUAUUUUUGUAAUAAAUUUGUCAGAGGCCGAGAAAUUUUUGAGAAGUCCUUAAUGAACCUCCUAUAGAAUCUGGUGUGACCAAGGAAACUUCUUAUACCUUUGAUGUCCUUGGGACAUGGCAUCUUUUCAAUAGCAUCAACCUUGGCUUUAUCAACCUCAAUACCUCUUUCAGAAACUUUAUGCCCCAAAACAAUACCUUCAUUAACCAUAAAGUGGCACUUUUCCCAAUUCAAGACAAGAUUAGUUUCUUCACAUCUCUGCAAAACUCGAUCAAGGUUUCAAGCAAUCAUCAAAAGAGGACCCAUAGACGGAGAAGUCGUCCAUGAAAACCUCACAAAUCUUUUCACAAAAGUCAGAGAAUAUAGCCAUCAUGCAUCUUUGAAAGGUAGCAAGUGCAUUACAUAAACCAAAAGGCAUACGUCUAUAAGCAAAAGUACCAAAAGGGCAAGUAAAAGUAGUCUUUGAUUGAUCAUUGGCUGACACAGGUAUUUGAGAGAAACCAUAAUAACCAUCUACAAAGCAAAAAUGUGUAUGUUUGGAUAAUCUUUCUAGCAUUUGAUCGAUAAAAGGUAAGGGGUAAUGAUCCUUUUUAGUAGCCUUAUUUAAUUUGCGGAAAUCAAUUACCAUCCUAUAACCUGUAAUAAUUCUUUGCGGAAUCAAUUCAUCUUUACCAUUAGGAACUACGGUAAUACCUCCCUUCUUAGGGACACAAUGGACAGGACUUACCCACUGACUAUCAGCAACGAGAUAAAUUAUACCUGCCUCAGGAAGCUUUAGUAUUUCUUUUCUUACCACUUCUUUAUCUUAGGAUUCAGCCGUCAUUGAUGAUCACGAACUGGUUUGGCAUCUUCUUCCAAAUUUAUUUUAUGUUGACAUAGAGUGGGACUAAUGCCCUUAAGAUCAUCAAGAGUAUAUCCAAUAGCAGCACGGUGCUUCUUCAGAGUUUUCAAUAAUCUCUCUUCUUCAUGCUCUAAAAGGUUAGCACUAAUAAUAACAGGAUAUAUCUUUUUCUCAUCAAGAUAAGCAUAUUUGAGUGUAUCAGGCAAUGGUUUAAGCUCAAACACGGGAUCACCCUUGGGUGGAGGAGGAUCCCCUAGGAUUUCAACAGGCAAAUUGUGUUUCAGGAUGGGUUCCUAUUUAAAGAAUACUUCAUCUAUUUCCCUUCUUUCAUUCAUAAACAUAUCAUUUUCAUGGUCCAGCAAAUAUUGUUCUAAAGGAUCACUAGGAGGUACGGUAAUAGAAGCAAGACCAAUAAUUUCAUCCUUACUAGGUAAUUCUUCUUCACAGUGUUGUCUACAAAAUUUAGAGAAAUUGAACUCAUGAGACAUAUCACCUAGACCAAUAGUAACAACAUCCUUUUCGAAGUCUAUUCUAGCAUUAACAGUGUUCAAGAAGGGUCUACCAAAUAUAAUGGGACAAAAGCUAUCUUGUGGGGAACCAAGAACAAGAAAAUUAGCAGGAUAUUUAGUUUUCCCACAUGUCGGUGUCAAAACCGGCGGAUCCCGGGUAGGGGGUCCCGAAUUGUGCGUCUAGGCGGAUGGUGUUGGGGAAUGUAGUAAUUUCAAAAUUUUCCUAUGCACACGCAAGAUCAUGGUGAUGCAUAGCAACGAGAGGGGAGAGUGUGAUCUACGUACCCUUGUAGAUCGACAAUGGAAGCGUUUGGUUGAUGUAGUCGUACGUCUCCACGGCCCGACCGAUCAAGCACCGAAACUACGACACCUCCGAGUUCUAGCACACGUUCAGCUCGAUGACGAUCCCCGGACUCCGAUCCAGCAAAGUGUCGGGGAAGAGUUCCGUCAGCACGACGGUGUGGUGACGAUCUUGAUGUACUACCGUCGCAGGGCUUCGCCUAAGCACCGCUACAAUAUUAUCGAGGAUUAUGGUGGAAGGGGGCACCGCACAUGGUUAAGAAUAUGAUCACAUGGAUCAACUUGUGUCUCUAGGGGUGCCCCUGCCUCCGUAUAUAAAGGUUCAAGAGGGGGAGGCCGGCCGGCCAUCAUAGGGUGCGCCAGGAGGAGUCCUACUCCCUCCGGGAGUAGGACUUCCCCCCCAAUCCUAGUUGGAAUAGGAUUCGCGAGGUGGGAACAGAGAGAGAGAGAAGGAGGGGGGCGCCGGCCCCCUCUCUCCUUGUCCUAUUCGGACUAGGGGGGAGGGGCGCGCGGCCCAGCUCUGGCCGCCUCUCCUCUUCUUCCACUAAGGCCCAUUAAGGCCCAUGUACCUCCCGGGGGUUCCGGUAACCUCCCGGUUUUCCGGUAAAAUCCCGAUUUCACCCGGAACACUUCCGAUAUCCAAAUAUAGGCUUCCAAUAUAUCAAUCUUUAUGUCUCGACCAUUUCGAGACUCCUCGUCAUGUCCGUGAUCACAUCCGGGACUCCGAACAAACUUCAGUACAUCAAAAUGCAUAAACUCAUAAUAUAACUGUCAUCGUAACCUUAAGCGUGCGGACCCUACGAGUUCGAGAAAAAUGUAGACAUGACCGAGACACAUCUCUGGUCAAUAACCAAUAGCGGAACCUGGAUGCUCAUAUUGGUUCCUACAUAUUCUACAAAGAUCUUUUAUCGUUCAGACCGCAUAACAACAUACGUUGUUCCCUUUGUCAUCGGUAUGUUACUUGCCCGAGAUUCGAUCGUCGGAAUCCAAUACCUAGUUCAAUCUCGUUACCGGCAAGUCUCUUUACUCGUUCCGUAAUACAUCAUCCUGCAACUAACUCAUUAGUUGCAAUGCUUGCAAGGCUUAACUGAUGUGCAUUACCGAGAGGGCCUAGAGAUACCUCUCCGACGAUCGGAGUGACAAAUCCUAAUCUCGAAAUACGUCAACCCAACAUGUACCUUUGGAGACACCUGUAGAACACCUUUAUAAUCACCCAGUUACGUUGUGACGUUUGGUAGCACACAAAGUGUUCCUCCGGCACACGGGAGUUACAUAAUCUCAUAGUCAUAGGAACAUGUAUAAGUCAUGAAGAAAGCAAUAGCAACAUACUAAACGAUCGGGUGCUAAGCUAAUGGAAUGGGUCAUGUCAAUUAGAUCAUUCAACUAAUGAUGUGAUCCCGUUAACCAAAUGACAACUCUUUGUCCAUGGUUAGGAAACAUAACCAUCUUUGAUUAACGAGCUAGUCAAGUAGAGGCAUACUAGUGACACUCUGUUUGUCUAUGUAUUCACACAUGUAUUAUGUUUUCGGUUAAUACAAUUCUAGCAUGAAUAAUAAACUUUUAUCAUGAUAUAAGGAAAUAAAUAAUAACUUUAUUAUUGCCUCUAGGGCAUAUUUCCAUCAGUCUCCCACUUGCACUAGAGUCAAUAAUCUAGAUUAUACAGUAAUGAUUCUAACACCCAUGGAGCCACGGUGCUGAUCAUGUUUUGCUCGUGGAAGAGGCUUAGUCAAUGGGUCUGCUACAUUCAGAUCCGUAUGUAUCUUGCAAAUCUCUAUGUCUCCCACCUGGACUAGAUCCCGGAUGGAAUUGAAGUGUCUCUUGAUGUGUUUGGUUCUCUUGUGAAAUCUGGAUUCCUUCGCCAAGGCAAUUGCACCAGUAUUGUCACAAAAGAUUUUCAUUGGACCCGAUGCACUAGGUAUGACACCUAGAUCAGAUAUGAAUUCCUUCAUCCAGACUCCUUCGUUUGCUACUUCCGAAGCAGCUAUGUACUCCGCUUCACAUGUAGAUCCCGCCACGAAGCUUUGUUUAGAAUUGCACCAACUGACAGCUCCACCGUUUAAUGUAAACACGUAUCCGGUUUGCGAUUUAGAAUCGUUCGGAUCAGUGUCAAAGCUUGCAUCAACGUAACCGUUUACGAUGAGCUCUUUGUCACCUCCAUAUACGAGAAACAUAUCCUUAGUCCUUUUCAGGUACUUCAGGAUGUUCUUGACCGCUGUCCAGCGAUCCACUCCUGGAUUACUUUGGUACCUCCCUGCUAGACUUAUAGCAAGGCACACAUCAGGUCUGGUACACAGCAUUGCAUACAUGAUAGAGCCUAUGGCUGAAGCAUAGGGAACACCUUUCAUUUUCUCUCUAUCUUCUGUAGUGGUCGGGCAUUGAGUCUGACUCAACUUCACACCAUGUAACACAGGCAAGAACCCUUUCUUUGUUUGAUCCAUUUUGAACUUCUUCAAAAUCUUGUCAAGGUAUGUGCUUUGUGAAAGUCCAAUUAAGCAUCUUGAUCUAUCUCUAUAGAUCUUUAUGCCUAAUAUGUAAGCAGCUUCACCGAGGUCUUUCAUCGAAAAACUCUUAUUCAAGUAUCCCUUUAUGCUAUCCAGAAAUUCUAUAUCAUUUCCAAUCAGUAAUAUGUCAUCCACAUAUAAUAUCAGAAAUGCUACAGAGCUCCCACUCACUUUCUUGUAAAUACAGGCUUCUCCGAAAGUCUGUAUAAAACCAAAUGCUUUGAUCACACUAUCAAAGCGUUUAUUCCAACUCCGAGAGGCUUGCACCAGUCCAUAAAUGGAUCGCUGGAGCUUUCACUCUUUGUUAGCUCCCUUUGGAUCAACAAAACCUUCCGGUUGCAUCAUAUACAACUCUUCUUCCAGAAAUCCAUUCAGGAAUGCAAUUUUGACAUCCAUCUGCCAAAUUUCAUAAUCAUAAAAUGCGGCAAUUGCAAACAUGAUUCGGACAGACUUAAGCAUCGCUACGGGUGAGCAGAUCUCAUCGUAGUCAACCCCUUGAACUUGUCGAAAACCUUUUGCAACAAGUCGAGCUUUGUAGGCAGUAAUAUUACCGUCAACGUCAGUCUUCUUCUUGAAGAUCCAUUUAUUCUCAAUUGCUUGCCGAUCAACGGGCAAGUCAACCAAAGUCCAUACUUUGUUCUCAUACAUGGAUCCCAUCUCAGAUUUCAUGGCUUCAAGCCAUUUUACGGAAUCUGGGCUCACCAUCGCUUCUUCAUAGUUCGUAGGUUCGUCAUGAUCUAGUAGCAUGAUUUCCAGAACAGGGUUACCGUACCACUCUGGCGCGGAUCUUACUCUGGUGGAUCUACGAGGUUCAGUAGUAUCUUGUUCUGAAGUUUCAUGAUCAUUAUCAUUAGCUUCCUCACUAAUUGGUGUAGGUGUCGCAGAAACAGGUUUCUGUGAUGUACUACUUUCCAAUAAGGGAGCAGGUACAGUUACCUCGUCAAGUUUUACUUUCCUCCCACUCACUUCUUUCGAGAGAAACUCCUUCUCUAGAAAGGAUCCAUUCUUAGCAACGAAUGUCUUGCCUUCGGAUCUGUGAUAGAAGGUGUACCCAACAGUCUCCUUUGUGUAUCCUAUGAAGACACAUUUCUCCGAUUUGGGUUCGAGCUUAUUAGGUUGAAGCUUUUUCACAUAAGCAUCGCAGCCCCAAACUUUAAGAAACGACAACUUUGGUUUCUUGCCAAACCAUAGUUCAUAAGGCGUCGUCUCAACAGAUUUUGAUGGUGCCCUAUUUAACGUGCAUGCGGCCGUCUCUAAAGAAUAACACCUAAACGAUAGCGGUAAAUGUUGGGGAACGUAGUAAUUUCAAAAAAAUUCCUAUGCACACGCAAGAUCAUGGUGAUGCAUAGCAACGAGGGGGAGAGUCUGAUCUACGUACCCUUGUAGAUCGCAACGGAAGCGUUGACACAACGUAGAGGAAGUAGUCGUACGUCUUCUUCCCGAUCCGACCGAUCCAAGCACCGUUACUCCGGCACCUCCGAGUUCUUAGCACACGUUCAGCUCGAUGACGAUCCUCGGGCUCCGAUCCAGCAAAGCGUCGAGGAAGAGUUCCGUCGGCACGACGGCGUGGUGAUGAUCUUGAUGUACUACCGACGCAGGGCUUCGCCUAAGCACUACAACGGUAUGAUCGAGGUGGAAUUUGGUGGCAGGGAGCACCGCACAUGGCUAAGGAACGAUCUCAAUGAUCAACUUGUGUGUCUAGAGGUGUCCCCUGCCCCUGUAUAUAAAGGAUCCAAGGGGGAGGGCUGGCCGGCCAGGGAGGAGGGCGCAGGAGGAGUCCUACUCCUACCGGGAGUAGGACUCCCCCCCAAUCCUAUUCCUAAUAGGACUCCCAAGGGGGAAAGAGAGAGAGAGGUGGCCGGCCACCUCUCCUAGUCCUAAUAGGACUAGGGGAGGGGGGAGGCACGCAGCCCACCUUGGGCUGCCCCUUUCACCUUUCCACCAAGGCCCAACAAGGCCCAUAUGGUUCCCGGGGGGUUCCGGUAACCUCCCGGUACUCCGGUAAAAUCCCGAUUUCACCCGGAACACUUCCGAUGUCCAAACAUAGGCUUCCAAUAUAUCAAUCUUUAUGUCUCGACCAUUUCGAGACUCCUCAUCAUGUCUGUGAUCACAUCCGGGACUCCGAACUCCUUCGGUACAUCAAAACUCAUAAACUCAUAAUAUAACUGUCAUCGAAACCUUAAGCGUGCGGACCCUACGGUUCGAGAACAAUGUAGACAUGACCGAGACACGUCUCCGGUCAAUAACCAAUAGCGGGACCUGGAUGCCCAUAUUGGCUCCUACAUAUUCUACGAAGAUCUUUAUCGGUCAGACCGCAUAACAACAUACGUUGUUCCCUUUGUCAUCGGUAUGUUACUUGCCCGAGAUUCGAUCGUCGGUAUCCAAUACCUAGUUCAAUCUCGUUACCGGCAAGUCUCUUUACUCGUUCUGUAAUACAUCAUCCCACAACUAACUCAUUAGUUGCAAUGCUUGCAAGGCUUAUGUGAUGUGCAUUACCGAGAGGGCCUAGAGAUACCUCUCCGACAAUCGGAGUGACAAAUCCUAUUCUCGAAAUACGCCAACCCAACAUCUACCUUUGGAGACACCUGUAGUACUCCUUUAUAAUCACCCAGUUACGUUGUGACGUUUGGUAGUACCCAAAGUGUUCCUCCGGUAAACGGGAGUUGCAUAAUCUCAUAGUCAUAGGAACAUGUAUAAGUCAUGAAGAAAGCAAUAGCAACAUACUAAACGAUCGGGUGCUAAGCUAAUGGAAUGGAUCAUGUCAAUCAGAUCAUUCAACUAAUGAUGUGAUCCCGUUAAUCAAAUAACAACUCCUUUGUCUAUGGUUAGGAAACAUAACCAUCUUUGAUUAACGAGCUAGUCAAGUAGAGGCAUACUAGUGACACUCUGUUUGUCUAUGUAUUCACACAUGUAUUAUGUUUCCGGUUAAUACAAUUCUAGCAUGAAUAAUAAACAUUUAUCAUGAUAUAAGGAAAUAAAUAAUAAGUUUAUUAUUGCCUCUAUGGCAUAUUUCCUUCAGUAAAUCAGUAAGAUACAUCAUAGAUCACACCAUAUCUAGUAAAGUACGAUUACGACGUUCGGAUACACCAUUACGCUGUGGUGUUCCGGGUGGCGUGAGUUGCGAAACUAUUCCGCAUUGUUUCAAAUAUACACCAAACUCGUAACUCAAAUAUUCUCCUCCACGAUCAGAUCGUAGAAACUUUAUUUUCUUGUUACGAUGCUUUUCAACUUCACUAUGAAAUUCUUUGAACUUUUCAAAUGUUUCAGACUUAUGUUUCAUUAAGUAUAUACACCUAUAUCUGCUUAAGUCAUCUGUGAAGGUGAGAAAAUAACGAUAUCCGCCACGAGCCUCAAUAUUCAUCGGACCACAUACAUCUGUAUGUAUGAUUUCUAACAAAUCUGUUGCUCUCUCCAUAGUACCAGAGAACGGUGUUUUAGUCAUCUUGCCCAUGAGGCACGGUUCGCAAGUACCAAGUGAUUCAUAAUCAAGUGGUUCUAAAAGUCCAUCAGUAUGGAGUUUCUUCAUGCCCUUUAUACCGAUAUGACCUAAACGGCAGUGCCACAAAUAAGUUGCACUAUCAUUAUCAACUCUGCAUCUUUUGGCUUCAACAUUAGGAAUAUGUGUUUUACUACUAUCAGGAUUCAUCAAAAAUAGACCACUCUUCAAAGGUGCAUGACCAUAAAAGAUAUUACUCAUAUAAAUAGAACAACCAUUAUUCUCUGAUUUAAAUGAAUAACCGUCUCACAUUAAACAACAUCCAGAUAUAAUGUUCAUGCUCAACGCUGGCACCAAAUAACAAUUAUUUAGGUCUAAUAUUAAUCUCGAAGGUAGAUGUAGAGGUAGCGUGCCGACCGCGAUCACAUCGACUUUGGAACCAUUUCCUACGCGCAUCGUCACCUCGUCCUUUGCAAGUGUUCGCUUAAUCCGUAGUCCCUGUUUUGAGUUACAAAUAUUAGAAACAUAACCAGUAUCAAAUACCCAGGUGCUACUGCAAGUUCUAGUAAGGUACACAUCAAUAACAUGUAUAUCACAUAUACCUUUGUUCACCUUGCCAUCCUUCUUAUCCGCCAAAUACUUGGGGCAGUUCCGCUUCCAGUGACCAGUCUGCUUGCAGUAGAAGCACUCAGUUUCAAGCUUAGGUCCAGACUUGGGUUUCUUCUCUUGAGCAGCAACUUGCUUGCUGUUCUUCUUGAAGUUCCCCGUCUUCUUCCCUUUGCCCUUUUUCAUGAAACUAGUGGUCUUGUUGACCAUCAACACUUGAUGCUCCCUUUUUGAUUUCUACCUCCGCAGCUUUCAGCAUUGCGAAGAGCUCGGGAAUAGUCUUAUUCAUCCCUUGCAUAUUAUAGUUCAUCACGAAGCUCUUGUAGCUUGGUGGCAGUGAUUGGAGAAUUCUGUCAAUGACGCAAUCAUCUGGAAGAUUAACUCCCAUCUGAAUCAAGUGAUUAUUAUACCAGACAUUUUGAGUAUAUGCUCACUGACAGAACUGUUCUCCUCCAUCUUGCAGCUAUAGAACUUAUUGGAGACUUCAUAUCUCUCAAUCCGGGCAUUUGCUUGAAAUAUUAACUUCAACUCCUGGAACAUCUCAUAUGCUCCAUGACAUUCAAAACAUCGUUGAAGUCCCGAUUCUAAGCCGUAAAGCAUGGCACACUGAACUAUCGAGUAGUCAUCAGCUUUGCUCUGCCAGACGUUCAUAACAUCUGGUGUUGCUCCAGCAGCAGGACUGGCACCCAGCGGUGCUUCCAGGACGUAAUUCUUCUGUGCAGCAAUGAGGAUAAUCCUCAAGUUACGGACCCAGUCCGUGUAAUUGCUACCAUCAUCUUUCAACUUUGCUUUCUCAAGGAACGCAUUAAAAUUCAACGGAACAACAGCACGGGCCAUCUAUCUACAAUCAAACAUACAUAAGCAAGAUACUAUCAGGUACUAAGUUCAUGAUAAAUUUAAGUUCAAUUAAUCAAAUUACUUAAAUAACUCCCACUUAGAUAGACAUCCCUCUAAUCCUCUAAGUGAUCACGUGAUCCAAAUCAACUAAACCAUAACCGAUCAUCACGUGAAAUGGAGUAGUUUUCAAUGGUGAACAUCGCUAUGUUGAUCAUAUCUACUAUAUGAUUCACGCUCGAUCUUUCGAUCUCAGUGUUCCGAGGCCAUAUCUGCAUAUGCUAGGCUCGUCAAGUUUAACCUGAGUAUGCUGCGUGUGCAAAACUGGCUUGCACCCGUUGUAGAUGGACGUAGAGCUUAUCACACCCGAUCAUCACGUGGUGUCUGGGCACGACGAACUUUGGCAAUGGUGCAUACUCAGGGAGAACACUUUUAUCUUGAUAAUUUAGUGAGAGAUUAUCUUAUAAUGCUACCAUCAAUCAAAGCAAGAUAAGAUGCAUAAAAGAUAAACAUCACAUGCAAUCAAUAUAAGUGAUAUGAUAUGGCCAUCAUCAUCUUGUGGCUGUGAUCUCCAUCUCCGAGGCACCGUCAUGAUCACCAUCGUCACCGGUGCGACACCUUGAUCUCCAUCGUAGCAUCGUUGUCGUCUCGCCAAUCUUAUGCUUCCACGACUAUCGCUACCGCUUAGUGAUAAAGUAAAGCAUUACAGCGCGAUUGCAUUGCAUACAAUAAAGCGACAACCAUAUGGCUCCUGCCAGUUGCCGAUAACUCGGUUACAAAAGAUGAUCAUCUCAUACAAUAAAAUUUAGCAUCAUGUCUUGACCAUAUCACAUCACAACAUGCCCUGCAAAAACAAGUUAGCCGUCCUCUACUUUGUUGUUGCAAGUUUUACGUGGCUGCUACGGGCUUAAGCAAGAACCAAUCUUACCUACGCAUCAAAACCACAACGAUAGUUUGUCAAGUUGGUGCUGUUUUAACCUUCGCAAGGACCGGUCGUAGCCACACUCGGUUCAACUAAAGUUGGAGAAACUGUCACCCGCAAGCCACCUAUGUGCAAAGCACGUCGGGAGAACCGGUCUCGCGUAAGCGUACCCGUAAUGUUGGUCCGGGCCGCUUCGUCCAACAAUACCGCCGAACCAAAGUAUGACAUGCUGGUAAGCAGUAUGACUUAUAUCGCCCACAACUCACUUGUGUUCUACUCGUGCAUAUAACAUCAACAUAUAAAACCUAGGCUCUGAUACCACUGUUAGGGAACGUAGUAAUUUGAAAAUUUUCCUACGCACACACAAGAUCAUGGUGAUGCAUAGCAACAAGAGGGAAGAGUGUGAUCUACGUACCCUUGUAGAUCGACAACGGAAGCGUUUGGUUGAUGUAGUCAUACGUCUCCACGGCCCGACCGAUCAAGUACCGAAACUACGGCACCUCCGAGUUCUAGCACACGUUCAGCUCGAUGAUGAUCCCCGGACUCCGAUCCAGCAAAGUGUCGGGGAAGAGUUCCGUCAGCACGACGGCGUGGUGACGAUCUUGAUGUACUACCGUCGCAGGGCUUCGCCUAAGCACCGCUACAAUAUUAUCGAGGAUUAUGGUGGAAGGGGGCACCGCACACGGUUAAGAAUACGAUCACGUGGAUCAACUUGUGUCUCUAGGGGUGCCCCUGCCUCUGUAUAUAAAGGUUCAAGAGGGGGAGGCCGGCCGGCCAUCAUAGGGCGCGCCAGGAGGAGUCCUACUCCCUCCGGGAGUAGGACUCCCCCCCCCAAUCCUAGUUGGAAUAGGAUUCGCGAGGUGGGAACAGAGCGAGAGAGAAGGAGGGGGGCGCCGGCCCCCUCUCUCCUUGUCUUAUUCGGACUAGGGGGGAGGGGCGCGCGGCCUAGCCCUGGCCGCCUCUCCUCUUCUUCCACUAAGGCCCAUUAAGGCCCAUGUACCUCCCGGGGGGUUCCGGUAACCUCCCGGUUUUCCGGUAAAAUCCCGAUUUCACCCGGAACACUUCCGAUAUCCAAAUAUAGGCUUCCAAUAUAUCAAUCUUUAUGUCUCAACCAUUUCGAGACUCCUCGUCAUGUCCGUGAUCACAUCCGAGACUCCGAACAACCUUCGGUACAUCAAAACGUAUAAACUCAUAAUAUAACUGUCAUCGAAACCUUAAGCGUGCGGACCCUACGGGUUCGAGAACAAUGUAGACAUGACCGAGACAUGUCUCCGGUCAAUAACCAAUAGCGGGACCUGGAUGCCCAUAUUGGCUCCUACAUAUUCUACGAAGAUCUUUAUCGGUCAGCCCGCAUAACAACAUACGUUGUUCCCUUUGUCAUCGGUAUGUUACUUGCCCGAGAUUCGAUCGUCGGUAUCCAAUACCUAGUUCAAUCCCGUUACCGGCAAGUCUCUUUACUCGUUCCGUAAUACAUCAUCUCGCAACUAACUCAUUAGUUGCAUUGCUUGCAAGGCUUAAGUGAUGUGCAUUACUAAGAGGGCCCAGAGAUACCUCUCCGACGAUCGGAGUAACAAAUCCUAAUCUCGAAAUACGUCAACCCAACAUGUACCUUUGGAGACACCUGUAGAGCACCUUUAUAAUCACCCAGUUACGUUGUGACAUUUGGUAGCACACAAAGUGUUCCUCCGGCACAUGGUAGUUACAUAAUCUCAUAGUCAUAGGAACAUGUAUAAGUCAUGAAGAAAGCAAUAGCAACAUACUAAACGAUCGGGUGCUAAGCUAAUGGAAUGGGUCAUGUCAAUCAGAUCAUUCAACUAAUGAUGUGAUCCCGUUAAUCAAAUGACAACUCUUUGUCCAUGGUUAUGAAACAUAACCAUCUUUGAUUAACGAGCUAGUCAAGUAGAGGCAUACUAGUGACACUCUGUUUGUCUAUGUAUUCACACAUGUAUUAUGUUUCCGGUUAGUACAAUUCUAGCAUGAAUAAUAAACUUUUAUCAUGAUAUAAGGAAAUAAAUAAUAACUUUAUUAUUGCCUCUAGGGCAUAUUUCCUUCAGAUGGUAACAGGAGACAAGGGACACGAUGUUUUUACCCAGGUUCGGGCCCUCUCGAUGGAGGUAAAACCCUACUCCUGCUUGAUUAAUAUUGAUGAGAUGGGUAGUACAAGAUUUGAUCUACCACGAGAUCAGAGAGGCUAAAUCCUAGAAGCUAGCCUUUGCUAUGAUUGUUGUUAUCAUCCUACGGACUAAAUCCUCCGGUUUAUAUAGAUCGGAGGGGGCUAGGGUUACACAGAUUCGUUACAAGGAAGGAGAUCUACAUAUCUGUAUUGCCAAGCUUGCCUUCCACGCCAAGGAGAGUCCCAUCCAGACACGGGACAAUGUCUUCAAUCUUGUAUCUUCAUAGUCCAAUAGUCCGGCCAAAGGUUAUAGUCCAGCUGUCCGGAUACCGCCUAAUCAAGGACUCCCUCACCACACAAGACUUCAACAUCUCUAACAAUUCCCAUCAGUGAAAUAGUAUCUCUAUUGGCAAGUUUAAUUGUGACAUCAAUAUCUUCUAACUCAGUAGGUGCAAUAUCAUGCUUAAUUUCUUUGUAUAAGUCAAUAGGUAUUGCACUAGCACUAGCACCCAUAUCACAUAAGCCAUGAUAACAAUGAUCUCCUAUUUUAACAGAAAUAACAGGCAUGCCUACCAUAGGUCUAUGUUUAUCUUUAGCACAAGGUUAAUUCUAGCAGUUUCAUCUCGGAAAUGAAUAACAUGCCCAUCAAUAUUAUCAGACAAGAGAUCUUUAAUAAUAGCAACAUUAGGUUCAACUUUAAUAUGCUCAGGAGGUGUAUAAGUUCUAAUUUUGCUUUGAUGAACCACAGUUGAAGCUUUAGCAUGAUCCUUUAUUCUAACAGGGAAGGGUGGUUUCUCAACAUAAGUAGUAGGAACAAUAGGAUCAUUAUAAGUGAUAGUCUUUUCUUCAACUUUAAUAGGUGCAACUACUUUUACUUCUAUGGGAGGAUGAUAUUUAAACCACUUCUCCUUGGGGAGAUCAACAUAAGUAGCAAAAGAUUCACAGAAAGAAGCUACCAUCUCAGAGUCAAGUCCAUAUUUAGUGCUAAACUUACGGAAAACAUCGGUAUCCAUAAAAGAUUUAACACAAUCAAACUUAGGUGUCAUACCUGACUCCUUACCUUCGUCGAGAUCCCAAUCUUUAGAGUUGCAUUUAAUUCUAUCCAAUAAACCCCAUUCGAAUUCAAUAGCCUUCAUCAUAAAAGAGCCAGCACAAGAAGUAUCAAGCAUGGUGCGAUUGUUAUCAGAAAGCCGAGCAUAAAAACUUUGAAUAAUUAUUUCUCUUGGGAGCUCAUGAUUGGGGCAUGAAUAUAACAUUGAUUUAAGCCUCCCCCAAGCUUGAGCGAUGCUUUCUCCUUUGCGAGGCCAAAAAUUAUAUAUAUAAUUGCGAUCAAGAUGAACAAGAUGCAUAGGAUAAAAUUUCUAAUGAAAUUCCAGUUUCAAUCGUUUGUAGUUCCAUGACCCCGUAUCAUCACAUAGCCUAUACCAUGUCGAUGCAUCUCCCUUCAAAGAUAGAGGGAAGACCUUCCUCUUAAUAACAUCAUCGAGUAUACCUGCAAGCUUAAAUAAUCCACAAACUUCAUCCACAUAUAUUAGGUGCUCAUCAGGAUGCUUUGUUCCAUCUCCUGCAAAGGGAUUAGCUAGCAAUUUUUCUAACAUACCCGAAGGAAUCUCAAAGUAGAUAUUUUCAUUUUCAUUUUUAGUAGGUUCAGUAGGUUGAGGAGCAACUCUUUGCUCUACUGGUUGGGGCGAAGAUACCCCGAACAAGCCCCUCAGAGGAUUACUUUCCAUAGUAACAAGUCAUAGUAAAUUUCAGCACACUAUAUAAAUUUUUCCUUACCAAAUUCCACCUACCAAAUACACUUCACUCCCCGGCAACGGUGCCAGAAAAGAGUCUUGAUGACCCACAAGUAUAGGGGAUCUAUCGUAGUCCUUUCGAUAAGUAAGAGUGUCGAACCCAACGAGGAGCAGAAGGAAAUGAUAAGCGGUUUUCAGCAAGGUAUUCUCUGCAAGCACUGAAAUAAUAGGUAAUAGAUAGUUUUGUGAUAGGAUAAUUUGUAACGAACAACAAGUAACAAAAGUAAACAAAGUGCAGCAAGGUGGCCCAAUCCUUUUUGUAGCAAAGGACAAGCCUGGACAAACUCUUAUAUAUAGAAAAGUGCUCCCGAGGAAACAUGGGAAUUAUCGUCAAGCUAGUUUUCAUCACGUUCAUAUGAUUUGCGUUCGGUACUUUGAUAAUUUGAUAUGUGGGUGGACCGGUGCUUGGGUGCUGUUCUUACUUGAACAAGCAUCCCACUUAUGAUUAACCUCUAUUGCAAGCAUCCGCAACUACAACAAAAGUAUUAAGGUAAACCUAACCAUAGCAUGAAACAUAUGGAUCCAAAUCAGCCCCUUACGAAGCAACACAUAAACUAGGGUUUAAGCUUCUGUCACUCUAGCAACCCAUCAUCUACUUAUUACUUCCCCAUGCCUUCCUCUAGGCCCACAUAGUGGUGAAGUGUCAUGUAGUCGACAUUCACAUAACACCACUAGAGGAGAGACAACAUACAUCUCAUCAAAAUAUCGAACGAAUACCAAAUUCACAUGACUACUAAUAGCAAGACUUGUCCCAUGUCCUCAGAAACAAACGUAACUACUCACAAAUCAUAUUCAUGUUCAUAAUCAGAGGGGUAUUAAUAUGCAUAAAGGAUCUGAACAUAUGAUCUUCCACCAAAUAAACCAACUAGCAUCAACUACAAGGAGUAAUCAACACUACUAGCAACCUACAAGCCCCAAUCCCGGACUUGGAGACACGAAUUGGAUACAAGAGAUGAACUAGGGUUUUGAGAGGAGAUGGUGCUGGUGAAGAUGUUGAUGGAGAUUGCCCUCUCCCGAUGAGAGGAGCGUUGGUGAUGACGAUGGCGAUGAUUUCCCCCUUCCGGAGGGAAGUGUCCCCGGCAGAACAGGUCUGCCGGAGCCCUAGAUUGGUUCUGCCAAGGUUCCGCCUCGUGGCGGCGGUGUCUCAUCCCGAAAGGUUGCCUAUGAUUUUUCUUCGGAUGAAAGACUUCAUAUAGCAGAAGAUGGCCACUGGUGAGCCAACAGGGGGCCCAUGAGGCAGGGGCGCGCCUAGCGGGUAGGGCGCGCCCCCACCCUCGUGGACAGGUGGUGGCCCCUCGACGUAUUUCUUCUGCUCAGUAUUUUUUUAUUAUUCCCAAAAAUAACUUUCGUGGAGUUUCAGAACUUUUGGAGUUGUGCAGAAUAGGUCUCCAAUAUUUGCUCCUUUUCCAGCCCAGAAUUCCAGCUGCCCGCAUUCUCCCUCCUUAUGUAAACCUUGUAAAAUGAGAGAGAAUAGGCAUAAGUAUUGUGACAUAACAUGUAAUAACAUCCCAUAAUGCAAUAAAUAUCGAUAUAAAAGCAUGAUGCAAAAUGGACGUAUCAAAUACUUUCCUGCUGAUGGUAUGGAUGAGGUGACUCAUGUCCCUCGAUCCAAAAGGCUAGAAUCCUAUCACAGUAUACUUCUAAAAGGCCCGAACUUCAAAAUGUUUGGGAUAGUCAUGUGAUAAUCUUGGAACUAUUUUUUCCAGAAACAAACAACGGCUAAAAGAGAUGCGAUAUCUAAAGAAGUGUUUGCUUGCAAGUUCUAAUGAAGCACUCAACUAUGUGUAAGACUGAAAUAUAUAGGAUCCGGGAGAAUACAAGUCAUGUGCCGAUGGUCAGAACUUAAAGAGAAAGAACAAAUCCAAAAGGAUGUAAUGAGACUUACACGCCUAGGGAAGUUCGAGGCCUACGCAACUCUUCAAGUUGGAUGCUUCUUCUAAGAGUAGGAGAAAUAUUAGAAGUAAAUCUAUAAGAACUAAAAAGGCAGAAAAAAAGAAGGCUGGAAUGUCCAGUUCAUGUAUGAAUGUCACAAGUUAUAAGAUGUUGGUAAAAUAAAAUGUAAUUCUUGGGAAAUGUGAUUAAAUUGUUAAUCAUUAAUUCUUCGACAUUGUGGUUAACAGUUUAUCGCAAGGACAUCAACUCGAUUACAUGUUGUUGCGAACCAUUGCAAGAAACUACAAUGGCCUAAAUGACCAACAAAUAAUGAUGUUAAAAUAUUUAAUGGAAACUUUGUAAAAGUUACAGUAUUCCCAUCAUUUUAUUUCCUCUAUACUUAUCAUAAUUCAUUUUAGAUUUUUGUACACUCUACCACACUCAUAGAAGUUGCAAGGAGGUUAUUCAUGAGAGAACAACAGUUGUUUGAUGUUCUGAACAAAAGGCCAUACUCCUAUUGUGAAUAAGAGGUAUGCUAUAAAUAUUGAUGAUAAAAUUUAUCAUCCAUAACACUGACGCUAAAUGCCGCAAGACUAAAAGAAUACCAUACUGUAUGGCACUGCAUUCAGUCACAUUGGGGAAACCAACAUGGAGAAAUUCCAUGGUAAUGGAUUUUGAGGUCAUCUGAUUAUGAAUCAUAUGACACUUGCAACUUUCGUCUAAUUCGUGAAGUGCACUAAAAUGCCGUUCAUGGGACAUAAAAAAAUGAGCAACAAAAUAAUUGGAAAUAUGCAUGUUGAUGUGUAUAGUCCAAUAGGUGUUGUUGCAAGUAGUGGAUUUAUUUAUCUUCAAGGAUGACUCAAGUAGAUAUUUAUUUACUUAUUGAGACAUAAAUAUAGAUCCUUUGAAAUGUUUUUGGAAGGUCUUCAGGAUGAAGUAGAACUUAUUGUAACAAGAUAAUUAUGUUUCUUCAAUUAGAUUGUGGAAAGGAAUAUUUGAGUUACAAAUUUAGCGGAUAUAUGAUGAGUUGUGAAAAGUACUUUAUAGCUUGCACCGCCCAGAGCAUUGCUAAGAGUAGAGUAUUUUGAGUAGAUGUAAUCAAACUAUGUAUGAUACGGUGAGAUCAAAGAUGACAUUAAUUAUUUCACCAAUAUAAUUUUUAGUGUGAUGCUUUAGUGACAGUGGCUUUUACAAUGAAAAGAGCGCCAUCAAAUUUGUUGAAAUAAGUACUACUUUGUAGGUCAUCCCAAAUGGUUGUGUAUUCCUCUAUCAUUACGCCAAGGCAAAGUAUUUUGCCAUAGAGUGCAUAAAUUUUGAAGUUCACUGCAAAAGAGUGAGUGGGAGGAUAGUGCAACUCGACAACAUUGCAGAAUCUUCAUGAUUAGGUCAAAGAAAAGAAACACCAGAAGUAAUUCUAUAAUUUCCUACCGUGACUAAUAUGAAAGUAUUUACAUGAGAUAUAAAGACUUUAGUCAAACUUGCAGUUGAACUACAUAGGUUGGGCAAAUUCGUACAGACAUUUGUGGUGUGCAGAUGAAAUAUAGUUGAACAAACAAUAACCUGUAAUACACAAAGAAGUAUUGAUGGGCCCUAACUCCGAAAAUUGCCUAUAUGCCAAAGUUAUCUGAGAUAGUAUCCAUUUACAUAAUUCAAGUUUAGAACAUGAUAAACCCUCUGGAAGACUUGGAGUCUGACGAAAAGUAAUGGAUCUAUAAACUCACAAAGAUAAAAAAAUGUUUUAUAAAGCUUGAAUUGUUACUACUAGCUUAUGACAAGAUCAAGAAUUUAACUAUAACAAAAUUGUCUCGUCAUAGAAAAACUUAAAGUUAGUUCGGGUUAAACUAGAAUGUUAAAUAUUUCAAUUUUGAGAUAUAAUAAUGGGUGUCAAAAUGAUUUCCAUGAGAUCAAAAUAGAACAAAGGUUGUAUAUGUGAGACGGUCCAAGAUAAUUUUUUGAUCUAGAAGAUGAGUAAGUGUGCAAACUUCAAGAGAUCCUAUAAUGGACUGAAGCAAGCACAAUGGAGUUGGAAUCUUUGUUCUAAUGGAAUGAUCAAAUAAUUUGAUUUCAUCGAGGAAAGCCAAGAUGUUUGUAUUUACAUGAAAGUAAGUGGGAGCAUGAUAAUAUUUCUAAACACUGUGUGUGCAUGACUCAUUCUUAAUUGGAAAUUAUAUAAAUUUCUUGACAGGAAUUAAAACUUUAUUGGGACUAGUUUUUCAGUAAAGUACUUAGGAAAUAGAGCCUUGGAAUUAGGUGCAAUGAUCUAUGGAGAUAGUAGUGUCUAAUCGGGCUUAGCCAAAAUAUGUAUUGACAAGAUACUAAAACAGUUUAGUAUGAAAAAACAUCAAGAAGAGUUUCUUGUGAUAGUCACGUGGAAGGAGUUUUAGCAAGAAUCGGUAUCCUGAAAUAGUGAUUAGUAGAACAUGAUUUUAAUCACACUUGUAUUCCAAGGUAUGUAAAUAUAUAAUCAGAUAUGUCCAGUACUCCAAGUUAGUUGUGGGUAAGUUACCAGAAUGAUCAAAUUGUGGAUAAUAGCAACUGUAGAAAUGUCGUUAAGUACUGAUGACAUGUUUCUCGCAUAUGGAGAAAAUGAAGAAAUUAUUGUAAGGAGUUACAUCAAUACAUACUCGUUGUAAGUACGUAGUACAUUGAUAAAAUCUUCAUCGGUGCUCCAAGCAAUUUUUGAUUUCAAAUCAAAUGAUUUAUGGUUGCGCAAUAAGUUGGAAUUUAUCCAAGAAAGUUAUUGUAGUGAAUUUUAUAACAAAAGACUGAGUAUAUUCUUGCUUUAAAAGCACCAAAUGGAGGGUGAUGAAUCAAAAGUUCAUUUAUGAACUUGCUACGAUUUCUAGAUGAUUGUGCUAUUGGAACACUGUUCUUAAUAGUGGUUCCACAACUCAGUCUAAGGAAUCAAUGGUCCUACUAUUCCAUACAUAGAAAGUCAGUUUCACACAAAUUAUGAAUUCUUGUGAAAGCAUAAUAGAUGCAAAGAAAUGUAAAUAAUACACAUGGAUCUAAAGUUGUAAAGAUCUGAUAGGAUAAAGGCUAUACAACAAGCAAAGCAUGGACAACACCGGAUUACCAUUCGUGUUAAAGAAAAUGUGCUAACUAGAUUGUUGACUCUAGUGUAAGUGGGAGACUGUUGGAAAUAUGCCCUAGAAGCAAUAAUAUUGUAUUAUUAUAUUUCCAUGUUUAUAAUUAAGAGUUUAUAUUCCGUGCUAUAACUGCUAUGAUCCUGGAAUAUGCGUAGCCGUGGAAAAAUAUACACGCGUGGAAUGAUAAACAGUAAAAUUUAAUUCCUAGCCCCGCCUCUAAGACUAGCUCAAGUGUUGUUUAUGAUCAUUUUGUCUGGAUCUUGAUAUAUCAUUAAGUGUAAUGAUAGUCUUAAAACAACAUUGAGGAUAUGAUGUUGUUGGGGAACGUAGUAAUUUCAAAAAAUUUCCUACGCACACGCAAGAUCAUGGUGAUGCAUAGCAACAAGAGGGGAGAGUGUGAUCUACGUACCCUUGUAGAUCGACAACGGAAGCGUUUGGUUGAUGUAGUCGUACGUCUUCACGGCCCGACCGAUCAAGCACCGAAACUACGACACCUCCGAGUUCUAGCACACGUUCAGCUCGAUGACGAUCCCCGGACUCCGAUCCAGCAAAGUGUCGGGGAAGAGUUCCGCCAGCACGACGGCAUGGUGACGAUCUUGAUGUACUAAUGUCGCGGGCUUCGCCUAAGCACUGCUACAAUAUUAUCGAGGACUAUGGUGGAAGGGGGCACCGCACACGGCUAAGAAUAUGAUCACGUGGAUCAACUUGUGUCUCUAGGGGGUGCCCCUGCCUUCGUAUAUAAAGGCUCAAAAGGGGGGGGGUGCGGCCCGCCAGGAGACGCGCGCCAGGAGGAGUCCUACUCCCUCUGGGAGUAGGACUCCCCCCUUUCCUAGUUGGAAUAGGAUUCACGGAGGGGGGGAAAGAGGAGAGAGAGGAGGAAGGGGGGCCGACCCCCUCUCCUUGUCCUAUUAAGACCAAGGGGGGGGGGGCACGCGGCCCACUUCUGGCUACCUCUCCUCUCUUCCACUAAGGCCCACUAAGGCCCAUAUACCUCCCGGUACUCCGGUAAAAUCCCGAUUUCACGCGGAACACUUCCGAUAUACAAACAUAGGCUUCCAAUAUAUCAAUCUUUAUGUCUCGAUCAUUUCGGGACUCCUCGUCAUGUCCGUGAUCACAUCCGAGACUCCGAACAACCUUCGGUACAUCAAAAUGCAUAAACUCAUAAUAUAACUGUCAUCGAAACCUUAAGCGUGCGGAACCUACGGGUUCGAGAACAAUGUAGACAUGACCGAGACAUGUCUCCGGUCAAUAACCAAUUGCGGGACCUGGAUGCCCAUAUUGGUUCCUACAUAUUCUACGAAGAUCUUUUAUCAGCCAGACCGCAUAACAACAUACGUUGUUCCCUUUGUCAUCGGUAUGUUACUUGCCCGAGAUUCGAUCAUCGGUAUCCAAUACCUAGUUCAAUCUCGUUACCGGCAAGUCUCUUUACUCGUUCCGUAAUACAUCAUCCCACAACUAACUCAUUAGUUGCAAUGCUUGCAAGGCUUAAGUGAUGUGCAUUACCGAGAGGGCCCAGAGAUACCUCUCUGACAAUCGGAGUGACAAAUCCCAAUCACGAAAUACGCCAACCCAACAUGUACCUUUGGAGACACCUGUAGAGCACCUUUAUAAUCACCCAGUUACGUUGUGACGUUUGGUAGCACAGAAAGUGUUCCCCUGGCACACGGGAGUUGCAUAAUCUCAUAGUCAUAGGAACAUGCAUAAGUCAUGAAGAAAGCAAUAGCAACAUACUAAACGAUCGGGGUGCUAAGCUAAUGGAAUGGGUCAUGUCAAUCAGAUCAUUCAACUAAUGAUGUGAUCCCGUUAAUCAAAUAACAACUCUUUGUCCAUGGUUAGGAAACAUAACCAUCUUUGAUUAACGAGCUAGUCAAGUAGAGGCAUACUAGUGACACUCUGUUUGUCUAUGUAUUCACACAUGUAUUAUGUUUCCGGUUAAUACAAUUCUAGCAUGAAUAAUAAACUUUUAUCAUGAUAUAAGGAAAUAAAUAAUAACUUUAUUAUUGCCUCUAGGGCAUAUUUCCUUCAGUCUCCCACUUGCACUAGAGUCAAUAAUCUAGAUUACACAGCAAUGAUCCUAACACCCAUGGAGCCUUCGUGCUGAUCAUGUUUUGCUCGUGGAAGAGGCUUAGUCAACGGGUCUGCUACAUUCAGAUCCGUAUGUAUCUUGCAAAUCUCUAUGUCUCCCACCUGGACUAGAUCCCGGAUGGAAUUGAAGCGUCUCUUGAUGUGCUUGGUUCUCUUGUGAAAUCUGGAUUCCCUCGCCAAGGCAAUUGCAUCAGUAUUGUCACAAAAGAUUUUCAUUGGACCCGAUGCAUUAGGUAUGACACCUAAAUCGGAUAUGAACUCCUUCGUUUGCUGCUUCCGAAGCAGCUAUGUAUUCUGCUUCACAUGUAGAUCCCGCCAUGACGCUUUGUUUAGAACUGCACCAACUGACAGCUCCACCGUUUAAUGUAAACACGUAUCCGGUUUGCGAUUUAGAAUCAUCCGGAUCAGUGUCAAAGCUUGCAUCAACGUAACCGUUUACGAUGAGCUCUUUGUCACCUCCAUAUACGAGAAACAUAUCCUUAGUCCUUUUCAGGUACUUCAGGAUGUUCUUGACCGCUGUCCAGCGAUCCACUCCUGGAUUACUUUGGUACCUCCCUGCUAGACUUAUAGCAAGGCACACAUCAGGUCUGGUACACAGCAUUGCAUACAUGAUAGAGCAUAUGGCUGAAGCAUAGGGAACACCUUUCAUUUUCUCUCUAUCUUCUGUAGUGGUCGGGCAUUGAGUCUGACUCAACUUCACACCUUGUAACACAGGCAAGAACCCUUUCUUUGUUUGAUCCAUUUUGAACUUCUUCAAAAUCUUGUCAAGGUAUGUGCUUUGUGAAAGUCCAAUUAAGCGUCUUGAUCUAUCUCUAUAGAUCUUUAUGCCUAAUAUGUAAGCAGCUUCACCGAGGUCUUUCAUCGAAAAACUCUUAUUCAAGUAUCCCUUUAUGCUAUCCAGAAAUUCUAUAUCAUUUCCAAUCAGUAAUAUGUCAUCCACAUAUAAUAUCAGAAAUGCUACAGAGCUCCCACUCACUUUCUUGUAAAUACAGGCUUCUCCGAAAGUCUGUAUAAAACCAAAUGCUUUGAUCACACUAUCAAAGCGUUUAUUCCAACUCCGAGAGGCUUGCACCAGUCCAUAAAUGGAUCGCUGGAGCUUUCACACUUUUUAGCUCCCUUUGGAUCAACAAAACCUUCCGGUUGCAUCAUAUACAACUCUUCUUCCAGAAAUCCAUUCAGGAAUGCAGUUUUGACAUCCAUCUGCCAAAUUUCAUAAUCAUAAAAUGCGGCAAUUGCAAACAUGAUUCGGACAGACUUAAGCAUCGCUACGGGUGAGAAGGUCUCAUCGUAGUCAACCCCUUGAACUUGUCGAAAACCUUUUGCAACAAGUCGAGCUUUGUAGACAGUAAUAUUACCGUCAACGUCAGUCUUCUUCUUGAAGAUCCAUUUAUUCUCAAUUGCUUGCCGAUCAACGGGCAAGUCAACCAAAGUCCAUACUUUGUUCUCAUACAUGGAUCCCAUCUCAGAUUUCAUGGCUUGAAGCCAUUUUACGGAAUCUGGGCUCACCAUCGCUUCUUCAUAGUUCAUAGGUUCAUCAUGAUCUAGUAGCAUGAUUCCAGAACAGGGUUACCGUACCACUUUGGUGCGGAUCUUACUCUGGUGGAUCUACGAGGUUCAGUAGUAUCUUGUUCUGAAGUUUCAUGAUCAUUAUCAUUAGCUUCCUCACUAAUUGUUGUAGGUGUCGCAGAAACAGGUUUCUGUGAUGUACUACUUUCCAAUAAGGGAGCAGGUACAGUUACCUCGUCAAGUUUUACUUUCCUCCCACUCACUUCUUUCGAGAGAAACUCCUUCUCUAGAAAGGAUCCAUUCUUAGCAACGAAUGUCUUGCCUUCGGAUCUGUGAUAGAAGGUGUACCCAACAGUCUCCUUUGCGUAUCCUAUGAAGACAUAUUUCUCCGAUUUGGGUUCGAGCUUAUCAGGUUGAAGCUUUUUCACAUAAGCAUCGCAGCCCCAAACUUUCAGAAACGACAACUUUGGUUUCUUGCCAAACCAUAGUUCAUAAGGCGUCGUCUCAACGGAUUUUGAUGAUGCCCUAUUUAACGUGAAUGCGGCCGUCUCUAAAGCAUAACCCCAAAACGAUAGCGGUAAAUCAGUAAGAGACAUCAUAGAUCACACCAUAUCUAGUAAAGUACGAUUACGACGUUCGAACACACCAUUACGCUGUGGUGUUCCGGGUGGCGUGAGUUAAGAAACUAUUCCGCAUUGUUUUAAAUGUACACCAAACUCGUAACUCAAAUAUUCUCCUCCACGUAUUCUCCUCCACGAUCAGAUCAUAGAAACUUUAUUUUCUUCUUACGAUGAUUUUCAACUUCACUCUAAAAUUCUUUGAAUCUUUUCAAACGUUUCAGACUUGUGUUUCAUUAAGUAGAUAUACCCAUAUCUGCUUUAAGUCAUCUGUGAAGGUGAUAAAAUAACGAUAUCCGCCACAAGGCUCAAUAUUCAUCGGACCACAUACAUCUGUAUGUAUGAUUUCCAACAAAUCUGUUGCUCUCUUCAUAGUUCCGGAGAACGGUGUUUUAGUCAUCUUGCCCAUGAGGCACGGUUCGCAAGUACCAAGUGAUUCAUAAUCAAGUGGUUCCAAAAGUCCAUCAGCAUGGAGUUUCUUCAUGCGCUUUAUACCGAUAUGACCUAAACGGCAGUGCCACAAAUAAGUUGCACCAUCAUUAUCAACUCUGCAUCUUUUGGCUUCAACAUUAUGAAUAUGUGUGUCACUACUAUCGAGAUUCAAUAAGAAUAGACCAUUCUUCAAGGGUGCAUGACCAUAAAAGAUAUUACUCAUAUAAAUAGAACAACCAUUAUUCUCUGAUUUAAAUGAAUAACCGUCUUGCAUCAAACAAGAUCGAGAUAUAAUGUUCAUGCUUAACGCUGGCACCAAAUAACAAUUAUUUAGGUCUAAUAUUAAUCCCGAAGGUAGAUGUAGAGGUAGCGUGCCGACCGCGAUCACAUCGACUUUGGAACCAUUUCCCACGCGCAUCGUCACCUCGUCCUUAGCUAAUCUUCGCUUAAUCCGUAGUCCCUGUUUCGAGUUGCAAAUAUUAGCAACAGAACCAGUAUCAAAUACCCAGGUGCUACUGCGAGCAUUAGUAAGGUACACAUCAAUAACAUGUAUAUCACAUAUACCUUUGUUCACCUUGCCAUCCUUCUUAUCCGCCAAAUACUUGGGGCAGUUCCGCUUCCACUGACCAGUCUGCUUGCAGUAGAAGCACUCAGUUUCAGGCUUAGGUCCAGACUUGGGUUUCUUCUCUUGAGCAGCAACUUUCUUGUUGUUCUUCUUGAAGUUCCACUUCUUCUUUCCUUUGCCCUUUUUCUUGAAACUAGUGGUCUUGCUGACCAUCAACACUUGAUGCUCCUUCUUGAUUUCUACCUCCGCAGCUUUCAGCAUUGCGAAGAGCUCGGGAAUAGUCUUAUUCAUCCCUUGCAUAUUAUAGUUCAUCACGAAGCUCUUGUAGCUUGGUGGCAGUGAUUGGAGAAUUCUGUCAAUGACGCAAUCAUCUGGAAGAUUAACUCCCAUUUGAAUCAAGUGAUUAUUAUACCCAGACAUUUUGAGUAUAUGCUCACUGACAGAACUAUUCUCUUCCAUCUUGCAGCUAUAGAACUUAUUGGAGACUUCAUAUCUCUCAAUCCCGGCAUUUGCUUGAAAUAUUAACUUCAACUCCUGGAACAUCUGAUAUGCUCCAUGACGUUCAAAACGUCGUUGAAGUCCCGGUUCUAAGCCGUAAAGCAUGGCACACUGAACUAUCGAGUAGUCAUCAGCUUUAGUCUGCCAGACGUUCAUAACAUCUGGUGUUGCUCCAGCAGCAGGCCUGGCACCCAGCGGUGCUUCUAGGACGUAAUUCUUCUGUGCAGCAAUGAGGAUAAUCCUCAAGUUACGGACCCAAUCCGUGUAAUUGCUACCAUCAUCUUUCAACUUUGAUUUCUCAAGGAACGCAUUAAAAUUCAACGGAACAACAGCAUGGGCCAUCUAUCUACAACCAAACAUACAUAAGCAAGAUACUAUCAGGUACUAAGUUCAUGAUAAUUUUAGGUUCAAUUAAUCAUAUUACUUAAAGAAGUCCCACUUAGAUAGACAUCCCUCUAAUCCUCUAAGUGAUUACGUGAUCCAAAUCAACUAAACCAUGUCCGAUCAUCACGUGAGAUGGAGUAGUUUCAUUGGUGAACAUAACUAUGUUGAUCAUAUCUACUAUAUGAUUCACGCUCGACCUUUCGGUCUCCGUGUUCCGAGGCCAUAUCUAUAUAUGCUUGGCUCGUCAAGUAUAACCUGAGUAUUCUGCGUGUGCAACUGUUUUGCACCCAUUGUAUUUGAACGUAGAGCCUAUCACACCCGAUCAUCACGUGGUGUCUCAGCACGAAGAACUUUCGCAACGGUGCAUACUCAGGGAGAAAACUUCUUGAUAAUUUUAGUGAGAGAUCAUCUUAUAAUGCUACCGUCAAUCAAAGCAAGAUAAGAUGCAUAAAAGAUAAACAUCACAUGCAAUCAAUAUAAGUGAUAUGAUAUGGCCAUCAUCAUCUUGUGCUUGUGAUCUCCAUCUCCGAAGCACCGUCGUGAUCACCAUCGUCACCGGCGCGACACCUUGAUCUCCAUCGUAGCAUCGUUGUCGUCUCGCCAAUCUUAUGCUUCCACGACUAUCGCUACUGCUUAGUGAUAAAGUAAAGCAUUACAGCGCGAUUGCAUUGCAUACAAUAAAGCGACAACCAUAUGGCUCCUGCCAGUUGCCGAUAACUCGGUUACAAAACAUGAUCAUCUCAUACAAUAAAAUUUAGCAUCAUGUCUUGACCAUAUCACAUCACAACAUGCCCUGCAAAAACAAGUUAGACGUCCUCUACUUUGUUGUUGCAAUUUUUACGUGGCUGCUACGGGCUUAAGCAAGAACCAAUCUUACCUACGCAUCAAAACCACAACGAUGGUUUGUCAAGGUGGUGCUGUUUUAACCUUCACAAGGACCGGGCGUAGCCACACUCAGUUUAACUAAAGUUGGAUAAACUGUCAGCCGCAAGCCACCUAUGUGCAAAGCACGUCGGGAGAACCGGUCUCGCGUAAGCGUACGCGUAAUGUCGGUCCGGGCCGCUUCGUCCAACAAUACCGCCGAACCAAAGUAUGACAUGCUGGUAAGCAGUAUGACUUAUAUCGCCCACAACUCACUUGUGUUCUACUCGUGCAUAUAACAUCAACACAUAAAACCUAGGCUCGGAUGCCACUGUUGGGGAACGUAGUAAUUUCAAAAAAAAUUCUACACACACGCAAGAUCAUGGUGAUGCAUAGCAACGAGAGGGGAGAGUGUGAUCUACGUACCCUUGUAGAUCGACAACGGAAGCGUUAGGUUGAUGUAGUCGUACGUCUUCACGGCCUGACCGAUCAAGCACCGAAACUACGGCACCUCCGAGUUCUAGCACACGUUCAGCUCGAUGACGAUCCCCGGACUCCAAUCCAGCAAAGUGUCGGGGAAGAGUUCCGUCAGCACAACGGCGUGGUGACAAUCUUGAUGUACUAAUGUCGCAGGGCUUCGCCUAAGCACUGCUACAAUAUUAUCGAGGACUAUGGUGGGAGGGGCACCGGACACGGCUAAGAAUAUGAUCACGUGGAUCAACUUGUGUCUCUAGGGGAUGCUCCUGCCUCCGUAUAUAAAGGCUCAAAAGGGGGGGGGGUGCGGCCGGCCAGGAGAGGCGCGCCAGGAGGAGUCCUACUCCCUCUGGGAGUAGGACUCCCCCCUUUCCUAGUUGGAAUAGGAUUCGCGGAGGGGGGAAAAGAGGAGAGAGAGGAGGAAGGGGGGCCGGCCCCCUCUCCUUGUCCUAUUCGGACCAAGGGGGGGAGGAGCGUGCAGCCCACUUCUGGCUACCUCUCCUCUCUUCCGCUAAGGCCCACUAAGGCCCAUAUACCUCCCGGGGGGUUCCGGUAAACUCCCGGUACUUCGGUAAAAUCCCGAUUUCACCCGGAACACUUCCGAUAUCCAAACAUAGGCUUCCAAUAUAUCAAUCUUUAUGUCUCGACAAUUUCGAGACUCCUCGUCAUGUCCGUGAUCACAUCCGGGACUCCGAACAACCUUCGGUACAUCAAAACGCAUAAACCCAUAAUAUAACUGUCAUCAAAACCUUAAGCGUGCGGACCCUACGGGUUCCAGAACAAUGUAGACAUGACCGAGACACGUCUCCGGUCAAUAACUAAUAGCGGGACCUGGAUGCCCAUAUUGGUUCCUACAUAUUCUAUGAAGAUCUUUUAUCGGUCAGACCGCAUAACAACAUACGUUGUUCCCUUUGUCAUCGGUAUGUUACUGGCCCGAGAUUCGAUCGUCGGUAUCCAAUACCUAGUUCAAUCUUGUUACCGGCAAGUCUCUUUACUCGUUCCGUAAUACAUCAUCCCACAACUAACUCAUUAGUUCCAAUGCUUGCAAGGCUUAAGUGAUGUGCAUUACCGAGAGGGCCCAGAGAUACCUCUCCGACGAUCGGAGUGACAAAUCCCAAUCUCGAAAUACGCCAACCCAACAUGUACCUUUGGAGACACCUGUAGAGCACCUUUAUAAUCACCCAGUUACGUUGUGACGUUUGGUAGCACACAAAGUGUUCCUCCGGCACACGGGAGUUGCAUAAUCUCAUAGUCAUUGGAACAUGUAUAAGUCAUGAAGAAAGCAAUAGCAACAUACUAAACGAUCGGGUGCUAAGCUAAUGGAAUGGGUCAUGUCAAUCAGAUCAUUUAACUAAUGAUGUGAUCUCGUUAAUCAAAUAACAACUCUUUGUCCAUGGUUAGGAAACAUAACCAUCUUUGAUUAACGAGCUAGUCAAGUAGAGGCAUACUAGUGACACUCUGUUUGUCUAUGUAUUCACACAUGUAUUAUGUUUCCGGUUAAUACAAUUCUAGCAUGAAUAAUAAACUUUUAUCAUGAUAUAAGGAAAUAAAUAAUAACUUUAUUAUUGCCUCUAGGGUAUAUUUCCUUCAGAUGUUAGAUGAAUGAUCACAUUGAAUUGACCCAACAUUGUUUGUUACACUUUGAGAAGGUAUCAUCACAAGUCAAUUAUUAUAACACAAAGAGUUAAUAUAUGCUUUAGUUCGUAGACCAUGAGAGUGUUGUAGUCACUUCUUACCGUACGAUGAACUUUGGAAUUGCUCAAACAUCAUAUGUAACACUGUGAUCAUAACAACAACUUACAGGUGCAUCGGAAAGUUUGACAAGGGACUAGAUAGCUCAACAGUGGGAUUUUCUCCUCCGACGAUGGAGGGAUACUCUUAAGGGCCCUCUCGGUAUGACGGCAUCUGCCAUCGUCUGGCCAGACACAGGUGACUAUGUCACUGGGCUGCCAGAACAUGUCAACGAGAAAGAAGAACAAAACCGGUAAUAGGGAGACCGGUAUAGUGAACAUGAUAAUGACUCAAGAGGAUACUGAUACAUAUCAUGAAGCAAAGGAAAUAGCUCAUGAUAACCGAAGGUUCACUCAAAUGUCAUUCGUGUACUCAUAGGGAUUGAUAUGGACGUCCAUGGUUUAAUUAUAGGUCAUUGAACGAAAGGGGUUUUAUUCAUAUCUAUGUUUUACCGAACCUAUUAGGUCACAAGUUUAAGGUAAUGACGAUGUGCUGAGUGUUAGUAGGACGAGAAUAAUGAGAACAUAUUAGUGAAAUAGUUUCACUAAUAUUCGAAAUAGUUUCGAGAUAAACCGGAAGCGUUUAGGGGUCACUAGAAGGGUUUCCGAGUUUAUCGGGCAAUACCGGGUAUUCUCGAUAAAUAAUAUAGCUGUGGGAAAUGUUUCUGUGAUGUUACAUUAGUAAUAAAAGUCUUUAAUAAUAAUUAAGAAGCUUUUAUAUUAAUUUAAUAUCAACGGGUCUUAAAAGGCCAAGUGAUGGAAGGCUACUUGGGCCGCUUGGGCCCAAAAGGGGUGGCGCCCCCUUCUCCCCAUGGAGAGGGGAGAGGAGGCCGAAUUGGAGGGGGAAUCCCCCUCCUCUUGGCCAACGCAACGGGGUAGUUCCUUCCCACCUUAUGACGCUCCCUCCCCUCUCCUCCGACCUAUAUAUACUAGAGGUUUUAGACACUUUUGAAUACACAAGUUUUGGAGCCUCCUCUAGUUUUCUAGUUCUAUUUCUAGUUGGUCCUAUUUGAUCUAAUUAGAGCUAGACCUAGAUUCUCUAAUCCUCAUAAUUAGAAAUCUAGUGUGGUUCUAAUAUCUUCCUUCUAAUUCUCUGGCGGUGAUUAGCUCUCGACGGUGAAGCGCUGUCGGAUCAUGAAGACCGUACACUUGCAAUUUAUGGAGAGGUCGUGCUUUUGGUCUUCUGUUCGAGUGACUGUUCGUGGGCGAUUCGCAGGAUCGAUCGGGCAUCUAUGGUUCGAGGGACUCCAAGUACGAUAUACACCGACGCAUCUUUUCCACUGCAACUCGGAGCUGGUAACGAUCUGAUCGAAACCCUUUAUUGCAUCUUCAUAGUGUUACUAGGUGAUCAUAGGGCGAUACUUUUUUGUUUUCUACUAUGUUUCCCAACAUCUUCAUCGUCCUGGCCACGACUACGGCUCUCAGCUCCCUGUGUACUCCGCCGCCACUGCCGCUCUCACCAACAACCGUGGAAUGUGGUUCAUCGCGAGAUGAAUGGAAAGUUGGGUUAUGUCGGUCAAAAUGAUUACAGACAAGGAAAAAUAUUAAUUACACCUCACAAAAAAUAUUAACAAAGCUGAUGGAUUACCUUUUUGCCCCUAACGUGUUGGUACUCCGUGUGUGUUUAAAUCAGUACUCCGUGAGAUUAGUGAUGGAGUACCAAAUCUUAUGAAACAGCGGAAUGGGAAAAAUGGACGGGCUAUAUUAAUUUCUGGAUACUGUAAAAGUGCUCUUGGAUUAGGGGAUGAUUGUUAGAUUAAUCCAAUCAUUUUGAGUUUAGCUUGGGGUGUGCUAGUUUAUUAUGCAAAUGUAGCCGUGCGUUCUUGUGUUCCGUUAGGAUUGGAUUAGUACUGUUGUGGUCAGCAUUGCCGGUUGAUUAGUUUAGAAAAGAAUCUUGAUAAAUGCCACACUCAUGUAUGGGCACAUAGUAACUUCUAACUUUUUAGUGGCAAGUUUCAUUACGCGAGGAUGACAACUUUAGUUGGCAAGCAUGACAACUUUUGUGCUUUUGUUUGUUUUUGAAAGAAACUUGCAGCGUGUCACUAGAAUUUACCAUCCUUGGGCGCCUUGUCAUUGAAAAACGCCAGGGCUGGAGUGCCACACAUCCCACACGUGGCAUUUAUCAUUAGGGUUAGGAAAAUGUCUUUGUGCUUAGUAGGCUACGUGUGCAAGUACAAUAGGAAAGCUUAGCUUAAGUCGGUUUGGAGUUUCCUUGUGCUAGCUUGCUUGGUCUAGCACGAGUCGGUUUUGUAACUCGUACCUGCGCCUUUACAAGCAAGCAGCGGCAGUCUACGGGUUGUAAUCACCAGAGAUUUGAGAAACAAAGACAAGAUGCACACACAGAAUACGUAGGCUAUUGGGGCGUAACCCCCGCUGGACAGUGGACACACAGCCCUCCUGCGGCCCAGAUCCAACCAGCCGGCCUGCCUACACGCUGUUUGUGGAGCAUAAACAAACGUAGGCUAUUUAUCUUCCGUAACGCAAAGGGACUCCUAGUCUCCGAUCCCGAUCGGCUUAACCAUAUACUGACAUAUACGGGGAAAUCCUUCUAUUUACUUUGGCCAGCCGCCAAGAGGCACCGGGACAUUGAUCCAUCGAUGGGUUCCUUAUUCUCUUCCACUGCCGGCGGCGACGGCGGCGCCGCUGCCUUUGAUUACGCCAACCCUCCCCCAGGCAGCCGUAUGUCAAAAGAGUAUGUAAUUCGUAGCUACUGGAUAUAUUAUUUCUGUAAAUUUCCUCAAUUGCUUGCAUGUAUUUCUAUUCUUAUAGGAGUACUUAUUAUGUUUAUUUAUUUGGUGUACCCUUGUUUAUUUGGAGACAGAGAUAUCGUCGCCUUUCGAAUUUCUCAGCUUGUCGACGUCGCCCUUGAACAUUACAACUCCAACAACCCGGUAUGAUACUCUAUCCGUCUCUCCCUCUCAUACAUCUAGGCGAGUACUUAAUACUUAUGAUUGAGAGUUUGAGAUCGAUCGCUGAGAUGCAGGGUGCCGAGUUCGAGUAUCCUGAGUAUCCUCCCACCACGGAGAUGAACGCCGUCUGCGUCGGUUUUAAGGGAACUUUCUGGUAUCACGUCGGCUUUUCGGCUCGCCCAGUGGACGCCACCGCCGAGACGCAACACUUCUUUGCCGAGCUAUAUUUUAAUAGACGCUGCCGCCAAAUAGCUGUUGAAACAUGCACUAUCCUAGGUACUACCUAAAUUUAUCUUUACAUUCCGCCAUACUGUGUUUGCUCGCCACUUGAGUAUAUCCAUAUCAUUAAUGUAACUUGCAGCUAAUUCUGUCUUUAUCUUUCUCUGCAAUGUCAACAGAAAAGCCGUUGUGCCGCUUUAGAGCCUCGUGUGCAUUUUGUCCAGAUGAAUCCAAUAUCUUGCACCCAAGCAGUGCAGAUUUUUUCUGUGGAAAACAAGAUCAUGAAAAAGAAUUCUUUCGCAAGAGAGAUAUGCUAGUGCGGCCAUUCAAUUCUUUUAUGACACCUCCUGAUAUAGAUAGCACCGACGACGCAUGACUCAACUCAUAUGUUAUGGCCUAUGGAUUACAGUUGUAAAAUAAGUAUGUUUUUCUUCUUGACUCGAGUCUUAUAUUAUGGCCUACGGAUUACAGUUGUAAAAUAAGUAUGUUUUUCUUCUUGUUUAUAUCGUCCUUGUUGUUCAAUUUCGUUGACCACUAGAAAAUUAAAAACUAGUAUUUCGAAAUUUAAUGUGCACAAGAACGAGAACCAGAACUGAUAAGCAUGGCUGCAGCUAUAGCGCAUAAGACCAGCCUUUCUCUCUCUUUCAUUUCAGUGGUGUAAUUUCUGUUAUAUUUCACUCGGCUGAGGCUUCCAAUGAUAAUGAUUAGCUAGCCUUUUGUGUUGUGGCAAUGCGAUGGAGACGUUAGGUUAUCCUAAUGUGUUUUUCCCAUGAUAGAACAUAUUGAUCGAGCUUUUAUAAAUCUCUCAUGGGAUCAACAAAAAAGGAAAAGGGAGCUCGAUCUACUGUUCCCAAACUCGUCUGUCUCAUCUCUCACAUGAUAUAUCUCUGACCACAUACCUGUGUUAAUUUCACCGUUGACAAAGCGAUUCAACGUCCCACGCUUUUCGAAUUUGAAACCUCCUGGGCUAAAAUAUUGGAUUGUCGGCUCUUAAUCUGUCUCAUCCCUCCAUGGGAUCAAUUCGUAAACCGGGUUUCCUAUUGGGCGUGCAGGUCNNNNNNNNNNNNNNNNNNNNNNNNNNNNNNNNNNNNNNNNNNNNNNNNNNNNNNNNNNNNNNNNNNNNNNNNNNNNNNNNNNNNNNNNNNNNNNNNNNNNNNNNNNNNNNNNNNNNNNNNNNNNNNNNNNNNNNNNNNNNNNNNNNNNNNNNNNNNNNNNNNNNNNNNNNNNNNNNNNNNNNNNNNNNNNNNNNNNNNNNNNNNNNNNNNNNNNNNNNNNNNNNNNNNNNNNNNNNNNNNNNNNNNNNNNNNNNNNNNNNNNNNNNNNNNNNNNNNNNNNNNNNNNNNNNNNNNNNNNNNNNNNNNNNNNNNNNNNNNNNNNNNNNNNNNNNNNNNNNNNNNNNNNNNNNNNNNNNNNNNNNNNNNNNNNNNNNNNNNNNNNNNNNNNNNNNNNNNNNNNNNNNNNNNNNNNNNNNNNNNNNNNNNNNNNNNNNNNNNNNNNNNNNNNNNNNNNNNNNNNNNNNNNNNNNNNNNUUUUUUAAUUUUCUUUUUUCAAGUUCCGAACAUUUUUUUGUUCAUCGAAUUCAGAACAUGUUCAUAAAUAUAAAAAAUGUUCACCUAAUUCAAUUUUUUGUUCAAUGGAUUAAAAAAUGUUCAUCAAUUUCGAAAUUUGUUCAUAGUUUUCAAAAAAUGUUCAUUGAAUUCAACAUUUGUUCAUUGAACUAAAGAAAAUUCAUCCAUUUUUCAUAAAAAGGUUCUUGAAUACAAAUUUUGUUCAUCAAGUGCCAUUUUUUAUGGAAAAAAUUUGUUUAUAAAAUACAAAAAAAUGUUGAUCGUUAUUAAAAAAUGCUCAUAAAAAUUGUUAAUCAAAAUAGAAAAAUUAUUAAAAUUCAAAAAAUGUUCAUUCCUUUGAAAUUGCGAAUAUUUUUUAAUUCAAGAACUAUUUUUCAUAAUUCACAAUUUUCUUAAAUUUAGAACAUUUUUAAUUCAAGAACUAUUUUUCAUAAUUCACAAUUUUCUUAAAUUUAAGAACCUAUCCCGAAUUAUUUUAAUACAGAAUAAAACAAGAACAGAAAAUAAAAUAAAAAGUAAAAACAAAAAAAAGCUAGGAGCGUCCACUCCGCCCAUUGUCCGACCUAACAGGGCGCGCGCGGGGAAGGUCGUCACUUUGGUGAUGGGAGGUCUUUUUUUUUACCAUGCAAUAACUAACAAAUGAAGAAGGAAGAUUUAUUACGCCUAGUCCUUUUUCUUCUUUGUUUAUUUCUUUCUUCCACACGGCUUCUGUUAUUUAUUCUCUCAGAUUUUCUUCAAUAGAGACCUAGAUAUGUGCAUGGUCCUUCAAAAAAGCAGUGUAAAAAAAGGCAGAUUGUACAUGGGCAUGUAAAAGUUUUUUUUCUUCCUUUUCAAUCAAAUUCUUGUACUUUGGGUAAAAAAUGUUCGUAAUUUUUUGAAAAAUGUUAAUAAAUCUGAAAAUAUGUUGACGAAUUUUAAAAAUAUCCACGCACAUAAAAAAAUGUUCAUGAAUGUUUUGAAGAAAUAUAUAAUUCGAAAAAUAGCUAAGAAUUUGAAAAACAAUAUCACGAAUUUCAUCAACUGAAAUGAAAUCAUGAUAUAAAAAGUGUUCAUGAAUUUGGAAAAUGCGUGAGAACUUAAAAAUGUUAAUGAACUGAGAAAUGUAUGUGGAUUUAAAAGAUGGUCAUGAAAUUGCAAAAUGCCCAUGAAUUUGAAAAAAUGUUCAUAAAUAUAUACCUACUAAUAAUAUCAAUGUUACAUUUAUAUUAAUGUUAAUCAUUAGUUAUUAUUCUUAACUAUAUCUCUCGAUCUUAAUAAUAAAGGGAGGAGUGCUUCCGCCCAUCUGUCACAACUUUUGCAGAAAACCCUCUGAACUUCUUUGAAAUCAACCUGCGGUACUAUGGUAAUGUUAAGUGAGAAAAAAUGAUUCAUUUUUCUUAUUUUAGAAAACCCCUUGAUCUUUUACUUAAGGACGUGACUAACGUCCUAUCAUUCGGAUGUUAAGCAACAGAUCCGAACGAUCGAACCCCACCUUGCUCCCGCGACCCGCGUGCUUCGAGAGGCCCACCCAUGAUAACACAGCCUCCCUUAACGAGGCCGAGCGUGUGUAGCGUUGAGGCCCAAGAUCAAGACAGCCUCCCCGGCCCACCAUACCUCGCUCGUGACUUACCACCCAAACUAUUAUUUCUUACCUCCAUCGUAGGAAACAGGCACAUGCCCCCGAUCCGUUCUCCUCCUCUCUCCCUGACGCGCCUCCAUCGCCGACGAGCUGCAGCCCCCGAUUUGAUCCACCAAAAACACAUCAACCACCAUGCCCGAGGACUACUAAUCCCCCAAUCACAAGGAUUGAGAGAGCGGCGGGUUUACCACAUCAUCAAUACUAGGGUUACCACAUACUACGGCACUAAUUACCCAGUUCGUUUGAAUUUUGCCAGAAUCAAGCAAAAAAGCAAGGAGGUAACUGAUUCAAACUCCAUACAGAUGCCGCAUUUUCAUUUCAUACCAUAAACAUCAAAUCAAUUGCAUGGGAUAAGAACAAACCAUCAGUUGGCAAAAAGAUAGCCUUUUUUCUAGCCUAUACAUCCUACAUGUGUGGAAUUCCUCCCUCAUAAUUGAGUUACCAUUCACAUCUUGGCAGGUUACCAUCAAGAUUGGAUUAAGUUGUCUUUUCAUAGCACAAAAGUUGGUAAAAGAGAGCCAUUUUCCUAGCCCACACAUCCUACAUGUGUACAAAUUCAUCCCUCAACAUUGAGUUACCAUUGAAAUCUAGAUAGCUAGGUUACCAUCAUGAUUGCAUUAAGUUAUAUUUUUUUGUAGCCUGUUAAAACUACAUGUAUGAAAUUUCUCAUUGAUAAUUGAGUUAUCAUUAAAAUCAAUAUAGAUUAUCAUAGUGUGUGCACUAAGUUAUCACUAUAAAAUAAGAAUAAAAAGUGAAAAAAAUCCUUUAACACUUAUUAACCAUAAAAACAUCAUUUUUUAUUCUGGAAAAGAACCAUUAUGAGUGUGAACAACAAGCAUGGCACAACAACCCAGAAAAGAAAAAGUCAUCAUGUUGUUUCAAAAGAAGUUAUCAGAAAAACUCUAUACCAACACUUAUCAGCCCAUGGAUGCACAAAGAACCAGGGCGCUAACACUAAAAAAUACCAUGUGUUGAUUUACAUCAUUGCAAUCAGGACUGAUUGAUAAGAAAUUAUGUUGAUGAAAUGAGGUUGUAGAUACCAUCACUGUCAUGCGCUGGUUACUUCCAAUUGAUACCUGUUAUAAAAUGAAGUAAUCAGUGCAAAAAAGAAAAUAACACUUGUUGUGAAAAAAUAAUCAAUAUUGCUUGGAAGUGUGGAAUUGAUCGAUGCGAUUAUAUGUGCUAGCAGGUGCUGCAACACAAAAAUGGCACAAGACAACAGGGGCAAUGUGGAUAUCAUGAUGAGUAGUGUGGGACAAACCAACAGGGUGAGGAUGCACAUACGGCAAGCUUUGGUUCUGCCAACAUCAACAAAACAGACAAGGAUAAUAUUUACCAUGAAUCAGUCUACAACUACCACAUUUUUAUACACAAAGGUUACCGUCCAACUUGAAUUGCAAUUACCAUUCAUGAUGUUUACAACAACCACAUGUACUACAUGCAAGUUACCAUGCAAUAUGCAUUACAUUUACCAUGCAUUAGUUCACAAAGAAAAAAUACCAAAAAACUUAUUGCAUACAAGUUACCAUGAAAUUUGGUACAAUUACCACACUCACUGCAUAAAAUUUAUAAUGCAAUCUGCAUUACAAUUACCAUGGUUUAGUUUACAACUACGAGCAGCUUACUACAUGCAAAAUUUACCAGGCCAAUGGAGUGCAAGUUACCACACAUUUUGGUGUGCAAAAUUACCACACAAACUAACAUCUUCAAAAAUAUUGCAGGUGCUACAUCUAGAAGCAAGCCAAUGGUCCGAGAGCCAAGUAAAGAACCGACUACUAGUAGCAUAGGGAGAGAGAAAUCUUCUUUGAUCAGUCAGUCAGCGAGCCCGCGAAUCCAGAAAUAGGAGGGGUGAAUGCUGAUCGGGAGACAUAAACACCGAGGCCUAGUCCACACCAAAGCGUGAUGAAGCGAUGAAGUUUGACACUUAUGAGGAAGCUUAUGAUCACUACAAGCUAUAUGCGCUCAGGCAUGGGUUUGGGAUAAGGCUGGAAUACAGGAAAGCAAUAAAUGAUCAUACUGUAAGCAGAGUCCUCUUGGUUUGUGAGAAAAGUGGCAAGCCAAAAAAUCAAGGAGGAGACACAGGAUGUGCAGAACCCAAAAGGCAUCCUGAAGAAGAGGAAAAGAUGGAAGAUUGUGGGGACAGAAUGGCUGGCCCACCUUUACAUUACGAACACGGAUGCAUGGUGGAGAGUCAAACGCUUCAACGACAAUCACAACCACCCUCUAAUCAGAAAGCUGUCCUGGACAAAGUUCCUAUCAUCACAUAGGAACAUUCUCAAGGAUGAUAAGGACUUCUUGAAGAUACUGGACGGAUGCAACAUAGAGACAUCAAGACAGAUGCAACUAAUGCCAUGGUUCUACGGGUCUUCUAAAGAUGUACCAUACAUGACAAAGGACAUCGCAAACCAGCAAGCUAAAUUCCGCAUGGAGUACCGCCAUGCUGAUGUGAGAAGCACAAUCUCAUACUUCCAAGAUAUGAAGGCACAAGAUCUAGAUUUCUAACGGAGAAUAAAACUUCAUGACGAGGACAGAGUGGAAAAUUUAUUCUAGAUAGAUGAUGCGUCGCGUAGGGCAUAUGCUAGGUACAAUGACGUUGUGUCAUUCGACACAACAUACUAACAUAUUGUUGGGGAACAUAGUACAACAACAACAACAAAAACAACAAAGCCUUUAGUCCCAAACAAGUUGGGGUAGGCUAGAGGUGAAACCCAUAAGAUCUCGCAACCAACUCAUGGCUCUGGCACAUGGAUAGCAAGCUUCCAUGCACCCCUGUCCAUAGCUAGCUCUUUGGUGAUUUCCACCACACCCGGGUUCCGAUGUAGCGCGUCGCUGAGAGGGUUACGCCCCAACGAAAAUCUUUUGGGUUUCAUCUCCAUAAGAGUGGCUGGGUUUUUACGUUGGCUCGCCAAGCCUAUCACAACCCUCCUCCUUUACCCGGGCUUGGGACCGGCUAUGUUGAGACAACAUAGGCGGAGUUGUUGGGGAACAUAGUAAUUUCAAAAUAAAUUCCUACGCACACGCAAGAUCAUGGUGAUGCAUAGCAACGAGAGGGGAGAGUAUUGUCCAUGUACCCUCGUAGACCAAAAGCGGAAGCGUUAUGACAACGCGGUUGAUGUAGUCGUACGUCUUCACGAUCCGACCGAUCCUAGUACCAAAAGUAUGACACCUCACGAUCUGCACAUGUUCAGCUCGGUGACGUCCCACGAACUCUUGAUCCAGCUGAGUGUCGAUGGAGAGCUUCGUCAGCACGACGGCGUGAUGACGGUGAUGAUGAAGCUACCGGCGCAGGGAUUCACCUAAGCACUGCAACGAUAUGACCGAGGUGGAUUAUGGUGGAGGGGGGCACCGCACAUAGCUAAGACAAUGUCUGUUGUUGUGUUCUAGGGUGCCCCCUGCCCCCGUAUAUAAAGGAGUAAGGGGGGAGGCCGGCCGGCCCUUGGGCGCACCAAGGAGGGGAGGAGUCCUCCUCCUAGUAGGAGUAGGACUUCCCCUUUCCAAGUCCUACUAGGAAGGGGAAAGGGGAAAGGAAGGAGAAGGAGAAAGGGAGGGAAAGAGGGGUUGCCACCCCCUCCUUGUCCAAUUCGGACUCCUAAGGGGGGGGGGGGGCAGCCCUAAGGCCCCUCCUCUUUCUCUCACAAGGCCCAUGUUGGCCCAUUAGUUCCCCCGGGGGUUGAUACGUCUCCAACGUAUCUAUAAUUUUUUAUUGUUCAAUGCUAUAUUAUAUUCUGUAUUGGACAUUAUUGGGCUUUAUUAUACAAUUUUAUAUUAUUUUUGGGACUAACCUAUUAACCGGAGGCCCAGCCCAAAAUUACUGUUUUCUGCCUAUUUCAGAGUUUCACAGAAAAAGAAUAUCAAACAGAGUCCAAACAGAAUGAAACCUUCGGGAACAUGAUUUUCGGAACAAACGUGAUCCAGAGGACUUGGACCCUAUGUCAAGACAUCAACUAGGAGGCCACGAGGUAGGGGGCGCGCCCUCCACCCUCGUGGGCCCCCUGUUGCUCCACCGACGUACUCCUUCCUCCUAUAUAUACCUAUGUACCCCCAACUACCAGAUACAGAGCCAAAAACCUAAUUCCACCGCCGCAACCUUCUGUACCCGUGAGAUCCCAUCUUGGGGCCUGUUCCGGAGCUCCACCAGAGGGGGCAUCGAUCACGGAGGGCUUCUACAUCAACACCAUAGCCUCUCCGAUGAUGUGUGAGCAGUUUACCUCAGACCUUCAGGUCCAUAGUUAUUAGCUAGAUGGCUUUUUCUCUCCUUUUGGAUCUCAAUACAAUGUUCUCCCCCUCUCUCAUGGAGAUCUAUUCGAUGUAAUCUUCCUUUGCGGUGUGUUUGUUGAGACCGAUGAAUUGUGGGUUUAUGAUCAAGUUUAUCUAUGAACAAUAUCUGAAUCUUCUGAAUUCUUUUGUGUAUGAUUGGUUAUCUUUGCAAGUCUCUUCGAAUUAUCAGUUUGGUUUGGCCUACUAGAUUGAUCUUUCUUGCAAUGGGAGAAGUGCUUAGCUUUGGGUUCAAUCUUGCGGUGUCCUUUCCCAGUGACAGUAGGGGCAGCAAGGCAUGUACUGUAUUGUUGCCAUCGAGGAUAACAAGAUGGGGUUUAUAUCAUAUUGCAUGAAUUUAUCCCUCUACAUCAUGUCAUCUUGCUUAAAGUGUUACUCUGUUCUUAUGAACUUAAUACUCUAGAUGCAUGCUGGAUAGCGGUCGAUGUGUGAAGUAAUAGUAGUAGAUGCAAGCAGGAGUUGGUCUACUUGUCUCGAACAUGAUGCCUAUAUACAUGAUCAUACCAAGAUAUUCUCAUAACUAUGCUCAAUUCUGUCAAUUGCUCAACAGUAAUUUGUUCACCCACCGUAAAUACUUAUGCUCUCGAGAGAAGCUGUAACAUCCCAAAUUUUCAAUUUGGAAUGUUAUACAUAGAUCAUCAUGCAUAUCAUAUUUUCUUGCAUUUUGCCGAUCCUGGAAAUUUCACGCAACUCAAGGACCCUCGGAGAGAGUUGGAGAUUUCGUCUUUUUCAUAUUUGAGUCUUCUCAAAUUUUGAAGAAAGGACCAUUGGUUUUGCCGGAGUUUAUUUGCCUUUUAUCUGGAUAGGGAAAAAUGCGCGUUUUCAAAAAUUGCAUUUUAGGCCCGGAGAAAAGUUCAUUUUGUUCGACUCAUUUUUAGGAGUCGGGGAAAAUUUACUUUACUAGAUUUGGAGUUCGUAUAGAUCUCUUUCUGUUUUUUUUCCGAGCGCGGAACCAAUUUUUUUUUAAAAAAAAAUCCUAGCGACUUGGGCCAAAGGCCCAAGCCACCGAGCCGGCUGGCUCCCAGGCCAGCGCCGUGCCGCGCCAGGCGCCCAGGCACAGGAGGCCGCCGCCGCCGUUGUCUCUUUUUAGGUUUCCUAGUAGGAUUUGUCCUACUUCCGUUAUUCCUUUUUUUCUUUUCUAGAUCUUUUCCUUUCCUCUUUUCUUUCCUAGUCCUAGUCUAAUUCCUUGACCCCUACCCCAAGUUUUCUCCCCCUCCUCAAUAUAAAUACUCCCACACACCCCUCUAAACCCAUCAAAUCCAAAGCCCCAAAGCCCCAAGUACCCCGCGCCCCACACCCGCGCCGCGCCUAGUGCCCCGCCGCCACGCCCUGCGUCACCCGCGCACCGCCCAAAGCCGCCGCCCGCGCCGCCCAUCACCCGCGCCGCCGCCGCACCUUGCCGCCGCCCCACGCCCACGCCGCCGGAGCCCCUCGCCGGAGACUUCGCCGGAGGUAGCCCCGCGCCGCAUCUUUUCUUUUCAUCGGAUCGUUUUCUUCUAAUCGUUCCGAUUCUUUUUCUCCGAUUCGUUUUUCGUCGCGAAACCGUUCCGGUUUUCUAGAUCGGUUUUACGAUCGGUUUUCUUCUCCGAAACCCUAGAUCAGAUUCGUUUUCUUUUCCAAUUUAGUUGCCCGAGACUGUUCGCCAGACCAUUCUUCCUAACGAACGUGAUCACCGGAUUCUUCUAGGUUAACGAACAUCCAUUCGUUCAACCGUUCUUCUUUUUCUUUCCGUCGGAUUUAUUCCGCGAUCGCGAUCUCAGAUCCGAUCUUCUUUCUAGUCUAUCUUCUUGCUCGUUUAUCGGAAUCAGGUGAUUCAAGCGCCUGGAGUUUCGUUUUGAAACCGCCGUUCCAUCUAAUCAUCUUUAACUAAGUUUUUGCUAAGGUAAAAUUUGACCUAGUUUCAACUUGCUAGAACUGAGUUGUUUUCCGCCGUUUGUUUUCGGUUUCUUUGUUCGGUUCUUUCUCUCUUUGCAACCGGAGUUCUUAAGUUGAACUUUCUGGUUCGAUCUCUUGUUCGAGUUUUACCUGUGCAUUAGAUGAGUACUUAUUGUAUGCUUGUUGUUUGUCUGCGAUAGAUUACCCGGAUUGCGCCGCUUGUUACUUCAAAUCUCUAGGACUCGCGGAUCAUCAGCAAGGCAAGUAACACUUGAUCAUACCUUUUCUACAACCCAGUUUUAUUGCAUUAGAUCCAUCCUCACACAUUGCAUGAUUAGGAUCUAAUUAAAUUGUGGGAUGGGAAGUAGAUGAGGUAGUACCUAUGACCUGUUACUAUGAAACCUUUGGGAGUUACUUCUACGUUUGCUUAUUAUGCCAUGCUAUGCUAGUAGACGUGGAUUGGGUGAGUGAUAUCCAUGACAGAUGUGAGAUUGAUAAUUUUAAUGGUUUAUCUAAGGUGGCAACUUAAACACACAUCUGGGUGGAUUGAGGCACCUGAUGUCUAUCAGGACUUGCUUGUUUUAUUUUGGACCGCCACCCGGGCUCAAAGGGAUCAUAAGAUCUUUCAUGCUAAAUACUUACGUGUGCAGCCACAAGCCAUUAUGGGCUCUGGCAUAGUUGACUAAGUCGUGCAAACUCUUACAGGGUAGACUAGCAGAUGUAGGGGAAAGUAGGUGUACCGGUCUAUCCAUCGUAAGGUGCUAGCGCUUCUGAAAGACUGUGUCUCGGUCAUCCGUUUCUCAAACACGGGUAGUGCAAGAAAUCCAACGGAGGCGAUCGAGUCUUGUGGGGAAAAGUGCGCAAACCUCUGCAGAGUGUAAUAAACUAAUCAUGAUUAGCCGUGUCCCCGGUUAUGGACAAUCUUGAGUAUCUAGUACUUGAAUAUCAUGUGAAUCUCAUCAUGUUACUUCUAAUUAAUAUUGUUGGGUUAUUGAUGACUACUUUUAAUUGGGAUUGAGGAUGCUGUCAACCAUUCUCAAUGUUUAACAACCACCAUGAUAGUAAAUAAAUUUAUUCCUUUGCAGUAGGGAAAAAUUGGCUUUACGCAAAACAGUAACCAUAGAGCUUUCCACCAGCCAAAUAUGCAUAUAGUAUAGCUGUUUCAUUCCAUUAUUCUCUAUGUGUUACCUUGCCAGCAUAUUCCAUGUGCUGACCCGUUUCGGGCUGCAACGUUAAUGUUGUAGACUUUUCAGACGACGAUUAAGGUGCUUUUAGGUCGUGGUUCUAUACUCAGUGAUGUCGUUGGAGUUGAUGGACCCAUUUACCUUCCAAGUCUUCCGCUGUUAUCGUUAUUAGAUGGCCUUAAGCCAUAUUAUUGUAAUAAGUUCUCUUCGGAGACAUCGAUGUAAUAAGUGUGUGAUUGCCACUCUGCUAUAAAUCCUUCGAAGUACUGUGUGGUGUCAGCAUUACUGAUCCAGGAAUGACACCGGAGCACAGAGAUCAGACUGUUUGAGGUCUGGUCGCUACA